AUAUACAUAGAUAGAUUAUCUUUCCAUAAGGUUGAGCGAUCUGAUCUAACAAAUGUUAUAAGUGCUACACUCAUGAACUUAUCAUCCAUCAACUUGUCUUGCUCACUAUGCUUAAGGUUAGAGAAGAACAAAUACACUUUUGGUUCUGUUGGUGUUUUCCACCAAUAGGGCCCAUGCACUUGAUCUCUGCCUUGUCUCUAUGAGCAGGUACACUUUGAGCAAAACACGGAGGAGUUUUAUAACUCUCAGACUCUACCAAGUGAAGGAUCUGAAUCUACGAGCACAAACACACUGAGCAGGUUACUGCCAACGCCGCACUUCGAACUACUGGGCAAACGAAGAACAUGGGUGACACUGUAUUAAAAGGUGCAGACGUCAAGGUCCGCACCUGAAUCAAAUGACGCACCUGAAGAAUGAACACGAUGAGAAAUCUUGACAAGAAGACUUAAAACAUUGAACCCUCGCCGAAAGGUAAGAUUGGUAGUUAUCCAUAUUUAUCCUUUCUGCAUUCCCUUUUCCCUUUAAUUAUUUACUUUCCUUAAAUAGAUUUUUAGAUAAUCAUGCUAUCUUGAAAAGAAAAUAAAAAUGUUAAAAAAUACUAAGCCCCAUGUGAGUAUACGAGUGGCAUAAAACCCAUAAGUACCUUCACUGCGGUGGCAUAAAAAUAAAAUAAAUAUUUCUUUUCUACUUUAUAAAAUAAAAAAAACAGAGAGUAAUAUUUAUUGAGGAAGCUCAACGUGAUGAAGGCUAGAUAUUUAUGCUAACACUUAAUUAGUUCCACAAGCUUUGUUGUCUAUUUGAGCUCCACAGAAUUUAAGAAUCAAGAAGACUAGCAGACGGAGGACAUUCUAACCGCUGUCAGAAUGCUGCUGACUUUCAAAUACACCUCUGCCACCUGCUAGCUACAUCAAGAGAAAUUACGUCAAAAUUCAGCUUGGGGGAGAGCACCCCUAUUUAUCUCGCUAAGUAUUUCUACCUAUCUUUAUACUUAUAUUAUAUUAGAAUAUUAAAAUACAUAAACUAUGAAAAACCAAAUAAAGAUUUUGUGCUUAUAUAUAUAUCUUUUGCUUAGUGUGUUUAAUAAAUAAAUAAAGUGGCUAUGCUAAUCUGAAUCUUAAUAAUAAAACUCUAGCAUGGAUAUGAUGAAUAGUUGCUCUGCCUAAUUUGCAAAUUUGAAGUUCUCUCUCAAGUUUAGACAUAACUGUUAUAAUUUAAAGCUUGCUCUAGAUCUAAACUUGUGGGAUAAAAACUUGAUCUGAAAUCUAAGUUGUUAACGGAUAUGAUAUGGGAAUGUUGAGCUGCUGUUUAUCUAUUCCUAGAGAUGCUAGAAUUCUGGAGAAUUUUAUCUUUGAAAAUUUUUUAAAAUAUUGCAUGAUGAGUUCCUGUAUGAUGAAAGUUUUAAUUCCUACCACAGCCAUAUAUACAUGCUUGCUAGACUUCGAGCCACACAUUUAUUUACUGCUUAUGAGCAUUGAGUGUGGUCAAGCUGUGUAGACCCUUAGGAGCUUGUCAUGUGGUUAAAUCAAGAUUCACUUGCACGUUCACUCAUAUAUAUGCUACUUCUACUCCGAAAGUACCAUCCACAUAUAUCCAUCCAUUUCCAUCUCCAGAAUCACCUAAAAAUAUUCUACUCCUAAUUCGGGAGAGAAUAGCCAAAAACAUCUGUGUUUUUCCCUUGUGAAAUAAAUGCUCAAGUUAUCUUUCUACUACCACUUGCUAUAUUAUCUCAAGAGAUGAGUGCUCUGAAAAAAAAGAAGAAAAAAAGAAAAGAAAAAAAAUAAUAAACGAGGAAAUAAAAAGGGGCAAGUGCCCGAAACCUCGAAAGAAAAGAAAAGAGUGAGACAAGAGGUAAAAAUGGACAAGUGUCCGACAGUAGAAUUAGGGGUACAAGAUACCCACCUGAGAGGAAAAAAAAGAGCAUCUCAUUCUCCUCAUAAAGUUUCAAAAAGCAAGGAAGGUAUGUAUUCCCUCAUAAGAGCAAAAGUAGAAUUAGACUUUCACCAUUGUUAUCACCAUCAUCACUAUACACCAUUCAUUCGCCACACAUGCACAUCUUGAUUUGGCUUAUUGAUUUGUUUCUUUGGAUCCAUGGUUUGACUAUACAAUAAAUGUCUUGUAAGUAUGUAUACUUUAUCUCCCACCUAUGAGCUCCAGAUAUUAAAGCCUUAUUAGAGUAGGGUGAGAGAGAAGACAAUGUCACUAUCCCUUAUACCACAAAUACCACAUAUUUUGAGAGAAGGCAUAUACCAUCACUGCCUUGGUAAGGAUCCAGAAAUACCACAAAAGAGAGAUAUGAGAGAGUCAUACAAAGGAAUCUCUGAGUUUUAUUUGAAAAUCUGCAAAAACUCCAGAGCUAUAGCUGAUCAAGAAUAAGAGACAUGGCACUUGGCUAGACUGUUCUAUCUUUUAACUACUCAAGACAGAAGUGACAGUUACAAGUCCCAUGGUGAAAGGUAAAGUAAGUAAGUUUUAGUUCUUGACAGUUUACUCUAACUUAGAGAUGAGAUCUUAUUUAAAAGCAUGUGUACCGUUAAAUUUUUAAGAUAUUGCAACAACUUCUGAUCCAUUGCUGAGUCUAUCCUUGCUCAGGGACGAGCAAGAGGUAAGCUUGGGGGAGUUUGUUGACGGUCCUUAAGUAUCAAAUUUAACUAUCAAAUAAAUAAAGAAAAGGAUCCAAAUGAAAUCAACAUCAAGACUUAGGGUUUUAUCUGACAGAAUUCCACGAGUUUUGGUGUUUGUCUAUUUCUGCAGGGGGUUAUCAGGAAAUAUGGAAGAAAGGCCCACAUGUCGGGAUUACGUAAAGAUAUUAACGUGCUGCGCAAUUAUCUUACAUCUAGAAGACUCCAGAAGCCACGAGACCGAAGCGGAGGCAAAACGGGGCCAGAGACAGGGCGCCCGCCCUGUCCUACUGGGCGCCCGCCCACCUCCUGUGGCCAAUCACGCUCAAUCUCGCGGAUUAUGCUCCACCGACCUAAAUGAUCAAGAAUAACCGUUCAAUCAAUGUCGGUUUGAUCCGACGGCCCAGGUUCACUUGAGGGGACUAUAAAACCAGACCCCCUGGCCCCUGGAGGAGACACCCCUUGAUCAUUAUUCAUUAUUCAUAGACAGAGCAAAAGCUAGGGUUUAGAGAUGAGAGCUCUCCUCUCUUCUCUAAACUAGAGUAGAUCUAGAUAGUAGCGAGAUGGAGAGCGAAGGAGGAUUAGAGGAGAGGCCGGCCUGUCGGUUCUUCCUCCGGUUGUACUUCGCCAUGAUCAAGCUCUAAUCAAGCUUGCUCAUGGGAUGACUCUGGUAAUCUACUUCUAAUUCAUUAUGCAAUUACUAAUCAUGUAUGUUCUGGUUCACAACUCUUUUGAGUACUUCUAAUCUAUAGGACCCUAUAGGUUAGAGUUGUAGUAUAGGUGUAAGCGUGGUGCUUAGACCUAGAUUACUUGUGGAUAUCCCCUGACUAGCUGGAUCGUGUGGUAGGCCGCGUAGGUGACAGUUACGUUGGUCCCCUGUAGUCCACCUCUCGUUAGCAGGACGGGUAGGGUUUAUCGGCCUAUGGAUAAGCAUCCUUUGUGGUGUACUCUUAUCACGUGGUUCGUCCCAGACAUAGACAUACCACUUUGAAGUAGAGAAACCAUAGUUAUCCUCUCUAUUCUGCUACCAUCGCCCAUAUACUAGAAUUGCUCUAUUCUCUAUUCCCAUAUUAUCACUCACUGUUAUCUUACCUUUAAUAUUGUUCUUAUUCGAUUCUACCAUCUUUCCUAUUCACACCUAUUUACUUAUCUUGGUUAAGUUAGAACGUAGAUCAGUUCUCCCGCUUCCCUGUGGAUACGAUAAAACCUUUAACCGGGUAAAAGCUUCAACGGUAUCCGUGCGCUUGCGGAUUAUCUGUGUGCAUAUAAAUACCAUAGUACACUCUAGUGCCACGCUGGGGAUGACAACCUAGUAUUCAAGUGGUGUUAGCAAGUGUCAACACAUAUGUGAUGCACAUAUAAAUGCAACAUACAAGUUUAUGAGCUUGCUCCCCCUACUUGUGUGCUUCAAAAAUUUUAAUUGAUCCCCUUCUUUUAUCAUGUUACUCCCCUAUCUUAAAUCUUUGGGAAAUUUUCUCCCCCUUUGUCAUCAAUGACCACAAAAGGUGAGCUCAAAUUAUAGAUAGGUUAGUGUGAAACCAUGUGAAGUGAGAUUAUUUUCCCAAAUUGGUCCAAUCUAGAUUACUUGCCUAAGAUAUUUAACUCGGUUUGAUCCAAGGAUAAGCUUCUUCACACCUCCAAACAAGGGUUAUCUUGUGCCAUGUUGAGUUAAACACUUAUAGCUUAUAUUCUAGAUCAAACACUAGGAUUGCAAGCCCACAAACAUGUCAUAUGCUACCACUAGAUCAAGUCAAGCAUAGAAGCAAUAGUGGUACCAUAUAAGCGUCAAAUUCAUUUGAUUUUCAUGAAUGAUCCUAAGACAUGUAAGGAAUGACUAGAUGCACUACACAAGUCCUUAGCAUAGGAUGGAUGACAUGUCAAACAAUUUUACCUUGCUUUGUUUGAAGGUGAGGCAUGUCAUAUAGUGGGGGUGCAUCAACACAUAUUUGAGAAGUCAAGUAUGUUCAAUUCAUUCCUUAGCUUGCAAAACCUCUUCUCAUCAAGUGGCUUGGUGAAUAUAUCAGCAAGUUGAUCAUCGGUGCCUAUACUCUCAAUGCAAAUGUCCCCUUUUUGUUGGUGAUCUCUUAUGAAGUGAUGGCGGACAUCUAUGUGCUUUGUUCUUGAGUGUUGAACCGGAUUGUUGGUGAGCUUCACGGCACUUUCAUUGUCACAUAGCAAGGGCACUUGUUUGAAAUUGAUUCCAAAGUCCUUCAAUGUUGCCUUCAUCCAUAGGAUUUGUGCACAACAACUACCGGCCGCAAUGUACUCUGCUUCGGUGGUUGAUAGUGCAACACUAUUUUGCUUCUUGGAUGACCAUGAGACAAGUGAUCUUACCAAUAGUUGACAUGUGCCCGAUGUGCUUCUUCUUUCAACUUUGCAUCCCGCAUAGUCCAAAUCAGAAUAUCCAACAAGUUCAAACUUUGCACCUUUGGGAUACCACAAACCAACAUUUUGUGUAUGCUUCAAGUACCUGAAUAUUCUCUUUGUUGCUCUCAGAUGACUUUCUCUUGGUGAGGCUUGGAAUCUUGCACACAUGCAUACAAUAAACAUGACAUCCGGUCUUGAUGCGGUAACAUAGAGUAGGCUUCCAAUCAUAGACCGAUACAAUUUUUGAUCCACCAUAUUUCCACUUGUAUCACUAUCAAGGCUUCCAUUUGUUCCCGUUGGAGUGCUAAUUGACUUUGCAUCAUCCAUUCCAAACUUCUUGAGCAUGUCUUUUAUGUACUUGCCUUGACUCACAAAUGUGCCAUUCUUCAAUUGCUUGAUUUGAAGACCAAGGAAGUAACUAAGUUCUCCAAUCAUUGACAUCUCAAAUUCAUUAGCCAUCAUGUUGCCAAACUCCUCACAAAAUUCUUGGUUGGUUGAUCCAAAUAUGAUAUCAUCAACAUAGAUUUGCAACACAAACAAGUCCUUGCCAAUCUUCUUGGUGAAGAGAGUGGUGUCAACCUUCCCCAUCUUGAAACCUUUAGAGAGUAAGAAAUCUCUCAAUCUCUCAUACCAUGCUCUUGGUGCUUGCUUCAAACCAUACAAUGCCUUUCUUAGCUUGUAGAUAUGGUUGGGUUUCUUAUCAUCUUCAAAACUAGGAGGUUGCUCAACAUAAACUUCUUCAUUGAUAUAGCCAUUGAGAAAUGCACUCUUAACAUCCAUUUGGUAGAGCUUGAUGUUAUGAGCACAAGCAUAGGCUAGCAAGAUCCUAAUUGCUUCCAAUCUUGCAACCGGGGCAUAUGUUUCACCAAAGUCAAGACCUUCAACUUGAGUAUAGCCUUAUGCUACCAAUCUUGCUUUGUUUCUUACAACUAACCCAUCUUGAUCUUGUUUGUUGCGAAAGACCCAUCUAGUGCCAAUGACAUUAUGAUCACUAGGCCUCUCAACUAAUUCCCAUACUUGAUUUCUUUUGUAGUUGUUAAGCUCUUCAUGCAUAGCAUUAACCCAAUCAACAUCUCUCAAUGCUUCAUCAAUCUUCUUUGGCUCAAUGUGAGACACAAAGGAGAAAUACUCACAAAAUGAUGCUAGUCUUGAUCUAGUUUGCACUCCUCUUUGAAUGUCACCUAUGAUAGGAUCCAAUGGAUGAUCUCUUGCAAUGUUUGUCGGUUGGAGUAUUUGCACUUGAUUGCUUGCACUUGGUUGAUCAUGAGAUGAUGUACUAGCUUGUUGAUCUUGCACUUGUGUACCACUUGUACUAGCUUGAUUUUGAUCAUGAGAACCACUAGCUUGCACAUUAGAGGUAGGAAGCACUUGAUCUUUGUCAUCUUCAACAUCAAUCACCUCUCUAGGCCUUAAAUCACCAAUGUCCAUGUUCUUCAUUGCAUCGGCCAAUUGAGUGCCUCUUACAUCAUCUAGAUUCUCAUCUUCCUCUUGAGAGCCAUUGGUUUCAUCAAACUCAACAUCAUGCACCUCCUCAAGAGUACCACAAGCCAAAUUCCAAACUCUAUAAGCUUUGCUAGUAGUGGAGUAACCAAGCAAGAAACCUUCAUCACAUUUCUUCUCAAAUUUACUCAAUCUAGUGCCUUUCUUCAAUAUGUAGCAUUUGCAAUCAAAAACCCGAAAGUAUGCAAUAUUGGGCUUUCUACCAUUCAAGAGCUCAUAUGGUGUCUUCUCCAUCAUUGGGUGACAAUAGAGUCGGUUGCUAUAGUAGCAAGCCGUGUUGAUUGCUUCAGCCCAAAAAGAAUGACUCAUAUUGUAUUCACUCAACAUUGAUCUUGCCAUGUCAAUUAAGGUUCUAUUCUUCCUCUGAACAAGACCAUUUGAUUGUGGAGUAUACUUGGCCGAGAAUUGAUGCCUAAUGCCAAAUUCAUCACAAAGCUCAUCAACUCUUGUGUUCUUGAAUUCACUUCCAUUGUCACUUCUCACUUUCUUGAUGGUUGUUUCAAACUCAUUGUGUAUUCUCUUGACAAAUGUUUUGAAGGUUGCAAAAGUAUCACUCUUGUCACUAAGAAAGAAUACCCAUGUGUAUCUUGUGAAAUCAUCCACUAUCACAAAUCCAUAUUUGUUUCCACCAAUGCUUGUGUAUGUGGUGGGUCCAAAUAAGUCUAUGUGCAACAACUCAAAUGCCUUGCAUGUACGUACUCAUGAUACUCUUCUUUGGAUGAGUGUUGCCAACUUGUUUUCCGGCUUGACAUGCACUACAAAGCUUUUCUUUCUCAAAUGUGACAUCUUUCAAGCCUCUAACAAGAUCAUGCUUGACUAACUUGUUUAAUUGUUUCAUUCUAACAUGACCAAGCCUUCUAUGCCAUAACCAACCCAUGCUAGAUUUAGUGAGCAAACAUGUUGAUAAUUGAGCUUCACUAGCAUUGAAAUCAACCAAGUAUAGAUUCUCAUAUCUAAAGCCUUUGAAUAUCAAGCUAGAGCCAUCUACACUUAUGAUUUCUACAUCAUCAACUCCAAAUAUGCAUUUGAAACCAAGAUCACAAAGUUGAGCUACGGAUAGCAAAUUGAAGUUCAAGCUCUCUACUAGUAGCACAUUGGAAAUGCUCAAGUCAUUGGAUAUAGCAAUUUUACCAAGCCCUUUGACCUUGCCUUUGCCAUUGUCACCAAAUGUGAUACUAUGAACACCAUUGUCAUCAUUUGGAUUGAUUGAAUUGAACAUUCUUGAAUCACCGGUCAAGUGUUGUGUGCACCCACUAUCAAGCACCCAAUGCCUUCCUCCAGCUUUAUAGUUUACCUACAAAACAAAUCAAUAUUUCUUAGGUACCCAUACUUGUUGGGUCCUUGGAGGUUAGUGACUAAGCUUUUUGGUACCCAAAUGGCCUUCUUCUUUGGACCCACAAUUGGUGUACCAACAAACUUAGCAUGCACAUCCUUGACCACUAUGGCUUGUUCUAUGCUCUCUGUAAGGAUCCUUGGUAAGCCUAGAGGGGGGGUGAAUAGGCGUAUCUACUAAUUUUCUACACAACUCAAAGUCACUUGUCAGCAACUGUCGGAAGUUAUGACAGUUCAGGUCGGAACUUCCGACGCAAAGUGUUAGAAGUUCCAACGCAAACUGUCAGAAGUUCCGACGCAAACCGUCAGAAGUUCCGACGCCUACAGGAAAUGAACUACAAGUGCCUAAAUAAACUUUGUGAAGGCAAUAACUUACAACCCACUUUCUAGUGGUAAGAUGAAGUAAUCCAAGUGCUUCCUUGACCUUGAACCGCCACCAAUUUGUAGAUCGGGACCAAAACCUAAGAAAUGGAUUGAGAGAGAAAGAGACAACAAAGAACAAGUAAUCUCAAGUAAUCACAACAACAAUAAGCACACGGGACACAAAGAUUUAUCCCCAGGUUCGGCUCGCCACUAAGGCUUGCGUACGUCCUCGUUGUUGAGGUGACCACUAAGGUCGGAGUCUCUUUCACCUCCUUGCCUCUCUCAAGCAACCACAAAGGUAAACUUGAGUUCUUCACUAGAAAAUCAAGGGUAAUACAAACUUUCCAAGGUCCUCCCAAAGAUCGGGAGCUCUUGGGCGACGCCUAGCCGGCUAGGGUUCCAAGAACCCAAGAGUAAUAGACGCAAAUCCAAUCUGCUUGACGAAGAACUCAAGUGCUCAAGCUUGUCAGAUGAUUUUCUCACUCAAUCUACUCUCCUAUCACUCAAAUCCUUGGGGAAUCGAAGUUUAGAGCAAAGGGGAGAGGAGAGGAGAGCCUUGAGAGCUUGAGAGCUAUUGGGUUCGUGAGUGAGUUGCUUAGAAUGAGUCCGUAACGGUUAGAAACGUUGAGAAAGCUAUUUAUACAAGAAGCUAAAAACUAACCGUUCAGAUCUAUGUCGGAAGCUCCGACGCGGAUCUCGGGACUUCCGACAUAUACUAAAAACACUGUUCACUUGGUCAGAAGUCUAUACAAAACUAGUCAACGUCAUCAGUUCCGACGCACGUCAUCAGUUCCGACGCGUCAUCAGUUCUGACACAUGUCAUCACUUCCGACACGUCAUCAGUUCCGACGUACGUCGGGACUUCCGACGCAAGGGCGAGCAGAGGUAGCAAGAGGGCCAGGUGUCGGGACUUCCGACGAACGUCAUCAGUUCUGACAUGCGUCAUCAGUUCCGACGCGCGUCGGGACUUCCGACGCAAUCGCGAGCAGAGGUAGCAAGAGGGCCAGGUGUCGGAACUUCCGAUGAACGUCAUCAGUUCCGAUAUGCGUCAUCAGUUCCGACGCACGUCGGGACUUCCGACGCAAGCGCGAGCAGAGGUUGCAAGAGGGCCAGGUGUCGGGACUUCCGACGAACGUCAUGAGUUCCGACAUGCGUCAUCAGUUCUGACGCACGUCGGGACUUCCGACACCACAAGUCUUAAAAAACUAUUCUACGUGCUCGUGAAGUGCUAGAGUGUCUCUCUUUCGAUUUAGUUUUAAUACUUGAGCACUCUAUCUUCCUCAGACCAACUAAAUUUGCAUCCCUCUUUAUAGUGCGGCAUAGCCUAAACUCAAGAUUAAAUAUUAAAUAAUUAAAAUGCCUUUGAGUCCAUCACCACAUCAUUUGGUAAUUGGGCUUUUGCCAUCUCACAUAUCAUGUGUUACCCUCAUUCUUAUUUUACCUGCUUGCCAUCUCAACAAAUCUCAUUAGUCCUCUAAUUGUGUGGUCAUUAUCACUAAAACCCACAACUAGGGCUUGAUUGCACUUACAAUCUCCCCCUUUUUGGUGAUUGAUGACAACACAACUAGAGCUUACAAAAAUAUUUAAAGUAUAACUGAGAUUUCAAAGUCAUGGGUGUAGAGACUCCCCCUAAAUAUGUGAAUGUAGAAUUGAAUUCUCAAACUGGCAUAAGAGGCCAAAAUUCACAUAUAGAGUUAAGUGAUGGGGCUUCCUCUACAUCCAUGCUUCUGUGGGGUGCUGCACAUAGUGUCACAGGAAUAUACGUGAUGCGUAUGACAAGUAUGCACACAAUCAUUCAAGGCAAGGAAAAAAAAUUGUACCCCCCUCUCAUUCUCCCCCUUUGGCAACAAGCACCAAAAAGUGAGAAAAGAAGAAAGAGGGAUACAACACACUUAACAUAUUAUGGUCAGCAACAGAUGAACAAGAACAAGUAAUGACCAUAAAAUGCAAGUUCUCUUUUGAUAAAGCAUUUUGAAGCGUAAUAAGAACCUUUUUGCAAACCUUUUGCCUAGAUACUAGUUGAUCAAUCAAAGGUGUGCUAAAUUUCAAACCACCUUACGGGAAUCAAGUAUAUUUAGCUCACUACGCAAAGCACAAAACCUUGUCUCGUCAAGAGGCUUAGUGAAGAUAUCGGCUAGUUGCUUUUCGGUGCUCACAUGGCGAAUUUCGAUAUCUCUUUUGGCUUCGUGGUCUCUCAAGAAGUGAUGUCGGACGUCUAUGUGCUUAGUUCUUGAAUGGCUUACGGGAUUGUUUGCAAGCUUUAUGGCACUUUCAUUGUCACACAAUAAUGGGAUUUUGGUAAAACGACAUCCGAAAUCACGAAGGGUUUGCCUCAUCCAAAGUAGUUGAGCACAACAUGCACCGGCUGCAACAUACUCGGCCUCGGCGGUGGAAAGGGCUACACAUUUUUGCUUUUUAGAACUCCAAGACACUAGGGACCGUCCAAGGAAUAGACAUGUCCCCAAAGUGCUUUUUCGAUCCACUGCAACCGGCGUAAUCGGAGUCCGAAUACCCAAGUAGAUCAAACUUAGAGCCCUUAGGAUACCACAAGCCAAGGUUAGGACUGUGUACUAAAUAUCUCAAGAUUCUCUUAACAGCCACUAAGUGGCACUCUUUUGGGUUAGCUUGAAAUCUAGCACACAUGCACACACUAAGCAUAAUAUCAGGCCUAGAUGCACACAAAUAGAGUAGAGAGCCGAUCAUGGAGCGAUAUACCUUUUGGUCGAUGGCUUUCCCUUCCUCAUUAAGAUCAAGAUGUCCAUUGGUUGGCAUGGGAGUUUUUAUGGGCUUUGCAUUCGCCAUGUCAAACUUCUUUAGCAUAUCAUGGGUGUACUUAGUUUGGCUAAUGAAAGUUCCAUCCUUUAAUUGCUUGAUUUGAAAACCAAGAAAGAACUUCAAUUCACCCAUCAUAGACAUCUCAAAUCUCUUGGUCAUGAUCCUACUAAAUUCCUCACAAAAUUCUUGGUUAGUACUACCAAAUAUUAUGUCAUCGACAUAUAUUUGGCACACAAAUAUAUCUUUAUUGACUUUGCGAGUGAAAAGGGUAGGAUCAGCUUUGCCUAUUUCAAAGCCUUGUUUGAGCAAGAAUUCCUUAAGGCAUUCAUACCAUGCUCUUGGUGCUUGCUUAAGCCCAUAGAGCGCCUUUUGGAGUUUGUAGACGUGGUUGGGGAACUUGGGAUCUUCAAAACCCGGUGGUUGCUCAACAUAGACAAGCUCUUGGAUAGGGCCAUUGAGGAAUGCACUUUUGACAUCCAUUUGAUAUAGCUUGAAGUCAUGAUGGGCAGCAAAGGCUAAAAGCAUUCGGAUUGCCUCAAGCCUUGCCACUGGUGCAUAUGUUUCUUUAAAGUCCAAGCCCUCUACUUGAGUGUAGCCUUGAGCAACCAAUCUUGCUUUGUUCCUAGUCACCACUCCAUUUUCAUCCUGCUUGUUUCGGAAGACCCACUUGGUGCCAAUCACAUUCGUCUUGGGUCUUUCCACCAAUGUCCAAACUUGAUUUCUUUCAAAGUUAUUCAUCUCUUCUUGCAUGGCCAUCACCCAAUCCUCAUCUUCAAGAGCCUUUUCAACCUUAACUGGUUCCACAGGAGAAACAAAAGAGUAAUAUUGACAAAAUUUGCUAAAUGAGAACGUGUCAAUACCCCCUUUCGAAGACUCCCAAGGAUGUUGUCGACGGGGUGAUCUCGUUGAAUGAUUUGCUUGAGUCUUGGAUGCUCGAUGGCCUCUUGAUUACUUUCUAGAUCUUCAACUUCUUCUUCUUCUUCUUCUUCUUCUUCAAAUAUGGGUUGUAGGUUUUGUCCUCGAAUUUGAGUUGGACUUGCUGCUGUUGUUGAAGGGGGUGUGGCAUUACCACUCUUAGGUGUGGCACAACUGCUCUGUUGUGCUGCAGCAGGGGUUUGCGGAAACUUGUUCACCAGCAGCUUGGGAAACCACCACAUCAGUGACUUCAUCUUCUCGUGGCCUAAUAUCACCAAUAGCCAAUUGUUUGAUUGCAUCACAAGGUGGAUCCUCCUUUCCUACAACACUUGAAUCAACUUGCUCUACUUGAGAGCCAUUAGAUUCAUCAAAUGUCACAUCUACCGCUAUUUCAACUCUCCUAGAGGUUUUGUUGAAAACACGAUAGGCAUGCUCAUUUGAUCCAUAACCAGGAAGAAAACCUUCAUCAACUUUAGGUGCAAACUUAGAUGUUUUGGGUUUCUUGUUAAGUAUGAAACACUUACACCCAAACACUCUAAAGUAAGACACCUUUGGUUUGUUACCGGUUAGAAGCUCAUAUGAAGUUUUCUUCAAUUUCUUGUGUAGGUAGAGGCGAUUGAUGGCAUGGCAAGCGGUGUUGACAGCGUCACACCAAAACAAAUCUGAAGUCUUGUACUCAUCUAGCAUUGUCCUUGCCAUAUCAAUGAGUGUUCGGUUCUUCCUCUCUACUACACGAUUUUGUUGAGGGGUGUAUGGACUUGAGAACUCAUGCUUGAUGCCCUCUUCAUCAAGGAACUCCUCAACUUGAGUGUUCUUGAAUUCGGUCCCAUUAUCACUUCUCAUCUUCUUGAUGGGGAGACCAAACUCCUUUUGAGCUCUUCUAACAAAUGUCUUCACUUUGUCCCUAACUUGACACUUAUCAAACAAGAAAAAUACCCAAGUGAAACGGGAAUAGUCAUCAACAAUAACAAGACCAUAUUUGUUACCCCCGAUACUUAGGUAGGCGACCGGUCCAAAGAGAUCCAUGUGGAUGAGCUCCAAUGGUUGUGUGGUGGUCAUGAUGCUCUUUGGUGGGUGAGGUACGCCAACUUGCUUUCCGGCUUGACAAGCUCUACAUAUCCUAUCUUUCUCAAAGUGAACAUUUGUUAGUCCAAGAAUGUGUUCAUCCUUUUGAAGUUUGGCCAAGUUCCUCAUCCCAACAUGGGCUAGUCGGCGAUGCCAAAGCCAACCCAUGCUAGAUUUUACCACUAAACAGGUCUCAAGAUUAGCUUUACUUUUAUUGAAAUCAACUAGGUAAAGCUUAUUCUUUAAACGACCCGUAAAGACAAUAGAGGAAUCCUCCCUUCUAAAGACUUCCACACCCUUAUCCGUAAAGAGACAAUUGUAACCCAUCUCACACAAUUGAGAAACGGAUAACAAAUUGUAGCUCAACGAAUCAACAUGCAAAACAUUUGUAAUUGAAUGCUCAAAGGUUAUAGCAACUUUACCGAGACCAAGCACAUCCCCUUUAGAAUUGUCUCCAAAGACAAUGUUCUCAUUUGAGUCCACCUUUGGGGUAUAUGAUUGGAACAUACUCCUUUCUCCGGUCAUAUGAUUUGUACAUCCACUAUCAAGCACCCAACUUGAUCCACCGGAGGAGUAUGCCUGCAAAACAAGUUUAGUUGCUAGAUUUAGGUCCCCAAAUAGACUUGAGGCCUUGCAUGUUAGUCACAAGUAUCUUAGAAACCCAAAUGGAAGUAUUCUUGUAGACAUUGGUCUCCUUGCCAACAUACUUAGCAACAACUUCACCACGGUUGUUACUUUUCAACACAAAGCAUGAUGACAAGCUUUGUCGAGGUGCAUGGACCUUUGGUUGAUAAGCAUACUUGUUUGGAGUUCCCCAUAUUAAUUCCUUUGGCUUCUGGGAAAUCUUCUUUUCCUUGUAUGUCACUUUCUUUUCGGGCUUAGUUUGAUUAGGAACAAAAUUGGUAGCCUUCCCAUUUUUGCGGGGCGUGACAUUACCGCCCUUCAUCAUGGUAUUGCCACUAUGUGGCACUACCGCUCGGGGACGUUGUACUGUCACAAUCUGUGCAGGCCGCUCUACACCAAUUUUGCCCUUGCUUUCAAACUUGACACACUCAUAGCCAUUGAUUAUCUUUCUUCCAUUUGUCUUGGCUCCUAUUGUGUGUCCAAGCCCAUACUUGAUUGAGGGAUGUCUCCCUUGCUUGAAUUGAGGCCCUUUUGGAUCAUUUUCCCUUUUAUCACUCACGUGAGCCUUACCACCCAAGCAAUUCUUACUAAUGAUCUCAUUGAGCCUUUCAAUCUCCUUUCUCAUAGUCUCUAAGUUAACAAGGUUAGUAGAAUGAGCAUUCAAAUCAAGAUUAUAACAUUUUCCACAACCUUGACUAGUGGAGAGAGUAGAGCCAUCCUUUGUCUUAGAGGGAUGUGAGUCGCUAUCCCAAAGAAUGCUAUAUUGUUCCUCAAGUUGCUUGUACUUUCCAUCUAAGUCACAAUACUUUUGCUUGAGGGCAAUAUUUGCUUUCUUUGUGAUAGCAUGGUCCCCUUGCUCUUUGGCCAAAGCCUUGCGCAAGGAUUCCACCUCACUUCUCUCUAAAACAAGAGCUUCCUUGCUAGCAAUAUAAAGGUUCUCUUGUUUGAUAAGAGUCUCUUCACUAGAUUCUAACUCAGCUUGAACACUCUCUAAAUCCUCCAUUAGCUUAGUGAUGAACAAUUUGGUCUUGCUAUCCAAAUUUUUAGUUAUGAUAUCAAUUUCUUCAUCACUAGACACAUCAUCACUAGAGUAAUCACUUAUAUCACUACUAGAUGUCUCACUAGGGGGAGAAGGAUUGGAUUUGGAUUUUACCUUCUCACCCUUUGCCAUAAGACAAAUGUGAGGGGAGUAGUAGUCAUCAUCAAACAUGUUGUUGAAGAGCCUUGGUGUGGAGGAUGGCUCGUGAAUAGCCACAGUUGCAAUCUUCUCAUCCUCCUCACUUGAGCUAUCUUUUGUUGAGUCCCAUUCAUGUCCAAUGUGAGCUUCUCCCAUGUGUCUUUUGCUCUUUUUGUAGUCGGUCUUGCUCUCUUUCUUGUCUCUCUUGUAAUUGUUGUCUUCGAUUUCAUGAGGACAAUGAGCAAUGAGAUGUUCAGUGCUUCCACAAUUGUAGCAUAGCCUCUUCUUCUUGUUUGGGAACUUUCUCUUCACUACCUUGUAGCCUUGCUUUUUGAGUCCCUUUUGAUAUCUUCUCAAAAAAAGAGCAAUAUCUUGCACUUUCUCAUAUUGUUCACUAUCAUUUUUAUCUUCACUUGAUGAUGAUGUUGUCUCUACUUCUUUGACUUGCUUUGGUGCUUUGGUCUUGCUAGUUGAUGCUUGCUUGUUGGACAUGGACUUGCUUGUAGAGGGUCGUUUGGUUGACUUGUUGGCUUUGAGAGCUACAUCAUCAUUGAUCUUGAUGCCUUCUAGCUUUGCUUGCAGCUCACCAAGCUUCUUUCUUUCAUUGGCUUCUUCUCUUUGCAUAUCAAAUGUCAAAAUCCUCCCAAGUACAUCAUUUGGUGUGAAGUACUCAAACUUCUUCUUAUCUCUAAUUAGAGUUACUACGGUCUCAUUUCUUGGUGAAUAAGCUUCCAACAUAAUCUUGACAACUUUAUGAUCAUCUAACUCAUCACAACCAUAGCCUCUAAUCUUGCCCACCAAGGACAUCAACCUAUCAAACAUCUCUUGUGGCCCUUCUCCAUCCAAGAUAACAAACCGGUUGAGCUUGGCCAUCAUCAAAUCAAUUCUUGCCUUCCUUACUUUGUCAACUCCUUCAUGUGCAAGGUGCAAAGUAUCCCAUAUUUGCUUGGCAAUGUCAACACCAAUCACUCUAUUGUACUCAUCACCAUCCAAAGCACUAAGCAACACACUUGUGGCUUGACCAUUGAGGUGAAUGAUUCUCAUCUCUUCUAAUGUUGGGUUCUUGGGAUCAACUGGUAACUCAAACCCAUUGCAAACAACCUCCCAAAUGCCGAGGUGGAGACCUAUAAGAUAAGCUCUCAUCAAGUGCUUCCACUUGGCAAAGUUAGUCCCAUCAAAAUGAGGUAACUUCCCUGCAGGCACAUUAAUAAAGACUUGCGAUCAUGGUUAGUCAUAGACAAAGAAGAAUAGUUAAAGGAUACUGCGGCAUAUUUGUUAUUGUCGUUCUUCUUGCCCUUUCCUUUCUUGUCCUUCUUGCUAUGCACUUGAUAGGACUCAUCAUCAUCACCAUCUUCGGAGCUGCUAGAAAGCUCACUAGAAGAUGUGUUGGGAGCUUUGGCUUCUUCUUUCUUCUUCCUAGCUUCCCUUCUCUUUCUUCUUUCUUCUCUCUUGAGCCUUCUAGCUUCUUUUCUUGCUUUCUUCUCAUCUAAUCGUUGUCGCUCUUUCUUCUUUUCUCUUGCUUCUCUUUUCAGCUUUCUUGCUUCUUUCCUCUUUCUCUUCUCUUCUUCAUCGAGAACCCUUUCACCAUCGGUAGGCUCGAGAUGAGGAAGUGUGGUUUUGCUUGUUGUCGAUACACUGAGUUGGAUGCUAUCAGUGUCAGUGUCAUGCAAGCCCAUUUCCUCGGGACGGACUUCCGUAGACUUUGCACCGCUCGAUCCUCCUCCGGGCUCCAUACCUCACGCGGUGAAGCGCACACGAGGUAACCGGCUUUGAUACCACUUGUAAGGAUCCUUGGUAAGCCUAGAGGGGGGGUGGAUAGGCGUAUCUACUAAUUUUCUACACAACUCAAAGUCACUUGUCAGCAACUGUCGGAAGUUAUGACAGUUUAGGUCGGAACUUCCGACACAAAGUGUCAGAAGUUCCAACGCAAACUAUCAGAAGUUCCGACGCAAACCGUCAGAAGUUCCGACGCCUACGGGAAAUGAACUACAAGUGCCUAAAUAAACUUUGUGAAGGCAAUAACUUACAACCCCACUUUCUAGUGGUAAGAUGAAGUAAUCCAAGUGCUUCCUUGACCUUAAACCGCCACCAAUUUGUAGAUCGGGACCAAAACCUAAGAAAUGGCUUGAGAGAGAAAGAGACAACAAAGAACAAGUAAUCUCAAGUAAUCACAACAACAAUAAGCACACGGGACACAAAGAUUUAUCCCGAGGUUCGGCUCGCCACUAAGGCAUGCGUACGUCCUCGUUGUUGAGGUGACCACUAAGGUCGGAGUCUCUUUCACCUCCUUGCCUCUCUCAAGCAACCACAAAGGUAAACUUGAGUUCUUCACUAGAAAAUCAAGGGUAAUACAAACUUCCCAAGGUCCUCCCACAGAUCGGGAGCUCUUGGGCGACGCCUAGCCGGCUAGGGUUCCAAGAACCCAAGAGUAAUAGACGCAAAUCCAACCGGCUUGACGAAGAACUCAAGUGCUCAAGCUUGCUAGAUGAUUUUCUCACUCAAUCUACUCUCCUGUCACUCAAAUCCUUAGGGAAUCGAAGUUUAGAGCAAAGGGGAGAGGAGAGGAGAGCCUUGAGAGCUUGAGAGCUGUUGGGGUCGUGAGUGAGUUGCUUAGAAUGAGUCCGUAACGGUUAGAAACGUUGAGAAAGCUAUUUAUACAAGAAGCUGAAAACUAACCGUUCAGAUCUACGUCGGAAGUUCUGACGUGGAUCUCGGGACUUCCGACAUAUACUAAAAACACUGUUCACUUGGUCAGAAGUCUAUACAAAACCAGUCAACGUCAUCAGUUCCGACGCGUCAUCAGUUCUGACACAUGUCAUCACUUCCGACACGUCAUCAGUUUCGACGUACGUCGGGACUUCCGACGCAAGCGCGAGCAGAGGUAGCAAGAGGGCCAGGUGUCGGGACUUCCGACGAACGUCAUCAGUUCCGACAUGCGUCAUCAGUUCCGACAUGCGUCAUCAGUUCCGACGCGCGUCGAGAUUUCCGACGCAAGCGCGAGCAGAGGUAGCAAGAGGGCCAGGUGUCGGGACUUCCGAUGAACAUCAUAAGUUCCGACGCACGUCGAGACUUCUGACGCAAGCGCGAGCAGAGGUUGCAAGAGGGCCAGGUGUCGGGACUUCCGACGAACGUCAUCAGUUCCGACAUGCGUCAUUGUUGAUAUUUGGGAACGCAAUAAGGAAUUGAUCCGCAAGCGCACGGAUAUCGGUGAGAACUUCACCCGGGAAAUUAUCCAGAGUAUCGUAUUUAUUUUUUUACCACUAAGAGAAAGAGUGCAUCUGACUAACCGGUCUAUUACUACUAACCUUUAGGCACAAAGAAUGUCUUUCGAUGUGAGUGAUAAAUAGAGAAGACUGCAACCGUAGUCUCCUUCUAACCUUGGUAAGGAUGAUUUACUGUUCUAAUGGGGAGGCUAACGGAAUCUAGACAACACAAAGGAUGUUCGACCUGCACCUAUAAACCCUAUCCUUCCUGCUAACGAGAUGUGAUCUACAAAGGUAGCUCAGAAUUGUCACGUUCCUCACUACUACUACUACGGUCCAGCUAGUCAGGGAAUAUCUAUGAGUACCCCAGCCUAAACACCACGUUUACGCCAGCAAUGAUUACUCUAAACUCUACGCGAAGAGAUUAAAGUAAACUCAUAAACCAUAAGAACAAUAAAACAAGAACUUACUAGAAUUUAGAAGUCGAAUUACUGAAGAAUCCUAGGAGCAAGCUUCGGGUUAGGAGAACUUGAUCCCGCAGGUACAAGCUUGGAGUGGACACCGACAGGCCGGGCUUCCUCCACUCUUCACCUCCACUCUAUCUCUCUCAAUCUAGUAGAAACUAGAAGAUCUAUUUCUACCUUACAUUGGUUGCUAAGCCUAAAAAGAAAUAUUAAUUAGAGAAGAGGUUUUCCUUCGAGGGCACCCCUUAGUCUCUAUGAUAAUUUCUUCAUGUCUUCUCCAGGGGCCAGGGGGGCCUUGCUUAUAUAGUCCUCCCCUUCUAUGCGUUUUUGGGUCGAUAGGCGAGGUGGUACUAUGUUUUUCUUGAUCCAAUAGGUCGGUGGAAUAUCCCGAACGAAGAGAGUCCCGAAAGCAAUCCAGAGGGGGGCGGGCGCCCAGGCCUCCAGGGCGGGCGCCCUGGGCCUGGCCCCGUUUCGCCUCCGCUUCGGUCCCGUGGCUUCUGGAGUCUUCUAGAUGAUGUAAAAUCGCGCGGUGCGUUGAUAUCUCUAUGUAAUCCCGACAUGUGGGCCUUUCUUCCUUAUUUCCUGAUAACCCCCUGCAGAAACAGAUAAACAACAAAACUCGUGGAAUUCUGUCAGAUCAAACCCUAAUUCUAGGUGUUGGUUGCAUAUUGGUCCUUUCUCUUGUUUAUUUGAUAAUUAAAAUUGAUACUUAAGAACCGUCAACAAAUACCCCCAUACUUAGGCUUUUACUCGUCCUCGAGAAAAGGAUGGUUAAGAAUAAUAUCUGGGGUAAACAUUUUAAAGCAUUCUCUAUAUAAUUGCAGGGUGUCAAAAAUCCACUGUGUACCAUAGUCAAGGAUGUUUAUGGUCAAGAGUAAAGAUCCUUUCUUCUCAAUCCUGCCACUUGGAGUUUUUGUAUAUUUUUGAAAGAAAGUUAGCAUACCUUUUUAUCCUCAUAGGUUCUCUCAGAUCACUCAUUAGCUUUUACAUAUAUCUCACUGAGGCUGUUUUAUUUUGCAAAAAUUCUCAAGCAUUCUUACUUUGCAUUUAUUGCCUGAUCAAAACGGGAUCCGAGGAGGGGAAUGUCAUACUCUUAGAUCAAAGACUUUGGAAAUUAAAAUCUUUGUCAACUCUUGCUGGCAUAUUGCUUAUUAGAGGGACCAUGGGCUAUCAUUUUUUUCUCUCUUUUCUCUCUUUUUUUUAAGUGGAUACUGAGGUACCCCUAAUUCUACUGCCGGACACUUGUCCAUUUUUUCUGCGAGGUUAUCGAGCACUUGCUCCUUUUUAUUUCCUCGAAAUAUUUCUAUUUUUGCAUAGCCCAUGCCUCUAAUGCAAUAAUACUUCGGAAGAGUGAAUCUUACUGAAAUAAUGUCUUGAUCUUAGGAGCAUGAUAAAUCUCUCAACAAGGGUCUAACUCAUUUUGAACAAACUCAAUACAGAGCAGAUAGCUUUUAUAAUCAUAAUUAAUAUUUUUAGUUUUAUCAGGCAUAUAAAACACUGAGGAUGGUAGCUAGAAAUUUGAAUAUUUUGAAAUAAAUUCUCCAAGCAACAAUGAUAUCAAGAAUAAUAAACUCAUACUCUACCAUCACAUAUUCCAUAUUGACUUAAGUAACACAGGGUUUUAAAAUGAUUUUGCAAGUUUUCAGGAAAUAUCACAAAUUGAGAUUAAUCAUGAUUAGAAAUAUUUUAAUCUUUUUAUUUUAUCAUGUCGGAAACAAUAAUCUGCAUAAUCCAAAAUAUAUGUAUGUGUAAAGUAAAAUGUGCAGAGUGUGUACCUGAAUCGUGGAGUGGUGUAGUCGGAGUGUGUUUAGCAUGUCGAGGGAUCUCCCCCAUACUUGUUUUCUGCUUUCUUGCACAAAAAUAAAGUAGAGACACACAAGACAUAAUAAUAAUACUCUUUAUUAAUCUUGAGGCAUUUAGUACAAAAGACUGAUAGCAAACUGAUAGUAAUAGUAAACCUAAACCGAAUUUAAAGAUAGAUGACUAAGAUGCAUUGCCUCAAGGUAUAAUCUAGAUAACUUAGCGGCGCUCUAAUUCCUUGAUCUUCUUGUUGGCACUGGCAAGAUCCUGCCUAAGGCCUAGUAUAAUGAUGUUGUGGUUAGAGAGCUGCCUAGUGAGGGAAUUAAUCGAGGACUGGAGGUCUAUGAUAACUCUAUCUAGCCUGCGAACUUCCUCAUCAAUAUCCAUUAUAGUUUUGCGACGCUUGGGAGGUGUCUCAAAAGCAUUGAGAGAGUGCUUCGGGGCUGCCUUUGGAGGGAUGAAACGGACUUUGGCUGCUCUAAUCCCUUCAAAGUAAGGCCUUUCCUCCUCCGUAGUGUAGCGAAUACUGCUGAUCUCGCCGCUUCGGUUGGUCUUGACUCCAACGACCCUCUCAUUGGGUCUAGGUGGAAGGAUCCUUGUGCCGAUUGGCACCUUGAUAGUGGUCUUCGUCUUGGAUGAUGAUCCUUUGAGGAGUAGGGGUUGUGGUGGUGCGGUGAGAACUGGUUGAGCAUGGUAAGAUUGGGCGGAGUUACGUUGGCGUAAUGGCAUGGCUCCUAGCUGUCUUUCUGUGUGGCCGGGACGAGAGCACGGGCAUCGGAGUCUUCCACAGGCUCCAUGUUGAGGUUGAAGGGGACGACUUCCCAAUCAUCGUGGUACUUCUCGGCCAUUGGAACAGCAAGGAACUAAUAAAACUUUAAUUGAAGUAGAGCUAAUCAAGCUCUAAUUGAAGGAGAGCUAAUCAAGCUCUAGUUGAAGGAGAGAAAGCUUGGUGGCUUGGUGUUUGAAAACUGAGGUCAGGGGUCUGUUUAUAUAGGGGUCAAAAGGGUGCCUCUAUGGGUUGUUCGGGUUGCUCCCGUCGAUGUGCGUGCAAAACUUUCCAUCUGAGGGAUUAUUCGGAUCACCCUAAGUGCAUUUUCCAUAACAGAGAAAGUCGGGACCGAGGGGGAACAGGGGCUGGGCGCCCGCCCACCUGAGCUGGGCGCCUGCCCUCUCUCUGGCCCCUCUGUGGGCCCACUUCUCCGAGCGCGUUUCUAGAUGCAAAAUUAUUUAGAAAAAUAUAUAUAUCACCCAAAACCAUCAGACCAAAAGUGUCGGGCUCUAAUUCUCCAUGGGAAGGUAAAAAUGGACUACGUCUAUUUCUUCAAAUUCUUCAUUGGGCUCUAAAAAUAAUUUAAGACGUUGACCAUUUACCUUGAAUAACGUACCUUCGCUAUUUUGAAGUGUGAUAGCUCCGUGGGAUGAUGAAUUGAUUACCUUGAAUGGCCCUUCCCAUUUGCUCCGGAGUUUUCCAUGCCCGAAAAGCUUCACCCUGGAAUUAAAAAGUAAUACCUUAUCUCCGGGUGUGAACUCCUUCUUCUUGAUUCUCUUGUCAUGCCACCUCUUGACUCUUUCUUUGUAGAUCUUUGAAUUGUGAUAUGCCUUCUCUCGCCAUUCUUCCAAUUCUGAUAGUUGCAUUCUUCUAUAAUCUCCAGCAACAUCUAGGUCCAUAUUCCAUCUCUUUAUGGCCCAGUGUGCUUUGAACUCUAGUUCAACGGGUAGAUGGCAAGUCUUCCCGUACACCAAUUGGUAUGGAGACAUUCCAAUUGGGGUCUUGUAUGCUGUCCGGUAUGCCCAGAGUGCAUCGGGUAACUUGUCUUUCCAUGCCGUUCCCAUUUCAUUUACUGUCUUCUGAAGAAUAUUCUUGAUUUGUUUGUUGGAAGUCUCUGCUUGGCCACUUGUCUGAGGAUGAUAGGGGGUAGCGACAUUGUGACGGAUUCCAUGUCUUGAUAGAUAUUGCUUGAAGCGUUUGUCGAUGAAGUGUGCUCCUCCAUCACUUAUCACUACUCUGGGGACUCCAAAUCUUGGAAAUAUAAUUUCUUCAAACAUCCUCUUUGAACUGACGUUGUCGGCAUGCUUGCAAGGUAAUGCUUCUACCCACUUGGAGACAUAGUCAACUACCACCAAGAUGUACUCACACUUCUUUGAUGGAGGAAAUGGACCCAUGUAGUCUAUUCCCCAGACAUCAAAGAGCUCAGUCUGAAGGUUGUUGGUGAGUGGCAUUGCAUCCCUUGUAUUUAUGUUUCCGUGCCUUUGACAUGGCCCACAUCUUCUGAUAUAUUGCUUCGUGUCUUCAUACAUUGUAGGCCAAUAGAAUCCACACUGCCAGAUCUUUGAAUGUGUACGGAAUGCUCCAUAGUGACCUCCAUAUGGUGAUGAAUGACAUCUGUCGAUGAUCUUCCAUCCUUCCUCAGUGGUCACACAUCUCCUGAGUAAGCCAUCAGAGCAUACUCGGAAGAGGUAUGACUCAUCCCAUAUAUGUGAACGACUUUCUUGAAUAAGCUUCUUCUUGUUUGCUCCUGGUGGUACAUACCCUGAAACCAUAAAAUUAACAAUAUCUUCAUACCAGGGGUCAGACCUGUUAAUCCCAUAGAGCAUGUCGUCCCGGAGUGAAUCAUUGAUGGGGGUUUCCUGUGGAUUCUUAAAAUACAUUCUAGACAAGUGAUCAGCAACAGAAUUUUCUACUCCCUUUUUAUCUUUUAUUUCUAAGUCAAAUUCUUGGAGUAAUAAGAUCCAUCUAAUUAGGCGAGGUUUAGCAUCUUUUUUAGUGAGCAAAUAUUUUAAUGCAGCAUGAUCAGUGUAAACAAUUAUUUUAGCUCCAACUAAAUAAGAUCUAAAUUUAUCUAUGGCAAAGACAACAGCCAGAAGCUCUUUUUCAGUGGUUGCAUAAUUAAGUUGAGCUCCUGUCAAAGUUUUACUGGCAUAAGCAAUUGCAUGAUGCUUCUUAUCUUUAGUUUGUAACAAUACUGCCCCCACAGCAUAAUCACUAGCAUCACACAUAAUUUCAAAAGGCAACGACCAAUCAGGGGGUUGAAUGAUUGGUGCAGAGUGUUGACGGUCCUUAAUGCUCAUAUUUAACCAUCAAUUAAUCAUGGAAAAGGAUCCAAAUGCAACCAACACCCAGACUUAGGGUUUUAUCAGACAGAAUUCCACGAGUUUUGGUGUUUGCCUAUUUCUGCAGGGGGUUAUCAGGAAAUACGGAAGAAAGGCCCACACGUCGGGAUUACAUAGAGAUAUUAACGAGCCGCGCAAUUUUCUAUCAUCUAGAAGACUCCAGAAGCCACGGGAACGAACGGGAGGCCGAGCGGGCCCGGAGGCAGGGCGCCCGCCCUACCCCCCUGGGCGCCCGCCCUCCUCUGCUGGCCAAUCAGCACGAGUCUCGGGGAUUAUGCCCCACCGACUCUAAGGAUCGAGGAAAAUCACACGAUGAAGGUCGGUUUGAUCAGAUGGUGGAGAAUAACGUGGAAAUUCCUUGGGAGCUACUCUUCCUAGAUUUCUUGGGGGCUACUCUUCCUAGAUUUCUUGGGGGCUACUCUUCCUGGACUAUAUAAGCAGACCCCCACCAGCCCCUGGAGGCAUACCUCUUCUACAGAAUCAAAGCUAGGGUUUCAAUUCUUCAUCCAAGUAGAGAGGAUCCCUCUAGUUCUUCUAGUUCUACCUCUAGUUCAUCUAGAUCUAGUUCUAGUUCAUCUAGUUCUAGUUCUAGUUCCUCUAGUUCUAGUUCUAGUUAGUUCUAGUUGUAAUCUAGAAAAUAGGGAGAGAGAAGAGGAGAGCGGAGGAGGAGGAGCCGGAUCUGUCGGAUCUUCCUCAACAUUGUACUUUUGCAGCAACUGGUUCGUUCUUCAUCGUUCUCCAGGUUCUUCAAUUCAUAAUCCUGAGUUCUUUAAUUACUUUUAUUUACAUUCAAGUUAUUUAUUGGAUUCCCGCUUGCAUCAAGUGCUCUAAUCUUUGCAACAUUAGAGUAGUAAUUAAUAGAUUAGACGUGGUGUUUAGUCUUGCAAUUACCUAGAAUUGCACCCAAUCCUGCGGAUUGUUGUGGUAGCCCUAGGGUAGUGACAGCCCUAACGGUCGACGUAUUCCACCUCGUUCGGAUCGGUGUUUGUAGGACCGUAGUCAGACCUUCCUAGCCCCCUUCUCAUCUCUUUCUGUGGUUAGUGCUCUGAUGUCCCGAAAUAGAUAAUCUUGAAGUAAUUCUUGAUUCUCAGAUCAACUAGAGAACUCUCAGGAAACUUCCUCUCUUCCCACCAAAAAUAAUUAUAUAGUUAUCCUUGGGCGAUCUUGAUUCUUAAUUAGUACACUCACGUUCCUUGUGGAAAAUCGAUACUCUGGAAUACUCCCGGGUGAAAGCUACAUCGGUAUCCGUGCGCUUGCGGAUUUUUUCUGUUUGCGUUUAAAAUACCCAACAAGCUUUCUGGCGCCGUUGCCGGGGAACGGUAGCUGUGCUAGUUUCGAACCAAGUCGUCCGUGUAUCCUUUUUCUUUUCCCUUUUUACCACACUCACCUUACCAUUUUCACCAUACCACAUGGAUUUCACUCCUAUCUAUAAAUUCUUUGCUCCAAAGGGCGAGUUAUUAGAGCCACCACCAUCAUCACAUCCAAUUCUUACAGAUGGCUACGACCUCGGCCCUGAUCUAAUAGCCAUGAUUCAGGAGCAACCCUUCUCUGGGCAAGUAGAUGAAGAUCCAUACACCCACCUUAGAGAAUUCGAGCAGUUGUGCUCUUGCCGAUCUAUUUUCGGCAUGACACAAGAAACCCUUAAAUGGAAAUUAUUUCCGUUCUCCCUUUUGGGAAGAGCAAAAAAGUGGUAUGCUCAUUCUGUAGGAGGCGUUAAUGGAAAUUGGGAUGAACUUCGGGACAACUUUUGUCUCGCUUUCUUCCCACUUUUUUGAAUUGCUGACCUUAGAAUAGAAAUUCUUACAUUCAAACAAAGAGAGAAGGAAACUUUAGGAGCAGCUUGGGCUAGGUUCACAAGCCUUAUCAAUUCCGGUCCAAACCUUUCCCUGCCUGACCAUGUACUGUACUACCACUUUUAUCGUGGUGUAAGCAAGGAGGCUGCUCUUCACCUCGACAUUGCUUCAGGAGGCUCAUUCACACACAAACUCACAGAUGAGGGGAGAGCUAUCCUAGAGAGAAUCCUUGAAAAUACCCCUUACACAGGCAUUUAUGAUGAGUUUCCUGAAGAAGAAGAAGAAGAAGUCGAGCCUGAUCCUAAACCAAAAGAUGAGGAACUUGCAACCGAGUUAGAAAUUCCACCUGACCCACCUAUUAAUUUGGUUGUAGAGAAACCUCCUGAUAAGGGAAUGCAAAACCAACUAAAGGAUGAUGAACCACCACCUUUAGAGCAUCCGUUUGAAUUCGAGGAAGAUCUUUUUGAAGAUUAUGGAAACACCUCGAAUUUUCCUAUCCAAUCACGACCUCUAGUAAGGACCACUCAAUCUGUUCUAAGAGUAGAAUCUGUUGACAUAGAACACAUCAAAAGCCUUUCGGCUAUUCUGAGUUAUGAAUGGCUAACAGAAGCAGAGCUGUCUCCUGAGGUAGCUCGAAUCAUCACUCCUUCAACCAUUCUUUUGUGCCAAAUUAGAAGGUCCCCUAGGAAGGUCCACUACAGUCCAUAUGUUGGGAUAAAUGUUAUUUCCAAGGAGUUAGCUGACACUCUUUAUCCCAACGAGUCCAUAACCCCAUCUCAAAAACUUUUACAAAGUCCAUCUGGAUUAAUCCUAGAAAGCCAUGGGGUAUUAAGGACAGUUCCUAUUAGAAUCAAGGACUCUGGAAUAUGUCUAGAUUUUCACAUUUAUGACAUACCGGAGAUUCCUCUCUUGAUUGGCAGACCAAUCAUGAAACUUCUACAGGAACAACCACAACGAGGUCAUUUAGACUUCAAGGUUGGGAAUUCCACUAUUGUUGUUCCUCUUGCUAGAUCAAUUAACACGAUAGUGGAACCCAAACUUGACCCAGAUCCUAUUGAGGAGGUCUUAAUGGUGACUCAAGAGGAGAUGACCCAACCAUUCUUUAAUCAUGAACACUUUGUUCAAGAAGAAGAAGAGUUGGUAGAACCCGUUGAGCUAGACAAAAAUGAACUACCUUCACCUCCUUCGAUAGAAUUAAAACCUCUUCCUUCUGGCCUUAGAUAUGUCUUCUUGCACAACAACUCAAAAACUCCAAUAAUUAUCAGUGACAAGCUUUCCGAUUAUGAAACACAACAACUUGUCACUGUUCUUGAAAGACAUAGAUCAGCUUUUGGCUACUCUCUCGAGGAUCUCACGGGCAUUAGUCCCAUUCUCUGCACUCAUCGUAUCCCUAUUGAUCCCAAUUCUACACCUUCAAGGGAACCACAACGGAGACUUAACAAUGCUAUGCGAGAGGUUGUUAAGAAAGAGGUCCUCAAACUGUAUCGUGCUGGGAUUAUUUAUCCUGUGCCACAUAGUGAGUUGGUUAGCCCUGUCCAAGUAGUGCCAAAGAAAGGAGGAAUGAUGGUCGUUAGGAACGAGAAGAAUGAACUUAUCCCUCAACGAAUUGUCACUGGGUGGCGUAUGUGUAUUGACUAUCGAAAACUCAAUAAGGCUACAAAGAAAGAUCAUUUUCCGUUACCCUUCAUUGAUGAAAUGUUGGAACGGCUUGCAAACCACUCUUUCUUUUGCUUCCUUGAUGGUUAUUCUGGAUAUCACCAAAUCCCAAUCCACCCAGAUGACCAAGAAAAGACUACCUUUACAUGCCCAUAUGGAACUUAUGCAUACCGACGAAUGUCGUUCGGAUUGUGCAAUGCUCCAGCUUCUUUCCAACGGUGCAUGAUGUCUAUUUUCUCGAACAUGAUUGAGAAGAUCAUGGAGGUUUUCAUGGAUGAUUUUACCGUCUAUGGCAAAACCUUUGAUCAUUGUUUGGAGAAUUUAGAUAGAGUCUUGCAGCGAUGUGAAGAAAAACACUUAAUCCUGAACUGGGAGAAAUGCCAUUUUAUGGUUCAGGAAGGAAUAGUGCUAGGACAUAAAGUGUCCGAACGUGGUAUAGAGGUGGACAAAGCAAAGAUUGAAGUUAUUGAAAAACUUCCACCUCCCACGAAUGUGAAAGGAAUCCGUAGCUUUUUGGGACAUGCAGGGUUCUAUAGACGCUUUAUCAAAAAUUCCUCUCAAAUUGCUAGACCCCUAACUAAUCUCCUAGCUAAGGACGCACCUUUCAUCUUUAGUGAUGAGUGUCAUGAAUCUUUUCAAACUCUUAAGAAAGCACUCAUCUCAGCCCCGAUUAUCCAGCCACCUGAUUGGAAUCUUCCUUUUGAGAUCAUGUGUGAUGCUAGCGAUUUUGCGGUUGGUGCCGUUUUAGGACAAACCAAGGAUAGAAAGCAUUAUGCCAUAUCCUACGCUAGCAAAACCUUGUCUGGACCACAGCUCAAUUACACUACAACUGAAAAAGAGCUUUUAGUUGUUGUCUUUGCUAUAGACAAGUUUAGAUCUUACUUAGUGUGGGCGAAGAUAAUCAUCUAUUCAGACCAUGCUGCUCUCAAGUACCUCCUCACUAAGAAAGAUGCUAAGCCUCGUCUAAUUCGAUGGAUUCUUCUACUCCAAGACUUUGACAUAGAAAUCCGAGAUAGGAAGGGAGUUGAGAAUUCUGUAGCCGACCACUUGUCUAGGCUUCAAUAUAAGGAAACACAUGAUGAGCUUCCCAUAAAUGACUACCUAAGGGAUGACACCCUGCUUAAGAUAACACAUGUAGAUCCAUGGUACGCAGACAUCGUAAACUUUAUAGUAAAAGGCUAUGUCCCACCUGGUGCAAACAAAAGGAAGUUGCUUCACGAUAGUCGUUUCCACCUUUGGGAUGAGCCAUAUCUUUUCCGAGUCUGCGCUGAUGGACUCUUAAGAAGGUGUGUUCCUAUGGCUGAGGCUACUCAAAUUAUGGAAAGAUGCCAUGCCUCGCCAUAUGGAGGACACUAUGGAGCAUUCCGGACACAUGCUAAAAUUUGGCAAAGUGGUUUUUUCUGGCCAACGAUGUAUGAAGAUACAAAGGACUUUGUCAGGAGAUGCCACCGAUGUCAAAAACAUGGGAAUAUCAACUCACGAAAUGAAAUGCCUCUCACAAAUAAUCUUCAAGUAGAACUUUUCGAUGUUUGGGGCAUUGAUUUCAUGGGGCCAUUCCUUAUGUCCGGAAAUUGCGAGUAUAUCUUAGUAGCUGUGGACUACGUGUCCAAAUGGGUAGAAGCCCUACCUUGUCGAUCAGCUGAAUCAAAACAUGCCAAGAGAAUGUUCCAUGAAGUAAUCUUUCCUCGCUUUGGUAUACCCCGGAUAGUUAUAAGCGAUGGAGGUUCUCACUUCAUCGACAAAAUCUUCCGAAAGUACUUAGCCGAUCAUGGAGUUCGACACAACGUCGCAACACCAUACCAUCCUCAGACUAGCGGUCAAGCCGAAACAUCUAACAAACAAAUCAAAAAUAUUUUACAAAAGACCGUAGAUGAGAUGGGUAAGGGGUGGAAGGACAAACUUCCUGAUGCACUUUGGGCAUAUAGAACUGCAUUCAAAACACCCAUAGGCAUGUCACCUUAUCAACUUGUAUAUGGAAAAACUUGUCACUUGCCUGUGGAAGUAGAGUUUAAGGCUCAUUGGGCACUCAAGAAAUGGAACAUGGAUCUCCACCUAGCUAGUGAGAAUCGUCUGAUGCAACUAUCUGAGCUAGAAGAAUGGAGAGAGAAAGCCUACCAUAAUUCAAGGAUCUAUAAAGAGAGAACAAAACGAUGGCAUGAUAAGAGAAUCAAGCACAAGGAGUUUAAGUCUGGAGAUAAGGUUCUACUAUUCAAUUCAAGAGUUAAGCUCUUUGGGCAUGGUAAGCUACGAAGUAAGUGGGAUGGACCAUAUAAGGUUAUUGACACUUCAACUCAUGGAGCCAUUACCAUCCAAGACGACAUAGGUAACACUUUUAAGGUAAACGGUCAACGCUUGAAAAUCUAUCUUGAGCCACAAAACAACCUGGCAGAGGAGCUUGAUGUGAUUGAGUUUAUAGAAUUCUCAUAUUAAGCUCUCAUAAGCUCUAGACAAUUACCUAACCCUUAACAUGUUCCACAAGUUUUGUUGUCUAUUUGGAUUGUGCAGGAUUUUGAAGCUUAAGAAGAGUGAGACCAAACAUGCAAGCUACAAGAGUGAACGACUAUGUCAAGAUCCAGCUUGGGGGAGGCACCCCCACGUGUAUCUAGAUAAGUAUUACUUUUCUUUCUUGGUUUUAUUUACUAGUAUUCAGAAAUAAAAAAAAUGCAUAACCAUGAAACCAAACAAAGUUUUUCUUUUGAGUAAUAUACAAUAGUUUUGUGUAAUCCUAAGUUUUAAAUAAAAUAAAAAGAAAGUUUGAUUCAAGUCUAGGUAAUUGACAAACAUGAUAUGAGAAGGUCUGAGCUACUAUUUAACUUGUUCAAAGUUUUGCUAGAGUUCUGGAGAUUUUAUCUUUUGAAAAUCUAAAAAUUCAUAAAUAAAAAAAAUAUGAGAUCAUAAUACCUAGAGUCUUAUAAGAUAUAAAUAUUAAAACUGUGGGCACUUGCUUUGUUCAAGCCAUUGUUAAUUCUUGUAGUUUUGGUUGAGAGAAUUAUCAUACUCCCAAGAUCAAGAUCUUUUUGUUUUAAAAAUAUAAAAGAUUCACUCUUCCGAAGUAUUAUUGCGUUAGAGGCAUGGGACUAUGCAAAAAUUUGAUUCGAAAAAAAAUAGAGUGAGACGAGAGGUAAAAAUGGACAAGUGUCCGAAGUAGAAUUAGGGGUACAAAGAUACCCACCUGAGUGGAAAAAAUGGACAUGUGUCCGACAGUAGAAUUAGGGGUACUUGCUGCCCACUUGAAAAAAAAAGAGAGACUGAAAAAAAAGAAAAGAAAAAAAAAUGAUAGCCCAUGGUCCCUCUAAUAAGCAAUAUGCCAGUAAGAGAUGACAAACUUUUCAAAAAGGUCAAAGGUCUUGAUCUAGGAGUAUGACAUUCCUCUCCCUUACUCCGAGCGUUGACAUAGCAAAAUGCAAAGUAAGUAUGCUAAAACUUUUAAAGCUCUACUUAUAUAUCUUUCGAGAAGAAGGCAAAUGCCUCAGUUUUAUUUUGCGGACUUAUAAAAAACUCCAGAACAAAGGUAAGACAGAAGAACUUGAGGCAUAGUGCUUGACUUAAUCACUCUGUUUUUCAAUCACUUAAGACCUUAGUGAUAACUUAAAAACACUGUAGUAAGAGGCAUAGAAGUAACCCCUGUUUUCUUGUUGAUUUUAGCUUUGCUCACGGACGAGCAAAGGUUAAGCUUGGGGGAGCUUGUUGACGGUCCUUAAUGCUCAUAUUUAACCAUCAAUUAAUCAUGGAAAAGGAUCCAAAUGCAACCAACACCCAGACUUAGGGUUUUAUCUAACAGAAUUCCACGAGUUUUGGUGUUUGUCUAUUUCUGCAGGGGGUUAUCAGGAAAUACGGAAGAAAGGCCCACACGUCAGGAUUACAUAGAGAUAUUAACGAGCCGCGCAAUUUUCUAUCAUCUAGAAGACUCCAGAAGCCACGGGAACGAACGGGAGGCCGAGCGGGCCCGGAGGCAGGGCGCCCGCCCUACCCCCCUGGGCGCCCGCCCUCCUCUGCUGGCCAAUCAGCACGAGUCUCGGGGAUUAUGCCCCACCGACUCUAAGGAUCGAGGAAAAUCACACGAUGAAGGUCGGUUUGAUCAGAUGGUGGAGAAUAACGUGGAAAUUCCUUGGGAGCUACUCUUCCUAGAUUUCUUGGGGGCUACUCUUCCUAGAUUUCUUGGGGGCUACUCUUCCUGGACUAUAUAAGCAGACCCCCACCAGCCCCUGGAGGCAUACCUCUUCUACAGAAUCAAAGCUAGGGUUUCAAUUCUUCAUCCAAGUAGAGAGGAUCCCUCUAGUUCUUCUAGUUCUACCUCUAGUUCAUCUAGAUCUAGUUCUAGUUCAUCUAGUUCUAGUUCUAGUUCCUCUAGUUCUAGUUCUAGUUAGUUCUAGUUGUAAUCUAGAAAAUAGGGAGAGAGAAGAGGAGAGCGGAGGAGGAGGAGCCGGAUCUGUCGGAUCUUCCUCAACAUUGUACUUUUGCAGCAACUGGUUCGUUCUUCAUCGUUCUCCAGGUUCUUCAAUUCAUAAUCCUGAGUUCUUUAAUUACUUUUAUUUACAUUCAAGUUAUUUAUUGGAUUCCCGCUUGCAUCAAGUGCUCUAAUCUUUGCAACAUUAGAGUAGUAAUUAAUAGAUUAGACGUGGUGUUUAGUCUUGCAAUUACCUAGAAUUGCACCCAAUCCUGCGGAUUGUUGUGGUAGCCCUAGGGUAGUGACAGCCCUAACGGUCGACGUAUUCCACCUCGUUCAGAUCGGUGUUUGUAGGACCGUAGUCAGACCUUCCUAGCCCCCUUCUCAUCUCUUUCUGUGGUUAGUGCUCUGAUGUCCCGAAAUAGAUAAUCUUGAAGUAAUUCUUGAUUCUCAGAUCAACUAGAGAACUCUCAGGAAACUUCCUCUCUUCCCACCAAAAAUAAUUAUAUAGUUAUCCUUGGGCGAUCUUGAUUCUUAAUUAGUACACUCACGUUCCCUGUGGAAAAUCGAUACUCUGGAAUACUCCCGGGUGAAAGCUACAUCGGUAUCCGUGCGCUUGCGGAUUUUUUCUGUUUGCGUUUAAAAUACCCAACACAGAGAAGAGUGCUUUCUUUAAUAAAUUGAAAGAUGUUAGACAUGCAUCAUCAAAUUCGAAAGGAGCAUCCUUGGCUAGCAAAAGAGUAAGUGGUCUAGCAAUAAAUGAAAAAUCUUUUAUGAAUCUACGGUAAAAACCAGCAUGGCCAAGAAAGCUUCGAAUUCCUUUUAUAUUCACAGGUGGAGGUAGUUGUUCAAUUACUUCAAUUUUAGCUUUGUCUACCUCAAUCCCUCUUUCAGACACUAAGUGUCCUAGCACUAUUCCUUCCCUAACCAUAAAAUGACAUUUUUCCCAAUUAAGGAUUAAGUGCUUUUCUUCACAUCUUUGCAAAACCUUGUCUAAGUUUUCAAGACAACUAUCAAAAGUUUUUCCAUAAACAGAGAAAUCAUCCAUGAAAACUUCCAUAAUCUCUUCAAUCAUAUCAGAAAAUAUAGACAUCAUGCAUCUUUGAAAAGAAGCUGGUGCAUUACAUAACCCAAAAGACAUUCUAUGGUAAGCAUAAGUUCCAUACGGGCAUGUAAAAGUGGUUUUGCUUUGAUCAUCGGGAUGGAUCGGGAUUUGGUGAUACCCUGAAUAUCCAUCUAAGAAACAGAAGAACGAAUGGUUUGCUAACCGCUCUAGCAUCUCAUCUAUAAAAGGCAAAGGAAAGUGAUCCUUUCUCGUGGCUUUGUUUAGUUUUCUAUAAUCUAUGCACAUCCGCCAUCCUGUGACGGUGCGUUGCGGAAUUAGCUCGUUCUUUUCAUUCAUAAUAACUGUCAUGCCUCCCUUUUUGGGCACAACUUGUACUGGGCUCACCCACUCACUGUGCGGCACAGGAUAUAUAAUCCUUGCAUGCAGCAACUUUAUUACUUCCUUUUUAACUACCUCUCUCAUAGUGUUGUUAAGUCUACGUUGGGGUUCUCGAGAGGGUGUAACAGAAGGAUCUGUUGGAAUACGAUGGGUACAAAUCAUAGGACUGAUUCCUGUAAGAUCUUGAAGUGAGUAGCCAAAAACCGAGUGAUGUUUCUCAAGAAUGGCCAUUAAUCGCAGAGUUUGAUCCUGAGUGAGUUUAUCGCUAAUGAUCAUAGAGAACUCUGGAUUAUUGUUUAGGAAAGCAUAGGUAAGACCGGGUGGUAAAGUUUUAAGCUCUAUGGGAGGUCUAGGUGUUUCUGCAAACUCAUCUAAGGGUUCAGGCUCGGAAGGUUCGUCUUCUUCUUCUGUGAAGAAAGGAGUUUCGUCUUCUAAGUCUGGUUCAUCUAAAAGCUCUAGAGAUGCAGCCUUUACUUCCUCCAUAGGAUCAGGCAAAAGAUAUGACUCGGCCUUAUUAUUUAAGGAGUGUGAAAUUGUUAUCGGGAAUUUAAAAAUUUUUCCAAAAGAAAUGUGUAGCUUUCCAGUAUGACCUUCAUAAAGGAGUCUUCUAAAAGGUUGUCCUAUCAACAGGUCGAAGUCCCAUGUAUCAAAGAUAUAGAAGUUCAAAUGAACCAUGGAGCCUUCAACCGUAAGAGGUAGGACAUUAAUAAUUCCAAGACUGGGGACUAACCGUCCCGACGAUUCCUUUAUGACCUUUGUUGUGGGGGUUAAGAUAAGAUUUUUAAAUAGUUUAAGUGCAAAGGAUUCAGACAUAAUGUUGAUCCCCACAACAGGAUUAUAUAGAGCAUUAAAUCGAUCAGAAUUAUAAGCACAGCGUAUAGUUAUAGAGGGUGUGUCCAAACGGAUCACAUCAGAGGAAAGCUCUGAUUCCUCCAACCAUUCGCUACUCAUGACUGAGAUAAGCUCUCUCAAUUGAUAUUCACUUGGCAAAUAAAUGCUAAACUGACCGUUUUGGGGUUUGUCAAUAGAAUGGUAGUUUGAAAUGUUUCCAAAAUCGGCAAAAAGAUCGGAUUCUAUAUCCAGCAUGAAGUCCGGUGGUGGAAUUUCUUCCUCUUGUGGCUCAGAACUUGGGAUAGCUAAAGUAGAUAAAGAAUUUGGCAGAGUGUCUACUUCGGCUUCGUAGGUUUCAUCAUGAAGGGUAUUAUCCAUCUCAGCUUCUAGGAUUCUAUCUAGGAUCACUCUAGCUUCAUCAGCAGGGAUGCGAAAGAAAGAACCUCUAGACAUUGUGUGAAGCAUUUGUUUGUGAUUUUUCUAAAGACCUCAAAAAAAGUGAAAUAAAAGAACAGGGUCUUCAAGAUUAAGGUUUGGACCAGAUUCUAAAAGAUCAGAAAAACGUUUCCAGGAUUUUCCCAAAGUUUCAUUAUCUUUUUGUUUAAAAGAUAGGACUUCGAGUCUAAGGUCGGCUAUACGGUCAAGGGAAUAGAAAUCUAGACAAAAGUUGGCUCGUAAAACUCCCCAUUCACCUUGUUGUUGACUUACCUUCUGAUUGUACCAUUGUCUAGCUUCUCCCCUUAAAGAAAAAGGAAAAAGCUUCCAACGUAAAGUCUUAUCAGAAAUGCCUUCAAUGCGAAGACAAUCACAUGUUUGCUCAAAAUCUCUAAUAUGAAGGUAAGGGUUUUCGUCUUCCUUUCCCGAAAAAGAUAGGUUUUGAAUCAUGGCAAUCAACCUAGAACUUAACUUAUACUGGGAUGUUUGGAUAGGCUGUGAUGAUUCCCAUGGUAAAAGGUCAGUUGCUAAAGGGAUUGCAGACUCAUGGAUCGAUUUAGAAUUUUGGUUUUCCAUAAGGUAAGAAUAAAGAAAAUAAAUAAAGGAUAUAAAAGAUAAGAAAAGAUAAAAGUAUAGAUACAAGCUAGUAGCAAGACUCAGGUUAUCUCAGCAACCGUCUUUCUCCCCGGCAACGGCGCCAGAAAUGCUUGUUGAUAUUUGGGAACGCAAUAAGGAAUUGAUCCGCAAGCGCACGGAUAUCGGUGAGCACUUCACCCGGGAAAUUAUCCAGAGUAUCGUAUUUAUUUUUUUACCACUAGGAAAAAGAGUGCAUCUGACUAACCGGUCUAUUACUACUAACCUUUAGGCACAAAGAAUGUCUUUUGAUGUGAGUGAUAAAUAGAGAAGACUGCAACCGUAGUCUCCUUCUAACCUUGGUAAGGAUGAUCUACUGUUCUAAUGGGGAGGCUAACGGAAUCUAGACAACACAAAGAAUGUUCGACCCGCACCUAUAAACCCUAUCCUUCCUCCUAACGAGAUGUGAUCUACAAAGGUAGCUCGGAAUUGUCACGUUCCUCACUACUACCACGGUCCAGCUAGUCAAGGAAUAUCUAUGAGUACCCUAGCCUAAACACCACGUUUACGCCAGCAAUGAUUACUCUAAACUCUACGCGAAGAGAUUAAAGUAAACUCAUAAACCAUAAGAACAAUAAAACAAGAACUUACUAGAAUUUAGAAGUCGAAUUACUGAAGAAUCCUAGGAGCAAGCUUCGGGUUAGGAGAACUUGAUCCCGCAGGUACAAGCUUGGAGUAGACACCGACAGGCCGGGCUUCCUCCACUCUUCACCUCCACUCUAUCUCUCUCAAUCUAGUAGAAACUAGAAGAUCUAUUUCUACCUUACAUUGGUUGCUAAGCCCUAAAAAGAAAUAUUAAUUAGAGAAGAGGUUUUCCUUCGAGGGCACCCCUCAGUCUCUAUGAUAAUUUCUUCAUGUCUUCUCCAGGGGCCAGGGGGGCCUUGCUUAUAUAGUCCUCCCCUUCUAUGCGUUUUUGGGUCGAUAGGCGAGGUGGUACUAUGUUUUUCUUGAUCCAAUAGGUCGGUGGAAUAUCCCGAACGAAGAGAGUCCCGAAAGCAAUCCAGAGGGGGGCGGGCGCCCAAGCCUCCAGGGCGGGCGCCCUGGGCCUGGCCCCGUUUCGCCUCCGCUUCGGUCUCGUGGCUUCUGGAGUCUUCUAGAUGAUGUAAAAUCGCGCGGUGCGUUGAUAUCUCUAUGUAAUCCCGACAUGUGGGCCUUUCUUCCUUAUUUCCUGAUAACCCCCUGCAGAAACAGAUAAACAACAAAACUCGUGGAAUUCUGUCAGAUCAAACCCUAAUUCUAGGUGUUGGUUGCAUAUUGGUCCUUUCUCUUGUUUAUUUGAUAAUUAAAAUUGAUACUUAAGAACCGUCAACAGUCAUCAGUUCCGACGCACGUCGGGACUUCCGACACCACAAGUCUUAAAAAACUAUUCUACGUGCUCGUGAAGUGCUAGAGUGUCUCUCUUUUGAUUUAGUUUUAAUACUUGAGCACUCUAUCUUCCUCAGACCAACUAAAUUUGCAUCCCUCUUUAUAGUGCGGCAUAGCCUAAACUCAAGAUUAAAUAUUAAAUAAUUAAAAUGCCUUUGAGUCCAUCACCACAUCAUUUGGUAAUUGGGCUUUUGCCAUCUCACAUAUCAUGUGUUACCCUCAUUCUUAUUUUACCUGCUUGCCAUCUCAACAAAUCUCAUUAGUCCUCUAAUUGUGUGGUCAUUAUCACCAAAACCCACAACUAGGGCUUGAUUGCACUUACACUCUCUCUCCCAAACCUCCUGAUGAUUCUAGAAAUUCAUCUAGAUAUCCCAUGCAUAGCAAUCAUUAAGGCCAUAUGGAAGAUCGAGGAGAGCAACAUCCGUGGCUAGAGAGCAUUAAAAACCUAUAUGCUAUUGCCAUUGAAUGGAUGGACAAGGCCUUAGAUAAGAUCAAUUCAAGAGAUGACCCAAGGGAAUUUUUGGAUAUUGAUGACGGGGAAACGGGCGGCUAUGACCCGCCUCCGCGUCAGCAGAGACAAAUAUAAAUUUAAACGAGACAAUAUGAAAAGAACAGGUAUUGCGAGUCCAUACUUCCAUAAUUCUUAUAUUUGCAUAAAAGUUAUGUUAAUUACAUCUCCGAAGAGAACACCCCUGAUUAAGAGUUCCAACAUGAGUACAUGAAAAAAGAAAGAUUACAUCAUAUAGCUUUCUAUCACAAACUACAAAAGAAAACAAAGUCUUCAGUCUCGUAGUCGCGGAUGGAUGCACAUGCAUAUUGUUUGCUUGGGCUUUUUGGCGGACCAAGAUAUGGAUAUUUGGUUGAUGCACUAUAUGUGGUGCGCCAGGUAUAUGUAUGUGAUUUACUUUGGGGAUUUUUAACAUGGUCAAUUUGGAUCAUGCAAGAUCAUGAUUUGACAUAUUUUAAUACAUAGGAGAGAGUACUCAACAUAUAUAUGGUACAAGGUUCUAUUCAAGUAAGACAAAUUGCUUAUCUUGCUAAGAUUUUGAGUGUUAUGACAUUGGCCGGGCUGUACGCAAUUAAUUCACUUUAUCAUAUAUGCUUAUGACAUAGUAUUUAGCCAUGGAUUAGCAUAUACGAUGCUAACAAAUUUUAUUUGAUUGAUUCAAUUUAUCAGCUAGACACGCCUGUAUAUGAGUGCAGUCCAACUAAGGUGUAAGAUUUAAGUUAAUUAGCCGUGAUGCACAUAUAGCAGAGAUGGAGGGCCUACAUGUGGCACGACUAAUAUAUUUGUCCAAAUUAAUUGGGAACAUUAUGGCCCACGAGGGCGAUGAGUUUACCCAUAUUAGGUGAUUUUACACCAAAAUCUAUAAUAUUUUGGUUAUUAUGACCACGGCUCAACAACCUGUCUAAAUUAGCAUGAACAACUAUGGCUUGGGAUUUAACAUUAAGAAACUAAUUUUGUUUAGUCCAUCUUGGGAUUUGGCAGGGGAUCUGGUUCAGAUGUGGAGGCCGCCUCAACGUAUGAGGAGUUAUUAAUUUGUUAUUUAAUCUUGGUGAAGAUAGUAACGGUGAGAGCUAGCUACUAUUUGAUUUCAUCCUUGUAUUAUUUGUGUUGAAUGAUUAUAUGCACCGCGACUUUACCUAUAUGCAGGACGUAGGCACAUAUACUAGAUUUAUGAAUCCGGCCAGGCCUUGUUUACCUAAGCAAUGGACUCUUGCUAUUUUCUAUUGGGAUCCAAGGCUUCAUGGCAAGCGUGCACAGCGAACGACAAUUAUACAAUUUUUAGCCUUUGCUUAUCUCUCGGAUAGGACGGACCAAAUGUAUAUAUACGAUGGAUAUAUACACGCAUUCAGGUUUUUGAUAUGCCAUGCAUGCAUGAUUGACGCAAUAUACGAAUAUACAUAUAUAUGCUAAUUAUGCAAUGAUGCCAUAUACGAAUAUACAUACACAUGCUAGUUAUCUAAUCUGCAAUGCAUGGCUAGUUCAUCAUAUAUACGGAUAUAUGUAUGCAUCCGUUGGUUAACUACUUGGCUACUUUUUGGGCAGCACUUUGGCAUGGGAGUUCAGCAAAUAUAUAUACGGAUAUAUGCAUGCACACGUUAGUUAGCUACUUGCUACUUUUUGGGUAGCACUUUAGCAUGGGAUUUAUGCUUCUCUUAGGCGGCUUUCAAUGCAAGAACUCCUAUUGAUCUGAACUCAUGCACAUCAUGCAGCGAGGAACAUAUUUUGAAGAACAAUGCUCUUCCCUGUCCAGUUUGUAUGACAAAUCUGGCAUGGGGCCUUGAAACAUCUCAUGGUAGCUUGCUCGACGGAGCCAAGCUACGUAUGAGGCCUUGGUUAUAGGGAUGAUGGUGGGUAUAGCUCUCGUUUGCGGGAACGAUGCUCUUCCCUGUCCAGUUUGUAUGACAAAUCUGGCAUGAGGCCUUGGAACAUCUCAUGGCAACUAACUCAGGAGAGUGAAGCUACACAUGAGGCCUUGAUCAUGGCGUUGAUGAAGAGGUUGUGCUGAGUGCCGCGGAGCCGUGAAGGUGAAGAAAGGGAGAGGAUCAGAUGAGCGCCAUGAAGCUCUAUUCUCACCUUUCAGGAACUCCGACGUGCAGCGACGACGGCGUUCACCACGAGCUCUUCUCCGAUGGCUUCUGAUGGAUCGAGCAGCAAGGAGGCAGCACGGCAGUUGUUUUCUGGGAGUAUGGGAGCGGCAGCCUGGUGGCGUACGUGAGCAACGAAGCAGCCUGGAGGCAAUAUACAAAUGAAGCCGGGUGGUGGUUUGCUUGAGGGCAGCCUGGCGGCACUUUGGAUCAGAGGAGCCAGGCCCUGAAUGCUCUUGCUGCAGCCUGCUAUUUAUAGAGCAAGUGGCAAGGCGAUUCUUGUUUUUGAAUUCGCGUCCAGUCUAAAGCGGCGGGAGUGGUUGCCAGGUGCCUUCUCAUUUGAUUUUGUCUUAGCGCUAAUGAUGCCGGCGGCGGGAACAGUUGCCUGCAGAUUUGGCGCUCUUCUUGUUUGAUUUCAAAAUGAUCGCUUCAAGCCACGCCCGGCACCUUUCUUCGCGUUGCUGCGCGCGCUGGCAAGGAACAAUUUCGAUCGUGGCUUCAUUUGAAUUUGGUCAGAGCAGUUUGUGACGGGAAUUAUCUGUUUAUCCUUUGACUGAAGUAAUUUUAAGGAAAACACGAAAUAGCUUAUUUCCUAGCCGACGUGGCUAUACGCUGACUAUGUACGUACUUGUAUAUGCCACAUACACCCGUACUUGUGUGAGCCGUAUAUACACACACACACACGAGAAAAUGAGCCACAUCUUUGUUGCACUUUAGGCUCUGUCAAAGUACAUGUUUGACAAGGCAUAUUCAUGCUUACGCAUAUAGUACACAUGCAUGUCCUCAUCCUUUCUUUCUCCUAUAUUUCCAAUAAUCACCACGUUAUACAUAUAUAGUUUUUUUUUGUGAUGUAGGAAAUAAUUGAUAAGUCCAAUUAAUCAAUAAAGUAUUUGGUUUUUAUAUAUGGCCUUCACAUAGUAUGCCACCUGGCCUCGUUUUCAUGUGAGUACAUGAUAUUUCUUGGUCAAUAGUAUUUUCCUUGUUAUUCAUUUCUUAUUUAUAUGGAAUUUGAUCAUAUAUUAUUUACGUUUACAUAAUAUAGAAAUAUGACACACAUAUUAUAGAUGAGCCAAAAACCGUGUCAACAGAUAUAUAUGUCAAGUCACUCUUGGAAGUAGAAAAUGAUGGAGACUUCAAUGAGCAAGGAAGCUACUUCAUCAUCAUCUCAUCUGACCCUUGCUCAUAUGAAAAAUCUUCUGAUUCACUUAGUCUCUCUAACAUUGCCCCACGAGAGAUCUUCAACCCCCUCAUGCUCCCUAUUCCUAAAGUUUUUGAAAGGGUGGUUGUAGACACAUAUGUUUACCAUAAAUAUUGUAGAUCUCGUUGUGGCGAAUCUUAGUACACUUAGAUUGGUGUUGGAAGAGAAACCAUUUCACCAAAGCACAUCUUAAAGGUUUCCCAAGGACAAGCUUAGUGUCCUAAAACAAGCACUGUUUAGACCACGACAUGAGUGUUCAUCUUUCUACUACGCUACCCUUGUUAAUUGAGCAUAGAAAUUAUAAUUGUGAAAAUAUUCCUUCGGGUAUUCUUAUCACUAACCUUCCAGGUUUGGAGCAAAAAAUCGAAGGAAUGACAAAUGUAAGGUAUGUCCAACCAAUCAUUAUGCAACAUUGAAUUAUUUUCAAUCAAUCUUGAUUUUUGCAGAAGUCAAGCUCGGGGGAUAUGCUUUGACAGAUACAUCUAUUUCAAUGUUGCUACAUCAUCUUGGUUGUCCCUACCUUUAAGAUAUGCUCAAUUUGCUAAACAAUAAUGAUGCUCUAUCAUCACUAUUUGAGUAAACAUCUAUAAUGCUCUCAGGCUACCUUUGUUUGCUAUAGUAUGUGUAGGUUUUAAAGUCUUUUCAGAUACCUUUUUAAAUUAGGCAUGGUGCUUAGUUUAAACUGUUGUUCUAACUUAAAUUAGACAAGGUGUCUAGUUUAACUCUUGGACCAAAAGGUGUGUUGAUCUUACCUCUAAAAGGUUUUUAAAUUAAGUGUGGUGCUUAGGUUGAAAUGCCUUCCUGAAUCAAAUUAGACGUGGUGUCUAGGUUGAUUUUUGAGCUGAUAAUAUGCUAUAGUAUAUAUUGGAUAUUUUGUUGGACUAACCCCUGCAGGAAAACUUUAUACCAAAAUGGGCAUGUCCUAAGUUGAACUCACACUAGAGAUGAAGAGAGACACAACUCACUCAUAUCCAAGAAAAAAGAAGGGUGCCACAAAAUAUGAACCACAAUCGAAGCACUCACUCCAUGGAGUUACAUUCUCUUGUCAACCACUCAUUAUCAGGAAUCAAGAAAAGAUUGACAAGAGAAGAGCAUGCAACGUUCUGCACCCUCACCUCUGCGGUCGAGAAGCUGAGACAUGAGGAAGAAAAGGUCAACUUCUUAAGAUGAUCCAACCAAGUUCUUCCUCAUCUCAUGCUCUCAUCGCUCCACAUGCUAGUUUGCAAUCUUUAACUUCACUAUUGCUUCAUUUCUAUGAGUUUGAGUUGAUUCAUAAUGCCUAUAUUUGAUAAUCAAAACAUAAGGUGGGUAAAUAAAAUCAAUCCUUUAGAAAGAAGUAAUUGUGAAUAAUAGAUGUGCUAUGCUAAGUAUGCUCAAGCAAGUUCUUUUUUAUAGCAUAGAAAGUGACCCUUAGCUGUGUUACAACAAUGCCCUUGUCAUUACUUGUAUAUUCCUUCGGGUAUGUGUUGUCCACUAGUGAUUUGCAGGAAUAAAAAAAUAAGAAGAGCUAAAGUCCAAGCACAAAUUAGACAGAGAACAAAUGAUGACAUAAGGUAAGAAAGGAGUGCAACAAAAAAGAUAGUUGGUGCAUGAACAAAACACAUAACUAGUCAAGCAAGAAAAGCUUCCACAAGGUGUUAUGGCUUCAAGAUGCUUCAAUACUCGGGGGCAACUUGCUCGCGGCGGCGAUUUUUCCACGUACCACUUGCGUACUGCGAACUCCCUGCCAUCCAUAUCCCUCCGCCAGCUGCAGUCGCCGAGGCGCCGCCAUGGACCUCGAUCAUGGCCGUCCCAAGGAAGAAGAUGGUCAUCUCGUCUUUUUUUUCUUCUCGUGAUCAUUCUAGCCUGCCAUAGCCACCCAGGUGGGGGAUCUGCGGCAGCCUAGAGUGCACGCGUCAUCGGUUAACACUAUCCGUUGCAAGUAAGCCUAAGAAUUCCAAACAGUACAACAUUUUACUUUUGUUCAAGCAUGUUCGCUUCAUGGCUGUAACUACUGUUUACUAAUUUAUUAUAAAAGAAAAAUUGAUUGGUGGAAAAAAUACGGCUUAUAAAACAAGCGAACCAGGCUAGUUGAAAACAGAGCAUUCGGAUGGAAAAACACUGUUGUUCAGCAAUAGUUGAAGCGUUAAAACUCUAGUUGUGGUCAGAAAUCUCUGUCAAGUUGCGCACUGCAUGUCUGAAUUCUUGUUACGUAUAAAUAUCUUUUCAUGGGCAUCCAUUCAUAAUUUUAUUCUGCUAUUGAAAACAAAGCAUUCAGAUAGAAUUUGUGCAUGCCUACUUUCAUUGUUCCUUCGGAUCAUCUUUCGUUAACAAAUACCCGUCAUGUAGCAAAAUUUUUCAAGAAAAAGGGUACAGUGUGUCCCACAGCAAUUUCACCAGAAUAAUAGUGCCUUAUACCAAAUAGAUUAUGAUCCUUACUUGUAAUUUGUAAAACUGGCUGCCUCAUUCCAGACGACAUUGAGUGCUUCCUUUCAACAUGAUAUGAAGAUUUUGAAAUCCGAUAGAAAGGGGCACACGUGACUAUGAGAUGUUCAGAUCUUUGUCUAGCAUUAGCCACCGUCUGGUAUAGGAUUCCAGUGUCGUGGAUGGCCAAAUGCUAGAGUGCUAGCUAAAUCGGGUAGGGUGAGGAAUAUAUCAGCUGCUUUUGAUGUGCGCUCUCCUUUAAUUUGUUGGCAGGAAUGUCGCCUCGGGCGUCCAUGGAAUCCGUCGGUCCUCCUGCAUGCAGAGUAAAGAACGUCAAGGAAGGGGGAUGGACGGAUGGAAAAGGGAAAAAGGAAAAAGGAAAUCGACCGGGUUCCCGCAUACAGGCAUACAGCAGGACACCGCGUGAGUCUAACGCAAGGCAUAUGCAUGUGACGAGUCAUUCGCCAGCUUUUUCCCCAUUUGUGUUGAACAUUGGCAUUCACAAAGCAAUUGUUUGGUUGAGUGUUGUUUUUUCCCCAUUUGUGUUGAACACUGGCAUUUACAAAGCGAUUAUUUGGUUGAGUGUGAUAAAAUUUACCGCUCAUCGUAGUAUAGAAUGUUUGAACACAUGCAUGAAGUACUAAAUAUAGACUAUUUAUGAAACUAAAAACACAGCUAGAGAGUAAUUUAUAAGACGAAUUUUUUGAGCAUAAUUAAUCUAUGAUUAGACACUAAUUGCUAAAUAAAACAAAAAUAUUAUAGUACCUGUUAAACUUUAACAACUUCAACCAAACACCCUCAAAGUCCAGCAAAUGCCUGGCAGGUUAAAGGUCCUUUGGAUAUGUCAAACGCCACACGGGUUAGAUCCAGUUCUCAGAAACCAAGGGUCGGGGGCGAUCCACUCCUUCGUCCGCUCAUCAUGUGUGUGCUUGCGCAAGUGCUUGGACCAUCCUUUCCAUUCAGCUCAAUAGUGAAACUCUAAUGGUGAACAUUUUGAACUUAAUCAUUGCGAAGACUCUCCGAUGACAUCACAUUGCCUCUUACUGGAACAUCCUUGCUGUUGUCAUCAAUAUAGUAUUUGGAACUUUGCAAAAAGCUCUAGCUUCAGCAAAUCAUCCGAAGAUUAUCCGAUGUUCUCCGCCAUCACAGUUGGACCAUCCACUAUGGAAUGGGGUCCAUUCACUUCCAACUUCCACCGAGGUCUAACUUGUUAUAUUAGAUUCCUUGCUAUAUGAUUAAGCUCCCUUGACCAUUUGUUCACCAUGUUGAGUUUCUCACACAUUGAACACUUGGUCGAGCUUUUUUGUACUUGAAUAUGAUCCCCUUCCGGUGAUGCCUAAUUUUAUUGAGAGAUCUUUAACCUUCAUUUCGAUACGGAGUCCUUGAUCACCUUUUCAUCAUCACUAAGGGACAUCUUCAUAUGUUGUGACCUAACAUAAAACAUGUUUCUCCAAAAACAUUCAUCAGUUAUACAUACAAAGUUGUCAUUAACCACCAAAACCACUUACCUGAGAGGUUGGGAUUCUUACAACCAUUGUUAACACAUACAAACCAUCGAUUUUACUUUGCACGGAUAUUGGAGGCCUUCACUUGAGAAGAAGAAAAAACGCGUGAGAUCGAUUUGCUUUCGUGCUAGAACAUGAUAGGGAGGUGAAGAAGUCGCGUGACUUUCCAUUCACGUAAAGAUUGGUAGCUUUUUGUGAGAAAUAGUGUUGGAGGUUAAUUUUUCAUGUGCCCCCAAAAAAAUGCCAGCUUGAUAGAGUCAUUUUAUCAAACUCUUUGAGAUGGUCGAUGGUUAGUUGUUGCGUUAGGCUGCAAUUCAACAUGCCCUUGCUAAUGAGACCUUGUUUAGUUCAGAAAUUUUUUUGGUUUUGGCUACUAUAGUAAUUUUAUUUUUAUUUAGCAAUUAUUGUCCAAUCAUAGAUUAACUAGACUCAAAAGAUUUAUCUUGCGAUUUACAUACAAACUAUGCAAUUAGUUUUUAUUUUUAUCUAUAUUGAAUGCUCUAUGUAUGUGUCGUAAGAUUUGAUAUGACAGAGAAUCUUGAAAGGUUUUGAUUUUUGUAUUGAACUAAACAAGGCCUGAGUAGGAAUGUAAUAUUUGGGACAUACUGUUACCUCUCACGGUGAAAGAGAAUUCUGACUUUGCAAAUGAGAUUUAUCAUAGCCAGUGCGAAUUCGCCUACCAGACAUGCUCGAUCGUCUCGUCUCCUCACAAACAUUGACCCCAUCUGUCAGCCAGUCGCGGUCAACGGUUCGUUUGAACUAAUAGCUGUUGCUAGCGGCGCGGCUGCCCGCUGCCUUGCAAGAAUCUUCUAAGGCCUUGUUUAGUUUCGAAAAUUUUUCGGUUUUCGAAACUAUAGCACUUUCGUUUCAAUUUGACAAACAUUAUCCGAUUAUGGAGUAACUAGACUUAAAAGAUUCGUCUCGUGAUUUACAAGUAAACUGUGCAAUUAGUUUUUAUUUUCAUCUAUAUUUAAUACUCCAUACAUAUGCCGUAAGAUUCGAUGUGACGGGGAUUUUUGAAAAGAUUUUGGUUUUUGAGGUGAACUAAACAAGGCCUAAUAUGGCCAUGUUUGGCUGACGGCAACCACCGCCCACACAAGAGAAGCGGUCAUCGUCACUCAGCUUCAGCUUCUUCGUCUUGCCGUGGCCGUGUGUGUCCCGUGUCCGUGUGGAUUCAAAUCCGCUGACCGGCGGCCGCCUAUUUAUGCCCUACCCCGCCGGUUUUCUCUUCUCCUUUCCACGCUGGUCCACGCGGCUCCAACACCUGCCUGCCUGCCUGCCUGUUACACCAACCACGCGCGCCAAGCCGAAGCAGCCGUCGUCUUCCACCGAUCCGCCCGCCCGCCCGUUCCCCAUUGCUUGCCAAAUUGCCAUGGCGCAGCAGCAGCAGGUGGUGAGGCGGGUUCUGAAGGUGGCGCCGCCGGGGAAGGGCGACGGGGAGUGCUUUCCCACGGUGCAGGCGGCGGUCGACGCGGUGCCGCUGGGCAACCGGGCGCGCGUCGUCAUCCGCCUCGCGCCGGGGGUCUACAGGGAGCCCGUCUACGUCGCCAAGACCAAGAACUUCAUCACCAUCGCGGGGGCCUCGCCCGAGGCCACCGUCGUGUCGUGGGACAACACCGCCACGCGCAUCAAGCACUCACAGGUACGCGGCGGCGUCUGCUCCCUCACUCUCUCCGCCUGCCUGCGUCCUGCUCGACGAAAUGCCCGGCAGGCUUGUGUGCAUGUGCUACGGUCGGUCGCUGUGAUUAGUAGGUUCAUUCCAAGGACUGCGGUUGCCUGACCUGAUGUGGAUGUAGCUGGUCAAUAUACACCUUAGUUACUACUUCUUCCAUCCAAAUCAUAAGACGUUUGACUUUUUUAUCUCAAGUUUGACCACUCGUCUUAUUCAAAAAAAAAUUAUAUAAAUAAAGUCAAAUUUAAGUCAUAUUUUUAGAACUUUUAUUAAUAAAUCAAGCCACGACAAAAAAAGUGAAAUUUUGCACAAAUUUUUGAAUAAGACGAAUGGUCAAACUUGGUGUCAAAAAAGUCAAACGACUUAUAAUUUGGGAUGGAUUGAGUAAUUAAUAAGAAUUACAUGUGUUUCAGGCUUUGAUCGUUGCACGCAAUGAACCUUUCUUAGUUUCGGUCACAUAGUUUAGUUUGAUCAAAGUCAUACAAACCUUUAGCCUUUGGGGGUUUAUUAUAAGAUAAGAUGCAUGUUUCUUUCCCCUCCUUUCCGUAUAUCAGCCUAUAAGCAUGGACAAUACAGCUGGUGCAUAGAGACAACCGUAAACUGUUUUCACCAAUUUUGACAGAGGUGUAUAAGAUUCUCAUAUCCUAUGAGCACAAACGGAUAUUCGAUUAGGCAAUUCUGUAGCCACACCCCCUUGAGUUUACUCCUGAUCACAGCUCUAAAUGUGCUUAACAUUUUGAAUAAUUCUUAUUUAUAUCUCAUAAUGAUGAACUGUGCUGUUUUUUUCUCAUAAAGUCAUCCAGGGUUAUAGGAACAGGAACAUUCGGCUGUGGUACGUUCAUUGUUGAGGGGGAGGAUUUCAUUGCAGAGAAUAUUACGUUUGAGAAUUCAGCUCCCCAGGUAUUGGUUCUUUGCUUCUUCUCCUGGCAUAAACAGAUGAUCAUGCUGUUGGUGUGAGAUGGGAAGUUGAUGCGUGCUACUCAUUGAUACAGGGCUCUGGGCAGGCUGUUGCACUCCGGGUGACCGCAGAUAGGUGCGCUUUCUACAACUGCAGGUUCCUUGGUUGGCAAGUACGUCUGUCUCUUCAGCUCCUAGUGAAAUCGCCUCAGCAACCAGGAUAUAAGAAUCAACAAUACUUUUCAAUAACAUUUGGAAACUCUGACUCCAAUCAAAUUUUAACAGGACACAUUAUACUUACACUAUGGAAAACAGUACUUAAGAGACUGUUACAUUGAAGGCCACUGUGAUUUCAUCUUCGGUAACUCUAUCGCCCUUAUGGAACAUUGCCAUAUCCAUUGCAAAGCAGCAGGAUUUAUUACUGCUCAUAGCCGGAAGUCCACAUCAGAAUCUACUGGCUAUGUAUUCUUGAGGUGAGUCUGUUGUAUGUUGUUUGUUUAAUAUGGCACUCAAAUAUUUCGUAUUUUUAAAACUUUAUUUGCUUGGUUUGUUUUACAAAAACUAUUAAAAUGUUUCUUUAGCAAGUUUUUGCUCUUUUUGUUUUGACACUUCAGGUGUACUAUUACUGGAAAUGGAGAUGGUGGAUAUAUGUUCCUAGGUCGGCCAUGGGGGCCCUUUGGAAGGGUUGUCUUUGCAUACACUUUUAUGGAUCGAUGCAUUAAGCCUUCUGGGUGGCAUAACUGGGACAAAUCCGAGAAUGAGCGAACUGCUUGCUUUUAUGAGUACAGGUAAUAAUUGGACAAUUCCAUGUAACUAUCAGCUAGUGAUAUUAAACCUCCAUAGUUGUCUUGUCACUAACACCAAUCAAUCCUCAUGAAGACUAUCGACUUAUGUUCUUUGGUUGUUCUGGUUGUAAUAUGAUUGUGUUGUUGUGAAUCUAGUGUAUUGGGGAUGGAUGAUGUAGAGCAUAGACUGACUGCAGUGGUAUCUGCUAAUUAACACUGGUUUCUGCAGGUGCUCCGGGCCAGGCUCCCAGCCGUCGAACCGGGUGACCUGGUGUAGACAAUUGCUGGAUGUUGAAGCAGAGCAGUUCCUUGCACACACUUUUAUCGAUCCAGACGUUGAUAGGCCAUGGCUCCUCCAGAUGAUGGCAAUAAGAGUACCAGCCUCAGCAUAGUUUGAUCCGAGGUCCUGGUUCAUGCCUCCUUUGUAGCCCAUCUAAUAAAUAAUAAUAAAGUUGGUGGAUGCGGAUGCAUUUUAUAUUUAUAUAAGUUUGUAAAGUUUGUUCAAUUGGUAUCCACUUUUUCUCAUUGAGGGUGGUGGGGGUAGAGAAUGAGAGAGGUUUUGCUGUGAGAAGCUUGUAACGAACUCGAGCACUGGGCUGAAAUACAUGCAGAUAUUAUUUUGCAUGUCCUGUUUUUUUUUCAAUCUGAUAAAAGUGCACAAACGUUUAUACAUGAAGAAAAUGUGGCGUCCCGUUGCAGUUGCAGGUUUUUCUCCCCUGAAUGCAGCGGUGAAGCUGCCUGCUGCAGGUGUGCAGUGCUGCUGAUUUCUGGAUGAAAUUCAGCCACGGACCAGUAUGCAGAUUUUAUACAAGAAGUUGUGCCGCUAAACUUUUUUUUAAAAAAAAAGAAGUACCUGAAAGGAACCCUUUUAUGAUGUGGGUACAAGUGUAGAACCGGUUGGUAGUGGAUGCACAGCUAGCCUGUUGAAGUUAGACACUGACCAGUCGCGGAGCUAGAGCAAAUAUGAGGGGGGUGCGUUUGCCUUGUGGGUGCGUAGGAUUUUUCUAUGUGGGUGCAAAUAUGGUGAAAAAUUGAGACACUGACGAAGAGCUGUUGGACAGCAACGCGGUGAUGCGCCUGCCUGAACAAAUGGUCGAACAGAUGAGCUGAACUUGUUGCAAAAGUCGUAAUGCGCUACAGUAACGGGAGGGAUCUGGCACACACAUUUCGCGGUGAGUGAGUACGCAGCACAGUAGCAGAUUGUUGGAUAGUAAGAACGUAAUUUUCAUCCUUCAUGCCUCUUGAAUAAAUACUAGUAGUACCUGACUACCUGUGAUGUUGGACGGAAAAGUACAGGCCGGGAGCCCUCCCCUGCCCAACACAAGUUGAAGUUGUGAUCUCUCUCUCUCUUCAUCAGUGUCUAGUAGGCUUGGGACAUGCAUGCACGGCUCUUCUUGGCUCUCUCUUGGAGGCUCUUGAGCUUAGCAGUUCUACGUUGUGGAAAUAUCUAUGUUCCAGAAACGUGAAUAUUCUUCUUCUCAUGGCGAGGCGUGCAAUACGGGUCCAGUAGCGUCGCCGUCGGCCGUGGAUAUUCAGGGCCAGCCGGCCAGGCAAGCAAAGCACAGCUGAUCAUGGACAGACAAACAGCGAUGGCAACGGCCUGCCAGCAACACAUAACGACAGGGCCCACGUACGGCCGUGCUAUAUAUGCUAGCUUUGUUUUUUUUUAAAAAAAAACUGUUUGUCAUUGUGGGUACGAGUUCCCAAAUAAUUUAAGCCUUGUUUACUUCCAUCAAAAAACUCAAAACUUUUCAAGAUUUCCCGUCACAUCGAAUCUUUAAACGCAUGCAUCAAGUAUUAAAUAUAGAUGAAAAUAAAAACUAAUUACACAGUUUGGUCGGAAUUGACGAGACGAAUCUUUUGAGCCUAGUUAAUCCAUGGUUGGACAAUAAUUACCACAAACAAACGAAAAUGCUACAGUGUCGCGAAAAUUUUCACUUCAUCAACUAAACACGGCCUAAGAGACCAUGGACGGAUUUACAACGUUGGAUGUAGAUUGAGAUGGAAGGACAGGCAUCAAGCUUCAUCUCCAUCUUAAUUAUAUCUAAACAAGAGUUUUAUAUACACUGUCAGAUGAGUCUCAAAGCUUGCUCCAUCAGCCUAAUUAAGUUUAGAAUUGUUCGUCUCUAACAUGUGUAUAUAUGGGUCUCAGGUCAUGGGUGUUUAAUUCAAUUAUUUGUAGGGAGAGAAACAGCAACAUCAUCAAGCACCCCCAGCCUAGUAAAGGCGCUUAUUUCUGUUUCUGCACCCAUAUCUCCGGUGGUAGCUACGUCUGCGUGUGCAAAGCACACCUGAGACGUUCCUGUCGUCUACUAAUCAAGCAUUGAUGCUACAAGAUAUCAUAUACAAUAGUAAGUUAGUAACCCUUUUUAAUCUACUCUUAUUUUUUAAUAAAAAAAUGUAGAAGCUCUGCCGCUCAGUUAAGUAAGGGGAAAAGGUUUAUGUACAUAUUUUAACCUACUCGUACGUUGGCACAAGAAAUUAAUUAAUCUAAAUAUAGGUCAUCUUCUAUUCUAGAUUUUUUGCUAGCCAAAUAUAAAAAACGAAAAUGGUUCUCUAGAGUGUGCAAGAGAUAUAGAAAAACUGAGAGUGAAAUUUAUGAGAUGCUCUUGCAGAUUCAAACAGCUAGGACCCCAACGGCGCAUGCAAUGCAAAGCAACAUAUCCAUAUGCUGUUGUGUGCUACGUACAUUAAAAUCUCUCAUCUGACACCGUCCAAAGAUAGUAGUUACAAUGGCAUGAAUGAAUACGAGUGUACACAAGCACAAGAAGGCGACUACAAAAUAAAGAAUCGUCAGGCGCCGCUCCGUGGUGCCUUCUGAAAUCCUUCACUGCGCCGCUGCUGCGUCGCCGCCACCGCAUUUGGCACGGCCUUUGUCGUCGUUGUCGCCGUCGACACGUCCACGGCCCUGUGGCUGGCGCACCCCGCCAGAAUCCCGGCCGGCCGGUGCCCCCGCAGCUGCCUUCCAGCGACAGGAGGACCUCUCGCGCCGCCGCCGCCGACCCAUCUGGCGGGGACGCGGUCGCCGCGCUCCGACGCGUCCGCGGUCACCACGCUCCACUGGAUGCUCGCCUCGCUCGGCUCGUAGGGGCAGUCGCCGAUCAUCAGGCUCUUGAUCUCGAACAGGUCGGAGCUCGACUCGCUCCCGGCGUCGUCGUCGUCGUCGUCGUUGUCGUGGAGGUGAUGCGCGCCACCGACACCGCCACGGCCAACUUUACCUGCUCCGCCGGGAUCGCCGACGCGGCCGCCGCUCGCCGCCGGCACGUUGGCUCUGACCGGAGCCACCAGGGUAAAGUUGCUUCUCCUCCUCAUAGAACUUGGGAAGGUGAGCUCGGCAGCAGCUUCCUUCUCCUCCCCUGUCGUCACCUCCCUCCCGAUGGCCGCCACUUUCGCCGUCCCAAGAUUGAAGCUUGGCGGGAGACCGGCGGCCACCAGGCCAUGACUGUUGCCAUCCCCAGAGAGUCCGAGGGCGGCCUUGUGCAUCCUCAGCUCUCUGUACCAGUCGAUCCCGGUCGCCGCCGCCGGCUCUGCGGCGUCGGGAGCUAUUUCCUUGGCCGCGCAGCCGUCGUCCACGCGCACCGACCGCUUCCCGGAGCACGUGCGCAUGAGCACGCCGACCUGGACGCAGCACUUUUUGUCGCGGGGGGGACUGCGCCGUCGACGGAGCCCGCCCCGGAAGAGCGCCGUCUGGCUGUUGGCGCUGGACGCCGCCGAGCUCGCGGUGAAGCUCGCCGUCGACGCGCGCGUCGAAGACGGCUUAGCCAUUACCACGGCCUCCGCUGCUGGCCUCGCAGCGGCCGUCUCCACCAACGGCUGCUGCACCUGCACCGCUCCCGCGGGGAAGGUGACACCAAAACCUUCCUUGCGGUCGUCCCCGUCGUCGUCCAUUGCGCCUCUGAAGUAGCGCUCGGCGGAGAACACGUCAAGCUCGCCGUCAGCGUACGUGCGCCGCCGGCUCGCCAUGGCAUGCGCCGGCAACGGCCGCGGCGCCGCGCGGCCAACGUCGGCGUUCCGGCCCAUGUCAAGGUACGACGACAGGGAGCUGCCGUUCCAGCGCCUCCCGCUGAUGGCGUCGUCGAAGCUGACCACCUUGCCGCCACCAUUUCCCGAUCGCCCCAUCUCCAUGGUGCAGUGCAAGUGCAGCCAACACACACCAGUACAUACAAGGAUGAAGAAAAUGGUGUGGCCAAAGGAGAUGUUGUGAAUAGGCGCACUUAUAUAGACAUCACAGUACACAUCACCAAAAUAAAAAUGAAGAUAAAAAUUAUAUGGACACAUGAAUUUCACCAACUGUUCAUGUACGAAAACUACUACUAUUAUUAUCAUAAUAAUUCAAUUCAACGGAGAAAUAAACCUAAUUGCCAAUUUUGUCUGCAUGAUGGAAUAACUGCAACGGCAACAGGGAGGAGAUGAGGAGGCUGCAGGCCUGCAGCCUGCAGUGAAGUUUGUUCUGCUGGAGCACCGAUGGCCAUAUAUAUGUUUCUUUAAUUAAUUUAGCAACGUUUGAUGAUCCAAAAUUGAAAAUGAGACGGUAGCUGCUGCCUUUGACAUGAUCCAUCCUCCCUGACACUCAUGCUAACAACUAAAUUUGAAACUGUUGUGCAGCAUGACUCCGACAGUGACCCUGCUGCGAAGGCGACAAGGAAACCGUUGCUGUUCGUCGUCAGGGAAAAAGAAAAGGGCAACGAUGGCCGUUUCCUGUCCAUGAUCUGCCAAUGAGACACCAAAGAAAUUUCAACAACAGUGAUGCUUUUCGUCUCCAGGUAACACUUGGGAUGCAUGAUAGGAAGGGUCUUUAUCUUGCGAGAUGCUAAUUUCCCGGGGGGAAAUUAUCAAAUAUGUGAAUUUACGAACCGGAUUUUCCGAAUCAGGAGGCCAACCGCACAAGGUACUAUCUAUCUGGAACAGUGGUAGGAGCAAGACAGUCGGGUGUUUUAUGCAACAGUUGAGCUGUAGGCGUGUACCAUGGAACAGUUCAUCACUCUGCUCCACAAACCGCUCUUAUACUGUUCUUCAAAAAUCUGCUAUGCUGUCAUCACUGACGAUAUCCAGGGGUGUUUGGUGGUCAUCAUUUUCAUUUCACUCUUUAGUUUUUUGUUUGAUUUGUAGAACAUAAUAUGUUGAUCCAUUAUCACCAAAAUAAAUGCCUCCUAACAAAAUGGCUGGUUAAUCUGUUGAAUACAGAAGGUAUAUGGCAAUCUCUUUUAAAGAAUAAAUACCUAAGUUCUAAAAAUCUAUCCCAGGUCACGGCUAAGCCAAUGACUCUCAUUUUUGGAGAGGCCUAAUGCGCAUCAAAGAGGAGGUGUUGGCAAAGGGUUCUUUCGAUAUUAAGGAUGAACCACAACUAGAUUUUGGGAUGAUACAUGGAUAGGUGAUAAGCCUCUGAAAAUUCGCUAUCCAUCUUUAUAUAAUAUAGUGAGAGAUCCUCACGCUACAGUCUCAAAGGUUAUGAGCACUAGCCCAUUGAACAUUUCUUUUAGGAGGGCUCUGGUGGAUAAUAAACUUACAGAAUGACUUAGUUUAGUAGCAAAUAUCUUUCAUGUCGAACUGGUGGAUGAAUCAGAUUAUUUUAGAUGGAGUUUAACCAGAUCAGGUUUAUUCUCUGUGCGAUCCCUGUAUCUCCAUCUUAUAGAUACAAAUAUACCUUUUCGUCAUAGAAAGAUCUGGAAGAUAAAAGUACCUUAAAAAUAAAAAAUUUUCUUUGGUUCCUGCAAAGGGGUGUCGUCCUUACCAAAGACAACCUAGCCAGAAAAAAUUGGAAAGGGAGUCAGAAGUGUAUCUGCUGUAAUGGGAAUGAAUCUAUUCAACAUUUAUUCCUAGACUGUCCUCUUGCCAAAAUGAUUUGGAGGUUUAUCUUUUAUGCUACUAAUCUGACUCAACCUAGAUCAAUCAGCCACAUGUUUGGUAAUUGGCUAUCUAAUCAGAAUAAAAAGAUUAGAAAUUUGAUUUGGGUAGGGGUGGCUGCUAGGCUAUUUGGAGAUGUUGUAAUGAUGUUGUUUUUAAUAGAAUAAAAUCUAACUCUAUUAUGCAGGUCAUUUUCAGAGGAGCGUACUGGUUAUGCUUUUGGGCCCAAUUGCAGCAUGAAGAGCAAGCCAAGGACGCGCUCUCGAUGAUGAGCAAGAAAUUAGAAGUCAUUGCGUUAGAGCUAUCCAAUAAAGGAUGGAAACAUUUAUAUUGUUUGAAAUAGCGUUAUGGUCGUUUUAUAAGACUAUGGCUUCCUCUUUUUCACUUGAUCCAAGUUUCUGUAAUUUUGGGCUGUGUACAUACUUAGAUGUAGAGGCCAGAUUGUUAUCCAUUAUCUAAAAAAAAUUAGUACCAGUACGAGAAAUGUGGUCAUUCUAUUAAAUUUGAGGAAUGGACAAACAAAACACUCCACGAGUGUUUUGAAAAACUGCACCGUGCACAUAGAUUGGAGAUAUUCUUCUGGUAAUGAUAGGAAGCAGCGCUUUUGGGAAGAUAACUGGUUUGGGUAGCUUAGCUUUCGCUUGAGCUUAUCAGCCGAAUCCGCCAACCAUUCAGCAGUGUUUUUCUCUCACUGUCAUGGCUUAUCAGCCAAAUGAAAAGAGGUACUAUAGCAGAUUGUUGGGAUGCAGAGCAGCUCAUAGUUACUUUUAAGAAAGUAGGGUAUUGUCUCAGGGUCUGAUGAAUAUGUGGCAGGGCCCUAUCCAGAUAGCUGAGAGCAUCAUUUACACUAAUGAUAGUGAUGGGACCAUUUGGGCUUAUAACUCUAAUGCCAUAUAUUCAUUUCAAUCCUUUUUUUCUGCUUUUAUUAAGAGAAGAGAGAAUUGCAUCCAACAAUGAUCCAUGAUUCUAGCAAGUCUGAACUUAACAAUAUCAUUGACCGGAAGGGGUGACCUACACAAUCCUUGCGGUAGAAUCUCAUCUUACUCGGAGGCAAACAAUCUGCAACCACGCGCAGCUAAGUACUCCUAAAAUGUGUCGCAAGUUUAACUAGAUUUAUAAAAAAUAUAUGUAAAAUUUGUAUCUCUAAAUAAAUUUGUUAAAAAAACUAGAUUUAAAGAUCUUUCCAAUGAUAAUAAUUAUGUACCAUAAAUAUUAAUAAUUAUUAAUAUAUUUAGUUAAAGUUAUUUUUCGGAAAACGAGAACGACCGUUAUUUUAAGAUGAAGGGAGUAUAUACAAAUGGAAAUAACAAAGUGACAACUAAAGCGACGUGAAACGACCUAAGCUACAAAUACGUCCACGCAACUCUCUGUCAGCGGUGAUCGGUGAGCACAAGGGGGCACAGCCCCCUUCUUGCGACCAUGAUGCUUGAUGACUUGUUAAACAUCAUAAUAAAAGACCCGACCACUGCUUGACGCCUAACAUCUUCAAAAUUCUUCACCAAUGAAAGCCCACGGUUAGGAGUUGAGUCGUUGUACUCAAUGAUCACCUUUACAGGAGUUAAGCCAGUAGUUUAUGUUCCAGCUGUUUGGAAGCUCGCUGUCACUCCCUGAGUUCAUAUCGACCUGUUAACUAGAGGUAACUUGAGUAAAGAAGGAAGAUAGACGAUCAAUCAUGUUUCUUUUGCUGCGAAAAAUAAUCAAUUGAACAUCUUUCUUUGAUGGCAUUAUUGCUUGCAAUCUUUGGCAUUAUCACUACUUUUAUGAAUGUACAAGUGGGUGUUGACUUUGAGGGGUUUUUUUUUAACUUUGUUGACUUUGAGUUAAGUGAUUGCUGCUGCUGCUGGUGGGUAAGUAACAAGAAAGGUACUCCCUUCAUACGCAUAAAGAAAGUCGUUUAGAACAACGACACGGUCUCUAAAAUCUAACUUUGACUCUUUAUUUUUAUAAAAAUAUUUAUUGAAAAGUGGUAUAUGUAUAUUUGUAUGGAAGUAUUUUUCAAGACAAAUCUAUUCAUAUAGUUUUCAUAAUUUUAAACUUAACAACUUAAAAGUUAUCUAAGAUUUAUAUUCCUAAUGGUUAACCUAAAUUUUAUCCAAAAUGAAGUACUGUUGGCUGAUAAGCCAUGGCAGAAAGUACUAUUGGCUGAUUUAUUAUGAGAGAAAAAUAUUGCUGAACCGUGUGUGCGCUGCUCUGUUAUGGUGCAUUUGGAAGAAACAUAAUGAUCUAUGUUUUCAGGGCAAGGCGUGGAAGCAUCUGAACCAACUGAUGGAAGACAUAUCACAUAUGCAGCUCUUCAGGUUCAGGAACUGGCUGGUGCGGUGACUGCUAACACAGCACACCAGUGAUGCUCCUUCGUUAGUUUAGUCAUCCUGAUAAUGAGGACCGUGUGAUUAGCACUCAAACAGUAUAUCAACCACGGGAAGUGCGGCAUCUGCAGCUUGGUCUCCUAGCAGGACUUGAACUUCAGUUUGGUAUGUCUUUUCUGUUGACCUUUAUUUUGGAGGUGUUUACAUUCGGUAUGAACUUUAUUUGCAUGGAGAUCAUCUGCAUCUUCAAGUUGUGAUGCUUUGUUUUAAAAUUAUGUCUGUUUCAGGCCUUAUUUGGAACAUUUUUUUUCAAUGGAUUUCACAGAAUUUUCACUUGAAUCAAGCAAGAUGCAGGCCCUGUUGGAACAAAAUAAAAGAUAGAAAUUUAAGAAGAUCCCAAUCCCAUAGGAAAAUUUCUUAUAAACCACUUUGGGACAGAAGAUUUAACUAUAUGAAAUUCAUUUGGAUUCCUAUGGAUCCAAGAGUCAAUGAGAAUUUUUAGAAGAAAACAAACAUGAGGGUAAAACUAAUGCAAAAUUCAUUCGUGUUUCUAUCUGUAUAGAUUCUUGAAUCUUUCCCUUGUUUCUUUCGUGCUUCCCUUGUUUCUAUGUGUUUAAACCCUCAAUAUGGCCUUUGGAUCUACAGAGAUAGAAACACGAAAUAAUUUUAAAAAAUUAUGUAAAAUUCUUGAAUUUUAUAGGCAACAUACAUGAAUUUCACAAAACGGUUCCUUUUUCACAGGAGGCCUUCGUUUAGGCUCACAAGUUUCGUAUAACUGUGACCCUACGUUUUCUCUAUCCUAUGUUUUGAGGAUCCUAGGUUUAAAAGAAAAAAGAAAUUAUCUUGUUCCAAAGGAGCUGUAGAUCUCUUUCUCCCAACAACCGUAUGAAAUUCCCCUGAAACAGGGAAAGCAGAGAAGAAAUAGCUUUUGUUGAGUAAAAAAUGUGGUUAUGUGGGUGGGGGUAUCCUGUUCUCUGAAACAUAAUUGUCGAAUUGAAUAAAACAAGAUACCAUGAUAUGCUUCCUCAAAAAAAAAAAAGAUACCAUGAUAUGACAUGACACACUGAAAACCUGUGUUUGGUAGAGUUUUGUCUGUCCGAUUCCGCUGCAUCCAAACUUCAGAGUCCAAUGCUAUGCGCCAAUAUCUCAAAUAGGAGAUUUGGAGCCUCUUGGUUUGAAAUAAACGAAUGAUCAACGAUUCACGGGUGUGAUUAGCACUCAAACAGUAUAUUGACCGCGUGAAGUGCGGCAUCUGCUGUUUGGUCUCUUGGCAAGGCUUGGACUUGAGUUCGUUCCCCUUUUCUCUUGGAUUCAUAUGAGAUGGAUGAAGCAAUAGGAACUUUUGGAGGAAAACUAAUAUGAGGUUAUGCAAAAUUCCAUUGUGUUUCUAUCUUUAUAGAUUCUUGAAAUUUCCCCGUGUUGCAUUCAAAUUGAAUGCACGAAUUUCAUAGAAAUCAUGAAUUUCAUACGAAUCGAUUUAUUUUAUGUGAAAAGUGCAGUAAAUAGACAUAAAAGAUCCCGUCUACUAAAAAAAGAAAAACAUUCAGGUAGGAUUAAAAGGUUCCGUACAACAGUGAUCCUAUCUGCCUGUACUAUGUUGUGAUGAGAAUGGUAUGGAGAGAGAGAGAGAGAGAGAGAGAGAGAGAGAGAGAGAGAGAGUUCUUCCAACUACCAUAUGAAAUUUCCCUAAAAUAAAAAAUAAAAAGGAGAAAAUUAAGAAAUAGCAACGGUGGCGGCGUCAGCAUCAGUGAAGGGGGUUACCCGUACUAAAGUGUGGCCCUAGAAGCAAAAUGGCAAUUGUUGAACACUACUUGUCAGAAAUGAAAGAAACAACGGCAACACAAAAUGCAGACAAAGGAGACAGAAAUCUUUUUUUUAAAAAAAAACUUGUGGAUGUCGCCCACAAUGUUUUCCGUGCAAUAUUUGAGGUGACACGAGGCACACGUAUGAUCUUGUGGACCACAAGAAGUGUCUGGUUUAUCUUAGCCAUCACGUAUGGACCCUGCGUCCUAUGUUAUCAUGAUAGGAGUUUGUCACCAUUCUCCACAAAUUAAAAAUUGCAUCACAAUGAUCGUUAGCAUUAUCCAGGUUUGACCGGCAAACCGACCGAGCAAGUAGAUAACACCCAAGAGUUUGUUUGGUGCGACUUGAGCUCACAUGGGGUAGAGCUACACCAAACAAUAUCGACAUGGAGCCACAGCCGUUUCCAAUGUUGGCCGCAUCCUGGUCGGGUCCCCUACAUUUAACAUGGCGCCCAGCGAAAGCUACAGGGUAUGCCUACCCAUGUUCUGAAGUGACGCUGUGAAAGAAUCGUCAGAGCUCUCAAAACCAUGGAAAAGACACUGCAAAUUUUCCAGAUACAUUCGUCAAUUACAGAAGCAACACUGCAGAGCUUUUGCAGUUGACAAUUGCAGCUGACAAGUUGGGAUAUUAUAGUAUUGCUAUUGCACAUGACGAGGGAUGUUUUCUAGACAAACAGAAAUACAACACCGUUUUUAUCAGGGGUGAGGGGUCAUUGAGGCUUCUCUCCUUGUUCUUGUUCUUGUUCACCUUCACCCUUCCCAACAAGCUGUCAACAUUAAAUAAAGCUUGAGUCAGCCCUCAUAAAGAACAUCAUACUAUGAUAGCAUUAUGGCAACACAAUUGUGUCAAUUGAUCAAAUGUCAAAACAUGAUCUGUUUCAAUUUUACAUAGACUCAUCAUAAACCAUGCUUUCCAGUAGUCCGCUCAAACAACUAUCUCAACAGUUUUUUUUUUUUUUUUGACAACAUCUCAACAGUUCAAGAGUUGCAACAAUGUGAAGAAUCAAACAUACAGAAGUAGAGCAGAUGCCGAGAUUGGGGGCAAGGACAGGAACAUUAACAAUUACAGAGACUAAAAUUAGCACAAGGGUAAACUCAUCACGAGAAAGUCCUGCAUCAUAUAGGUAAUAGCUCUCGGAAGAUUAUAAGAUACCUACGACAUGCAGAAACAGCAUGUCUAUAAAGCAAAAACCAUUCAACAAGUAUAUGUAACACAUGGUCAAACUAAAUAGAGAAAAUAAUAAAAAGUUCAGCUGUUAUACCAGGGAACCAAUCAGUUCAUAUGCUUCCAUCACUUUCGGGUCCUCUUCAUCUUCAUAACCAACCUGCAGAAUUCGUGGACCAUUAACUGACCAAAACGACCUGCGGCCAUCAUCCUGAAAAAGGUGAAUUUUCAGUAAGAAUUAAAGCAAGUGGCAGAAUAGCAUGACUACAUGAGAUGUGAGGUAAAAAAUGAUAUAAAGUCAGCCGUUUGCCAAAAUAGCUGUUAUAAAGUAUAUUAGCCCUGGCCUGAAACUGUUUCAUGCUUGGCCUCCCAGGGUAAGUGUCUUUCUGUUACACUAUACAUCUGUGGUGCUGUGAAUACUGAGGCAUCAACACAGCAUCACCUGUGCUAUAAUGCCACAUUGCAGGGUGCUAUCAAACGCCGGGGGGGGGGGGGAGGGGGGGGGGCAUGCGCCACUUGAACCAUCAUUUCAAUUCAUUACAGCUAGAUCAUGUUGAUCUACUGACCACAGCCACAAGUGCAUGUUGAUCUACUGACCUUCGACCAGGCAUGCACCUCUGCGCAUGGAUUCACCCUUCUAGUUUAACAAGUACCCUAUCUUAGAAAAGUGUACUAUGCAGUGCUGGAAAUUUCAUUUACAACAGAAUUAGUAACAAAUCCGCAACCAAAACCAGUCUUUAAUAUGUACACUAAGAAAGUCAAGAGACAUUUCCAAGUUUUUCCUGAGGUAACCAGCUAUAUAUUGUUAAGGUUCACAGUAGAAAUCAUAAUUGCACAACAUGAUCAACAGGACUACAAUGGUAAGAGGUACAGAGGUGGACAAUGCAAUGGAGUUUAUUUAGUCAAGACAUCUUAAAACAAGACAGCAUAGGAUACUGUAUAAUUGAAAAUAGGCAUGCAAAAUGAACCAGGAGUCACUGCCAUGGAAUGUAAAAAUCACCUGCAAUACGAUCAUAUAAAUAGCCUCCAAUGCCUGCUGCCGAAUUUCAGAAUCAUCAACAGCUUCCCGUUCAUGAGAGAGUGCACUCGAUAGCUCAAGUGGCAUUUUCGAUCUGUCUUCUUCACUAUAUAUCUGCAGUAUCAGCCAAAAGCCACAUGAGUAGUAAAUUAACACAUGAAUAUCCAUCAUUCAGCACAAAACAAAAGAAAAGGAAAGUAUUUCUGGGAAAUUACUUUAGGAAGCUAAAAGCCAUAUGUGUGCCUCUUGCACAAAAAGGAUAACAGAUUCACCCUUGCUAAUUAUUGAUCCCUAUGUCUAUACUUUUGCAAAGUGUACCAAGGAAUUAAAUGCGCAACAAAUGCAUUUCUACAUGAAAAUGUAGAAGUAGAGGUCUUCAACAAGAAGAUAAUAUGUUGUCAAAACUUAAACUCUACAGCCAGGCAGUCUUAUUGGAAACAUUGCAAUGCUUGUGUGUUUGAGGAUGCUGGGCCUUGUAUUUCGGAAGUGUUACAGGCAAUGGAAAAUGAGAGUAAUUUGUGGUGUAUGGCUGGUGCGUCAGCUCUCCAUGAACUACUCAUCAGGUUGCUUAACCUUGACACCUAAGGUUAAGGUCUGUUUGGUCGACAUUGAGUCUCUACUGUAAGUAGUGUGUCUGUAACUAGACAUCUGUGGGAGUUGGCCGCCGGCCUCUCCUCAUUUUCUUUCUCUUCUUAAUGAAAUGAAACACAACUCUCCUUUGUCAUUCGAGGAAAAAAAGGAGUCUUCUACAAGAAUAUGCCUUUUAAAACAUUAAGAAAAUGCAACGCAAGAUUGCUCAAAGCAAGAAAACAUACUGCUAGUUCUAAAUUUUUAAUUGUAAGAUGUGCAAUCAGCUCAUGAAGUCUACACAACAGUGGUCAUUACUCAUUAGGGCCACUGGACCAACACAGGUUACUAGUCAAAAGGGAAUGAAAAUUACCCCAAAAAGAAAACAGUGGAACUGACAGUCUGGCACUCGAAAGUUUAUGCCAACUAGAGGCAUACCUCACAUGUUGCUCUGGGAAUUGCGGAUGUUUCAGAAUGAACUUAGACUAUAUAUAAUUACUUAUACAAAGGAAUAAACUAUUAUAAAUAAAUGCUAGUGGAUUAUGUGGCAUGUUGACAUGGACAACAAAAUGCUUGUGUCUUGCUGAUGUGGACAUCACAAUAGCAUGUGAUAGUGCAUUGCUGAGGUGGACAACUUGCAUGUUGAGAUACAUCACUAGUGGUGUUUAGGAUUAUAAGCGAUAUAGAUAAAGGAUACAAUGAUAGAAAUGUUAAUGAUAUGUAGUACCUUCUUUCCAGCUACAGGCAAAAGUAGAGCUGGCCAAAGAUAUUCUGCUAAAGAAAGCAAACUCUGAAGCUGAGUAUCAGCCUCAAAGCAACAGUUACGAAUUGUACCAGCAACCUGCAAAAAACUCAUCAAGGAAUAGAGAAGUACAAAAUUUAGUGGGAAUACAUCAAUUUGAUAAUAACUUAUACUAGAUUCAUAACAUGUCAAUGUAAAUCAAAAAGGAAAAUUAUGGCACUGAAACAGAAACUGGUUUUUAGGCCUGGUUUCCCUCAUAAACUGGGUCAAUUCUAUUUCUUCUUAUUUGAAAGGCAGAGCUUCUGCCAUUGCGUUUAGAAAAAACAGAAACUGGAUACAGGACAGCAACUAGUUCUAAUUGCAGGCAAACCUAGAAUUGGUACAUGCAUACAAAUAACACAGCAAGGAAUUAUGAAAUAAUGCACAUUCCAAUUUACAAAUUGAAUUGUAAGCAAACUGAACUAUUAACAUUUCCCUCUAUAUGUCUGCAGUAGAACCCUUCACAGCAACUCGCUAAAACACAACAGUUGAUGGUAAUAAUUAGCAAGUAGCAAUAGCAACUGAUAAAGAGCUGGUCAAAAGUAGGCAAACCAGGAGCAACCCUUUCAGUAUAGAUGUCACAUUUAUGCCAUCAUAAAGAUUUGGCUGCACGUACCCCUUUCUUUCUAAGUUGAUUUGUUGAAUCAAAUUGUCGAAUAAUCUGCUUCAGAAGACCUCUCUUAGGCUCCAUCAAUAUUCUCCUUCCAGCUUCAACCUUAGAUAUAUUGACAAGUAUGGAGGCAACAUAUUCAAAAAUGUCUUCCUCUGCAUUUUUGUAAAAUAAAAAAGGUUGUUUAGAUGUCAACUGAAUAUUUCAGCGAUGAUUCAAGACAAACAACCACAAAAGUAGUUAAGAGGCUAUGUAAGGGGUCACAGAGAUGAGAGGUAGAUCAAUUAGCAACAAAAAGAAAAGGUGAAUCUGGAAAAGAAGAUUCAUGUGGACAAAAAGAUGCUUCAAGCCAUGUGAAAAUAUUGUAGUUGCAGGAUAAGGUCACAGUAUAAUAUAAUAUAAUCAGACAGCAAAAAAAGGAAAACUUAAAGAAAAGGAGCAAGUUCAAUAUGGAGCAGAAUCUUCUUAAAUAUAACAAAUAAAAAGUAUAAAAAAAUAAUGAAUAAAAUAGAGGAAUUAAUCACAGUUUCUCAUCUGAACAAUGAUUUCAGGUCGUCCGAUUAAUCGUGAUUAAUCGCGAUUAAUCGUCCAGGUCGCUCCUAGGAUUCGAUUAGGAGGUCCGACUCGAUUAGUUCGACCAGAAAGCUGGUCGUCCGAUUAAUCGUCGAUUAAUCGCGAUUAAUCGGACGACCAGGUAAGAUGGACGACCAGGCUUCUGUUUUUUUGGGCCUUUUCUAACUGGGAGUGGGCUAAUGGGCUUUAAGUUUUUGGCCUGUUAGGGUUUAGAUAGAAUAGAGGGGCUGCAGGGGGGGUUUGGGACAGCAAUAUGGACCUCUGGACAGUGCAGAAAAGAGAAGAAACCAACUCCCACAAGUAAUUCACUAUCUAAACACUAAUGUAAUCUUGAUGCUAGCUUGAUUGUGUAUAUUAUAUAGUAUAUAUAGAGGUAUAUAUAUAGGCAUAUAUGCCCUGAAAUAGCUGGACGACCAGGUGGACGACCAGGGUCGACCAGGGCGAUUAAUCGCCCUGGUCGACGAUUAAUCUCGAUUAAUCGCCUGGUCGGUCCUAGAGCGACCAGCUUCGACCAGUCGACCUGAAAUCAUUGCAUCUGAAUGUAGAAGCUACAUUGAACAGAAGAAACUAACCUUCAGAAUCACUGGACGACCUACAGAAUGAUCGCACAAGCUUUGCAACAUACAAGCCUUGCACCUUCUCAUCCCCAACCUUUCAAAAUGAAGGGAGCCACAUAAGUCUUUCCAUGAAUGAUCACCAGUAAGAAUCUCUAUAUAUACUACUAAAACUUGGUGAAGCCGCAGCCUCCACCCCACCCCAUCCACCCACCACAUGUUUGUGCCUCCCUUCACAUAAAAAUCGGCACUCAUAGGUGGGACUCACAUUUCUCUCUCCUCCCCCAUUUAUUCUCUUCCUUUCUCUCUCCACUCUUGUUCUCGGAGUUCAUGGCUACCCAAAAGCUCCGGGAAUGGCAGCAAAUCUGAGUUGUAGGGUGGGCGCUCACUGGCCGCAUCAUCCGUCUGCAUAUGCCAAGGCAAGGCUGCCAUCCGCGACCGCCCUCGGCACCUACGAACUUGAUUGGCGUCGCCCCAUCUGCACUGGCUGUGUGUAUGCCACAGUCACAGCAUAGGAACACACGCUCUCGUCUCCUUGUCACUACUGGCACCACUGGGCCUGGCGUACCUGUCUCCAAGUACUUGACACCUGCCCCGUCCACAACUCUGCUGCAUUGGCGUCCUUCGAUUCAAUCAAGCCGACGCCUUUGACACUAUCUCAGACGUCAAGCCACAACCAAUGUAGGUGUAGUCAGGCACUCAGGCAACAGGCACCGCAGCAGGUGAGUUGGCUCUUCUUUCCACCCCUUCUUCAAUUCAACAUCCAUCCAAAAUAAAAUUAGCACAUAUGGAUGCAUCUCGACGCAGCAAAGUGCCAGCGAACACCAGCUGUUUGUGAAAUGUGCCUUGACCCAACAGUGUUUGUGUGAACGCCAAUUGGUUAAUUCAUUUAUUUAUGUGUGCCCAGUUUUGCUUCUUCAUAUUGAAAGAAUAAAAUGAUAUUUGUCUUUAAUCUACAGCUAUACUAGCAAUUCAUUGAUGUUAAGUACUGUGAACAUUGGCUCACAGGAGGAACAUAUAUGUCUUGGUUGUUAAGCAUAUGAUUUAUCUAUCUAUGCUUUUUUUUUUAAUCUCUUAGCUAGGGACAUAUUAUAUACUCCCUCGGUCCCUCCAUUCCAUAUAAGACGUUUUGGCUUUUCUAGACACAUUGCUUUUACUAUGUAUCUAGACAUAGUGUAUAUCUAAGUGCAUAGCAAAAGUUACAUAUCUAGAAAAGCCAAAACGUCUUACAAUUUGGAAUGGAGGGAGUAUAUCUCAAUCCCAUUACAUGUAGCAUAAUAUACAGCCUGACUGUGGUUUCACAAUGAUAAUAUUUCAGUCUUUACUCUGUUUCUACAGCAGGCAUUUAUUUUUGAUCUACAACAGGAUAGUUCACCGAUAUUGCUGUGGGACCUGAUUAAAUGCUCUUUUUCAGAAACUGAUCUAGAACAGCUAUGGCUUUCCAGGUUAUCUGAACUAAGCUGCAGCACUGGCUUGGUGCAUGUAUAACUGAAACUCAGGCCGAAAGAAGGAUUUAUUGUAAGGUAUUUUUGUUCCCAUGUCCACAAAUAUUACAUUUUAUUUACCAAGGAAUUCGUGACUGCUAGCUUCUCUGUCAUAUAAUUGGAUCGAAGUGGCAACAUUGCAUUCAAUUGUUGUAUCAUGUGCAGGCUUCAUGUUCAUGCUACUGGUUUUGUUUUUGCUACCUAUUUCUUGAUUGUUCUUGGCUUCUUGCCAUUUGUUGCAGAUGAGCUCACUUGAUCUGUUUUUCGACAACUGCAGCAGCUCCCAAGGAUGCAUAAUCAUUUGAAUUACUGUUUAUGCCUUCUCUGCCAUGGUCUUGUGUGUUGCAGAUCCCAGGAUGCAUAAUAAAGGAAUCACAUAGUUCCGCUAGGCGGCGCCUAGGCGCGACUAGGCGCUGGGCGAGGGGUAACCGCCUCGCCUAGGGGGGUAGGCGGCAUCUAGGCGCUGGGCGGCGCCGAGGUGGUCGCAGAGCUGGGCGAGCCACGAAAUUUUGCCCCUGCAGGCUGAUGGCACGGCGCGGAGGCGGACGACGCGGCCUUUCGCACGCGCGCGGAUGGCUUCGGCCGUGGGAAAUCACGCGAAAUCCCCGCCGCCUCCUCCUUCCUCCUGCUCCACCGCCGGCUGCUACCCCGCCCCAAGGUCAGUCCCCUCCCCUGCUCAUCUUCUCUCCCCCCUCCGGCAACUCCUCCCCUGCUCAUCACCCCUCCGCUGCCAGCAGCUCCUCCUCCCCUGCUCCACUUCCUCUCCCCUCCCCUGUUCCUCCCAGCGCCUAGGGAAACGCCUAGAACGCCUAGGCGCGAUUACUCCUGCCUAGGCGCUAAGCGGAGGGUCACCGCCUAGAAUCCGCCUAGCGCCUAGCUGAACUUUUCAAUCACCUGUUGGCUUUCAAAGGAUAGUUUCGAUAUUGUUGCAAUUUCUGCUUCUACAUCCUCAGGUGGUAUUGUGGUUAUUUGGGAAAUGGCAAUUGGGCCCACCCCUGAUUUUAAGAUGGCUUACACUUGUGGACUACGAAUGUUCCUGUCAGGAGCUUAAACUUAAGAGCUAUGCUGGUUUAGCUAUCCAAAUUAUUUCUUUUCUAUCUAUCUUAUAAUAUAUGACCUUGGCGAUUUGGAUUUUUUCAGGAAUGUGUGCUAUUUUUGGGAAUGGAUGGUUUAGAUCACAUGAUCCAGAUUUAUUGUGGGGAUAAGGCGGGCAAGGUUUGUAAUAUAAAUGUUUUGCAACAGCUUUCUUUGUUCAGUGUUCCAUUCUCGCAAUCUCGCUCCUUAUCUGUGAUGAUCAGUGAAAGCACAUCUUCUCCUUGUUAGCUCGUCUCAGGACAUAACCAAACCAUUCGGAUAUGCAAAAUGACUUGAGAAGCUGUUUCUUCUGGCUCCACGGUACAAUUGAGGAAUGGAAAUAUUGAGAUGACCUCCUAAUCGAUUAUCCAAGGAUCUCUAUUCUAGCCAGUAACACAAGUUACCAAGUAUCAUUGAAACUUUCAUGUCAAGGAGAAGGUUAGGGAGGCAAAAGUUGCUCAUUUGGAGCAUCAUCAUUUAUAUAAGCUAUAAGUAGCACUCUCCUUGAGUAGAAUGGCUCAACGGAACGGACCUGGAGGAACGCGGCGACGCCGGACUCGACGUGGGUGAGGUUGACGAGCAGCAUGACGAGGCUGCGAGCGAGGGCCGGCUGCGCCCCGCCUCGCUUGGCCACAACGUCCAUGGCGGCAUCGACGGCCCCGAGCGCGACGAGGCGCGCCGCGAGGUCCGCGUCCUGGCUGAGGUUGACGAGCGAGUCCGCCGCGGCCUCUCCCGCGCCGCUGCCGGCCGCGGAAGCCAGCAGGCGGAGCAGCGCCGGCAGGGCGCGGUCGGCGCGCGCCGUGAGCGCCCGGAGGCCGUCCUCACCGCCCGUCAGCCCGCGCACUAUGUCCACCGCCGCGCCCCGCACCUGGGGGUUGCGGUCCGAGAGAAAGCCGAUCAGCUCGUCGAGCUCGUCGGCCAUGGCGCGGAGGCGGCGGCGGCGGCGGCGUCGAGGGUUUAGCGGGCCUUUUGCUCGGGUUCGGGGAUUUUUUUUUUUUUCUGAGAUGAUGCAGCACACAAACAGCGGCGGCGGGAUGAAUACGGUGAUGUUAGUUUACGUGAAAGUGGCGCGAACACGGAUUUGAUGGAAAUUACGUAUCCUUCGUUGGCGACGCGAACGACACAGGUCUUCAUAGUGUGGUGGGACGGAGGCGGAGGGGAGGGAGGACCGGGGACCACAGAGGAUCAGUUGCGCAGAACACGUGUCGUGGUCCCAUUGGGGACCGGGGACCAACAGGCCACAAAGGAUCAGUUGCGCCCGACACAUGUCGUGGUCCAAUUGGGGCUAGGGACCAACAGAGUGUACGGUUAGCAUAUGGAGGGACCAGGACAGGGACCCGCGACCUCGCUAGGCUAAAAUUUUAUGUAUAUUAAAUAUGUUGAUGUAGAAUUGUAUUAAUAAAAAAAGAGAUAAUAAAAAUUUCAUUCCAUAAAACUCUUUUAUACUAUUUUCAAAAUAUAAAUAUAUUGAAAACCAUGUUAUGAAACUUACACUGAAGAUGACCUCACAAACAUGUUUUGUUUUUAUUAAGCACCAAACUCUUCGUGUAAUCAACACUUUAGAAAAGGCCUAUGGCGGAGCAAGGAUUCGGUUGGCUAUCAUUCAGCUAGUAUGUACUAUCAGUUUUUUUAUUUAAGAAUUAUAAGAAAAAAAAACUCAUAAGUGGGAUAUUGGUGCAAUUUUAUGCCUAUAUCCAUAUACAUAUACUCACGUGGAUAGUGGGUCUCCAAGUUAUUCACACUCGAACAGAAAUAUAACAAUAGAACUUCAAGCGAGCAGGGCCAUUAGACUAUAUGCUCCACUAGCCGUUGUUGGCCCAACGACUACUAUCUGAUAGAGAGCGCGUGAGGGAGCAUCGUAAUGGCAUCAGAUUGGUUGCCUUAACAUUGGAGCAUGCACUACGCCUAAGCAUAUACUUUGAUGGGUUAAUCCGAUGACCAUCAGAGGACCUAAUGCCACCAAUUUCUAUGCACUGAGGAGCCCAACGGCUAUCUCGGCUUAGGUGUUAUAAUAGAAGUUGGUUGGGUCUUAGCCAUCUCUCUUGCAUUAUAAGUAAGCAAACACCCUUGUGAGCAUCCAAGAACACCUCCCACUCACCUCUUUGCCUUCUGCUUUCAUCCAAAUCGAGAUUGGAAGCAAUCUAGUGCAUUUUGCAUUGAGUGUUGCAUCUAGUGGCACUAGUUGGUAUUUUAGGCUACGAUUUUCUUGUUACUCUUCGCGGUGACUGCCACCGACAUCUUAGAGUAGCUUGGGGUACUUGAGGAAGAUCGGUGAUUAUUCUUCAUGCCCAACAGAUGUUCUUUGUGAGAGGUUUUGAUCCCAACUCGUGAAGUGCAAAGGGAUACUCUAGUGGAAUGCUCAAGACUAGUUUGAGUGCACCAUUUGAUUCAUUAUUGAGGCAUCCACGUUGUGGGUCUAGCUUGUCACGCUAGUUAGCGCUCAAAUCAUCACUUGGAGACUCGCUACAGCGAGGAGUAGGUUGUCAGCAAGCAAUCAAACCUCAGGGAUAACUCUUAUGUCUAUCACUCAUACUCAUUGGUUUAUCUUCUACUCUUACUUUUAUUUACAUUCAUAUAUUGCUUGUGAGUGGUAGUUGCUUGCCUUGGCUAGCUAGAGUAGCUUAGUAGUAGCUGUACCAUUAACUAGUGUUAGUUGCUUUGUUUAGUAGCUCUAUUGUCUCUGGUGUAGUUCUUGUUGGUAGUAGCUUGUUUGGUAUUGUGCUUUAGACUAGAAACCAACCAAUUAAAAUUGUGUAGGUGCUUUCAUCGGGUGAAUUAGAGCUAGUGCAAAUUGCAUACAAGCAGGGCUUCUUGGUGUACUAAUCAACCUUUUGAUCUGCUGGUGUUGUGUCUUUGGCUCUGUUUGGAUACUCUAACUAAGUUAGAGGUUAGAGUUAUUCUCUAGCUCAUGACUAACCCUCAACUAACUCUAGCCAAAGAGGUGUUUAGAUGCAAGGGUUAGAUUGACAAUAAAUAUACUUUUCUAAUCAUUUAGCUCUUUCUCGGCUGGAUUUGGUGUGGCCGGCUGUUGUGUGGCCUCCUCCCGCUCAUGGCUCCGGCUCGCGGUGGGCAAUAGGGAGGGAGGCCGGAGCCCCUCACGUGGCCACGGAGGAGCUCGUCACCGUCGCCCUGGAGGAUGGCUCCGUAAAGCCCAAGCCCUAGGAACCCCUCCACCGUUGGCGCUUGCGAGUUGAGAUUGAGAUCCGCGAGUUUAGGGCCGCUCAACGACGGUUGCGAGCCCCAUGUGUCGAAGCCAUCUCCGUCCAUCGACGAGAGGCGGUGGCGAAGCGAGCUUAUGGCGGUGGCACUGGUUCCCGGGAGGCGGCAGCGUAGCUGCGGGUUCAUGUCGUGCGUGGGGAUGAAGAGGAACCGGCCACGUGACGGGAGCCGAUCCCAUGCGGCAAAACAACGUUUUUCCUAUGGGCCCCACCUCAAAUAGCCCCAAAUAGCCCAAAUAAGCACCUCUUUAAGGGGAUAAUUUUUUAGGGUGGGUUAGAUACAAAUAACCUCAAUCUAACCUUUAUAUUUGGAUGCUUUAGGGCUAUUUGAGUCCCAAAUAGCUAAAUCUAACUCUAACCAUGGAUCCAAACAGGGCCUUUGUAGAGAAAUUUUUAGGCUUCACUCUGUGUAGUCAUCUAGAUUCUUUCAGUAUUAUAAGUCUCUUUUAUGCCUAAUAUAUUUUGAAUUAUCAUUAUGAUGGUUGAACUAUUUAUAUUGUACGUAAUUUGUGGCAGUUUCCAACUUAAUAUUUGAAUGUAAUACUUAUUAUUUGAUGCUGGUACAUCAAAUUAUCUCCUACAACUAAAAAAACUAAAGUGUGGAUAAUUUUUGGUUCGUCCGUCUGCUUGGCCACCUGCGAAUGACGCCCCACUCGCAAGAUUAGGAAGUUUUUGCCUCCGUUAAUCAGGACAUCUCUUUCCUCUCCAGCGCCACCAAUCACGGGAGGAUUCAUUGUUCGUACGCCGUAACCUGUGAUCCCUCCCCUGCGAUAGCGCCUCCCUACCCUUCUCUCUCGAUACCGCCUCCAGCUACUCCCGUGAUAUGCGUCUCUGGCACACUUGCCCCCCCGCCUGCUCACACGCCCUCUUGCUCGCCCGGCACUGCGUUGUCGUGCACGCGCCGUAGCCAUAGUCGCUGCGUCCACAGCAGCAGCGCCGUCAGGAUCCACGACGACAGCGCCGCCACCACAGGGUCGAGCAGCCGCCUCACUCCACGACUGGUACGACUGCCCCAUCUAUCCUGGUGGAUGAUGGCGCGCAUAGCCCCUCCGUCCCAACCCCGGCGCUCAGAUCUGCUGAGUAGGAGCGUGGCUGCAGGGCCUCGACACCGACACGACGACGAGGCCACAUCGGGCGUCACUUUCUCCAUAUCCUUAGAUGUAUGAGGCUCCUGCACUGAGGUUUCCAUUCGAGCAGGAGGACCACCACCAUUGGAGGAUCUACAUUCAAGCACUAGGAUCAGCGUGGAGAUACUAACUCGCAAUGCUGUUUGUUACAUACGUAGACCAUACCUAAGUCAGCACUAAUAAAAACUUAUGAAAUACCGCUGUCCAGUAAUAUUGUUAUCGCUUACAGGGAUUAGAAUAUGGCUCGUGAAGAUGUUGCAUCAUUGGGACCACAAGCAGUCACCAAGACCCAUCAGUUUUUUGACUGGGAGAAGAAAUCUGAUAGGGGUUUCCUCCUCUUCAUAGAUGAAGCAGAUGCUUUCUUAUGUGAGUAAGUGAAAACAAAAUAUUCAUAUACUUUUCUUGUAGCCAUCUUUGAUUCACAUAUCUGUUGAUCUCCAUUUAUUCAGUGAAUGGUAUCAUUUAAAGAAAUAUACAGUGUCAGCGCAUAACUGUAGAUCAAUCCUGAAAGAACAAAUAUACAAUGUAGAAUAUCUAUCCAUCAGAUCUAAUGCGAUCAUGUAAUUGUGGAACAAAACUAAUUUGUAUAUAUGUCUUCAAUUAAAGGGAGAAGUCAUUUUGGAGCCAUUCAAUUACCAUGUCGUGAGGUCAUCACAGCAACAUACUCCUAUGAAUUUCAUGGCCACUUGAUUACCAUAUCGUGAGAUCAUCAUAGCCACAUCAAUGAAUUUCACUUGGGCAAAAAAUGAGAUAUAAGGUGAGGGACUAUGGGGCAUCACAGUUUGUGUUACACUAUUUAUUUAUUUAUUUAUUUUUGUUUAUUUUCUGGUUUUGAUGGUCACCAAUUUAAUAACACUGUUGAUUGUGUCUCAUUAGCAAUAUACAACAACAAGAGAUGGUAAUAAAGUUAUCUCUGGCUCUCUGCACCACAAAAUGCAUGUGGGAAUGACCUUUAUCUAUUGUCUCUCAUUAAUAAGUGGAAUACAUAUGUUGUACUAAUCUCAAAAAUUGGCAAAUAGGAAUAUUCAUGAUAUAGGUUUUAGCUUUAACUAAUCGACACAAAAUGGCUAUCAGCUGCAAAUGAUUUCCUCAUCUAAAGUUCCAGGAAUAUGUGUUUCCACCUAUACUAAUGGUUUAAAUCAAGUUCAGAGGGACUACUGUUAGAUUGCGAAGAUCCUUCAUCAGUUCAAGCUUCUCUGACUUUUAAGGCAUACUGAUAUUAUUGAGGAAAACAUGUCAUAUUACAUCUACUGAGGAAGGAUUUCAAAGAUAUUUAUGUUGUCUUUUGAACUAAUGGAUAUCGACAUGGUAAUUCAGGCUAAUAGAUAUGAUGGUACAUUGCUCCUGACCCAUGUGGGUCUUUCUUUACGAAAUAUUUCAUAUUGUUGUUUUGUUAAUUAAUCUACUCUUAUUUCAUGGCCUCCACCUUUGUGUUUAGUCUCAAACACCUAUGUAAUCUUGAUUAUAUUGAGUUAUUACUGCAACUUUGCAAAAUUAUAUUAUUUCAAAAAAAAAGUGUUGUAUGAAAGAUCAGGCCGUGGAUGAUGCUCAAUUUAAAGGCAUUGGAAAAGUGAAGAGGGAUCAUCCUGCACGCUAAUUUUAAAAUGGAAUUUGAGUUUGAUCUGUUGCUGAACAUUUAAUUAGUUUUAUCAUGUGCUGAACAUAGAGUUUGGCCAGAAAAUAUUUGCUGCGUAAAGUUAUUUUUUAUAGCAUAUCAUAAUUAACUCAAGAAAAUAAAGUAAUUUAGUUGGCAACUGUACAUGCUAUCUUCAGACCAAAUGAUUUGGAGUGAACCUUCAGCCGGCACAAUGGAAAGAUCUGAGGCUCAAAAGAUUCAUCUCGUAAAUUAUAGGUAAACUGUGUAAUUAAUUAUUUUUUAUCUAUAUUUAAUGCUCUAUACAUGUGCUGCAAGAUUCGAUGUAACGGGGAAUCUGAAAAAUUUUACAAUAUUUUUUGGGAACUAUAUUGAACUAAAGCCUGAGUUUUUCAAAUAGGCUUCGGCAUGCAAAUUGUUUGUCACCUAUACAAGAUCUUUGCAGCUGCUGAGAAAAACAUUUACAAUGGUGCGUAUUUUAUUUUGGGUCACUUUUCUGAUAUAUAUAUAUAUAUAUAUAGUUUUUUCAAUAUUGAUUUAGCAUAACCAGUUUACUUCUCAUAGUUUUGAUGUGGUAUAUCAAGGAAAUAUUAAUGAAAGAAAAAUAUAUCAAACAAAUAUGAUCAGUUUUUAUUUGUGUUUUGCUCUCCUAUGCUUCAUUUCUUUAUCUCUUGAUUUUGAUAUAUGUCUUGCAUACAUUCAUUGGAGAAAAUCAGAGUACUCAUUACGCGGCAUUAUGGUGCCAUUAGUUUCUCCAAUUUUACCCUUAUUACAAUUUAAAUAUAUGAUUAAUUACUCAUUGUUAUUCAUCUACAUCCACAGUCGCUGGCUACAUCAUGCUCUUUGUGAUUGUUAAUUUCAUGAACAUUGCUUUUGGACUAAAUGUAACAUCGGUAUUUAAUUUUACAGUAAUAUUAUUUUAUAGUGCGAUCCAUGUGUUUUUAGUGUAAAAGUUUUAUUGUCCCGUAGCAACGCACGGGCAUGCUACCUAGUGUUAGUACAAAUUUUAUAAUACAUGUUCGGUUGCCCUUUCUUCUACAGUAACUUGCAGCCACUGCACCUGUGACUGUGAGGCAGUGAUCAAAAGUGACAAGUGCAGCCACUGCCGCUAGAAAAACUAUCAGCUAAAUCAAGCCUUGUCUACUCAAAUAGUUUUACCAAAUUGCAUAUACUUUUUUUUGCACAACAUAAAUUUUAGGAUUUAUUUGGUACGAUUUUCUCUCUCGACCUAACCUGUUCGCUUAUCUGAAAAGUCAUGCCCGAAAAAUACUGUUUGCUAAUUUGUUAUGGGAAAAAAAACACUACUAAUUCAGCAAAUAAGCUCAAACGAACAGAACAAUAUUUUUUAUAACUUCAACUUCUGUUCACUAGAAAAUAGCUCAUCUUCUUAAAUUGUUUGGUCUGCCGGUAGAGCCUUAGACCAGUUUAUAAGAUUUUUCAUCAUAUCGAAUUUUUGAACUUAUCUACACCUAAUAAUAAAUUGUGAAAAAUUUAGUUCACCACAGAAUUCUGUUCACCAUGAAAUUCUGUCCACCAGUCCAUCCGUAUAGGACUAUGAUUCUUUACCUAAUAUUUAAUCAUGAAAAUUUUAGUCUGCUCACUUCUUCUGUCCGCCUAUAGUAUAUGAACACAGCCCGGCCGGGUCAGUUGAGUUCGAGUAGAAUACGGAGUCCGAUCCGUUUCCAAAUUCCAGCAAUGCAACAAAUUAAUCACGGCAUCGACGGACCCGGCUAAUAAAAAAUCUAUUGUAAUAUAGAACGUGUAAAUCUUUACCUGAUAUUUAAUCAUAAAAAUUUCAGUCUGUCCACUUUUUUAUCCGCCAAUAAAUUAUAAAUUAGGAAAAAAAAUUACGCAAGCCCGAGGGCUUGAACCCAACACCUAACGAACCAAAAUCUACCUAGAUACUAGAAAAUCAAGAACAUAAUUAAAACCAUUCUUUUCUUUUCUUAAUCCUCAGCAAACAAUCGUAAGAGUUUGCAUAGGGCGAGCGGCGGGGCGUCAUGCUGGAGUGGUAGACAAGAACCUUAUGGUUAGUGUAGGACGUCGUGAAAGGUUAGUGAGACAGUGAUCAUGUGUGAGGUGCCAAUUGUGGGUGCUAGAAGUCCAAUGGAGAGAGAGGCAACUGAGGAGUGCAUCAUGCAGUUUACAACCAUGCAAUCCUUCUCUCGUAGCAACGCACGAGCAUAUUUUCUAGUACAUGAAAUAUUAAAUAUAAAUUAAAAUAAUAAUUGUAUAAUUUAUUGUAAUUUGCGAGAGCUUAGUUAGUUUGUAGUCGUACAAUAAUUAUUAAAUAUAAAUGAAAAUGUUAUAGUAACCAAAUUAAAAAAAUUGAUCUAAACGAGCGUUAGUAGCGUAUAAACAUGGCUUUCGGUCUUAAAUGCUUGACCUUGAUUUUUGGGAGCCGAGAAGGAUGCGUGUUGAUGUUGUAAUCCUAUAGAAAAAACAUGUUGAUCGGUGUAUUCCAUACGGUGUUUUUUUAGCACUAAUAGCAUAUUAGCAUGGAGUAUAUUAUUGGCUUUUGCAACAACGACGUGACUCACUUUCCUUGCCUGUCAUAUGUUAUCAUCAGUUGUCUGUGUCUACUGUUCUCUUGCGCCUUUUUGUCCGUAGCUGUUGAAAAAAAGGCAAUGCCAAACUCAAUCUCCAAGACGAAGGGUCGUUUACUUCACCCCAAAACCAAAAACUUUUCAAGAUUUCCUGUCACAUCAAAUCUUACAGCACAUGCAUAGAGCACUAAAUAUAGACGAAAAUAAAAACUAAUUGCACAGUUUACCUGUAAAUCAGGUGAUGAAUCUUUUAAGCCUAGUUACUCUAUGAUUGGACAAUAUUUGUCAAAUAAAAACAAAAGUGCUACAGUUUUGAAAAUCAAAAAAUUUUCAGAAUUAAACAAGGCCUAGUUAUAGAGACAGAAACUUUGUAAAAUGGUGUUUGGUUUCUAACUCCUAAAAUUUAAUCUUCGUCGCAUCGAAUGUUGGACACUAAUUUAGAGUAUUAAAUAUAGAUUAAGUAUAUAAAACAUUGCACAGAUUAGAACUAAUUUGCGAAACAAAUCUAUUAAACCUAAUUACUUGAUGAUGAUGUGUUUGGUUGGAGGCUAAAAGUAUAAUAUGUUUUGUCUAAUGCAAAUUUAUUAUCAUAUUCUAAUCAUACACAAUUAUAAUAUUAUAAACUAGCAAACGAAUACAUACACUUCACAACAUAAUUAUAUAUUUAAAAGAUAAAUCUUUUUUUUGGCUCAUUUCUAAGUAUUACACUCAUAGUUAAGGACAAGGUAUAGCAGUAUUUUUCUAAGGCCUUGUUUACUUCCCAGAAAAUUUUGCAAAAUUUUUCAUAUUCUCCGUCACAUCGAAUCUUUAGACGCAUGCAUGGAGUAUUAAAUAUAGACGAAAAUAAAAACUAAUUGCACAGUUUUGUCGAAAUUGACCAGACGAAUCUUUUGAGCCUAGUUAGUCCAUGAUUGGACAAUAUUUGUCAAAUACAAACGAAAAUGCUACGGUGUCCAUUUCCCAAAAUUUUUUGAAACUAAACAAGGCCUAAUAAAAAAUGGUGGUAUGGUUGUAUUUAGCAGUGAGGUAAUAAAUAGAGAGAGAGAGCAAUGGAAAGAAGAAGAAAAAAAAACAAAAUACACAUAUGGACCAAAAAUGCUACUCUCUCGGUGUCAUGAUUUUGAUUACAGAGCCAGACACGCCCUGACGCUCGAAGGCCUUGUUCAAUUUUGCAAAAUUUUUUAAUUCUAAUUACACAAUUUGUCUAUAAUUUAUGUUGUAGUACUUUCAUUUGUAUUUGAUAAAUAUUGUCCAAUCAUGACUAAUAAGACUCAAAAAAUUUGUCUCAUAAAUUACAAGCAAACUAUGUAAUUAAUUAUUUUUUUUAUCUAUAUUUAAUGCUUUUAUGAAUAUAAAAAAAUUUUAAAAUUUUUUUAGAACUAAACAAGCCCUAAACAAGGCCUCAGUGGCCUGCUCUCGCUGCAGUUGCCCUGACCAGUCACUACUCCACUCCGAGCCUCCAACCAAACACCGAGCGCGAGUACGUCCUGGUAACUUUCCCCACAUCCGGCCAAUCCAAAAUGUGCUGGCUCCUCCUCUUCCUGGUCCUGGAUGGCUCGGAGUCGCAGCCCACCACAGACCGCAGCUACCACCAGUACCCCCAAUCCCUUUCAAAAAAGCGCAGGCAGACGAGAGCUGCUGCACGCGGCCGCACGCACACCCCUCCGCUUGGCUCUUCCGUUCCGUCCGCUCCAAGCAAGGCACCCCCAUCCAAUUCCAGAUGGCGGAAGCCUGGGCGGUUGCGGCGCUCACGGCCGCAGCGUGGGCGCUGCGGGCGGCGGUGUGGGCGUGCCUCGCCGCGUCGGCGAUGCUCGUCGCCGAGGCCGCGUACAUGGGCCUCGCCAGCCUCGUCGCCGCGAUGCUGUGGCGCUGGCGCCGCCUCGACGAGAGGUACCGAUGGGAGCCCAUGCCCAUGCCCGUGCCCGGGUCCGGCGCCGGGGGCCGCGACGACGUCGAGGCGGCGGCGGACUUCCCCAUGGUGCUCGUGCAGAUCCCCAUGUACAACGAGAGGGAGGUGAGGCGCUCUCUACUUUUGGCUUUGGCCAUCACAGCUACCUAUAUCUAAAAUUAUCUGUGUGCCCCCAUUAUAUUAAUUGAUUGCUGGCCCAUUCCCCUCCAACCUUUGCAUUGCCUGUUAUACGUCGCGAUCAUAUCGCGAGAAUUGUACUACUGCAACCGUACUAGGUAGGAUGCGGCGUUAUCAGUUUACCAGGUUUUAGACGUCGACCGUAGUUAGUAGGGCCGCAAUACCUUAAAUGCAUCAUCAUGCGGAUCAUUUCUGAGCACUUUAUCGACCAAAUUUGUGGGCGCGCUGUGUCUAAUACACAAUUACACAUAAGGGUUCUUAGGGGGUCCUUUCUCUUGUUUCUGAAUGAGAUGGGGGAGUUUAUUAUGGAUAUGAUUCAAAACAAAGUGUUAAGUGUGUCCUUGUGUUUCUUCUGUACUUUCUCAACUCUCAAGUUGCAAGGUGGAGCUAGUAUCAGAAAUGGGCCCCACUGUUUACGCGCAAGCUGCCUUUUGUUACUGCAAUCAUGAUACUAGUACUAAGGCACAGUUAUGGUUUUUUUUUUCGCUACAAGUGACGGCAUUGUGGUUCAGUUAUGAAAGAAAAUCUGAAAAAUACCAUGGGAACCUAAGGAAAAAAAAAAGAAUCCUAUUAAUGAGGACAAGUGGCACGCAAUGCAGUGUGUGCUUGUGCUAUCCUAGUAUUGAGUAAAGGAAACCAGUGAUGAUUAAGAUGGAUGGGGACCGUCUCGUUUUUCUUGCUGUGCAGACACUGCCACUAAGCAAGUUUAGUCCUUUCUUUACAUUGCUGGGCAUUUGACUAUCAACGCUAAAAAAACAAUAGUUUUUCUUUUUCCAAAGUGUCUGAACAAUGUUCCUGUGUGUCUUGCAAUGUUAUAAAGUUUCACACUGGAUCAUUGCAAUGGUCAUUUCUUUGUACAGGUGUACAAGCUAUCCAUUGCUGCGGCGUGUGCCCUCACAUGGCCACCAGACCGUAUUGUAAUACAAGUCUUGGAUGAUUCCACUGAUCCGAUUAUUAAGGUACACCUUGGUUUCGGAGACAUAGCUUAUCUUGAUUGACUAAAAGACUAGAGAUAUUCAUAUGAUUUUGGGUCAAAUUGUGGUAGAUAUGAUGCAUUUUAAAAGUUAAUUGUGACUUGCAAUUAUAAAGGAAUGAUCAUUUUAUCAUCAUCAAAUGGAGCAUAUGAGUGUUGAUACUAAUUUGCUAGGUUAGCUCCAACAACAUUGUGUUGGUCUAAUGUAUGUAUGAAUAAGAUCAUUAAGUCACUUAGCGAAUAUGGAAAUAUUGAUGCUGACUAAAAAAUUUAAAAUUUAGUAAUGCUUUGGAUCAAUAUACUGGAAUAUAUAGACAAAAAGGAUUAACAAAGCUUCUGUAUGUGGCUCCCCCCAGUCAGUAUUAAUUGGCGUUCAGACAAACAAAAAGUAACCAAGUCUAAGUCAGUUUAGUCCAUCUGAAAUGUCAACUACAUCUGACUGGAGGUGGCACUAGAUAAUUUGAUUACUGCAUUGCCAUUGUGUAAGAUAUAAAGAUAUUUGUGUUGGCUAGCAGCCUGGUAUAAUGCAAGUUACAGGAUAUUUUAAGUGUCUAGUAUAAGGUUAGCUUAGUUUGUUCUGUUUUUUCUACAGAAAGGACAUUUAGUAUGUAUGUUUUCAGUUCCCCCACAUGCUAAAUGCAUCAAGAGCUUCCAUUUCAUGGUUGUAUAUAGAAAGUCAUGCCACUGUAAUAUUUUGAAACCAUUUUCCUUGAAUGCAGGAACUAGUGGAGCUUGAGUGCCAGGAUUGGGCAACCAAAAAAAUUAACAUCAAGUAUGAGGUUAGAGAUAACAGAAAGGGAUACAAAGCAGGUGCGCUGAAGAAGGGCAUGGAACAUAUAUACGCCAAGCAAUGUGACUUCGUUGCUAUCUUUGAUGCCGAUUUCCAACCUGAACCUGACUUCCUUUUAAAAACCAUACCGUUUCUUGUGCAUAACCCAAAGAUUGCACUUGUACAAGCACGUUGGGAGUUUGGUAAGCAUAAAUAUAUCAUUUUGUAGUCACACAUAUAUUUUGGAAUACUCUGUUUUUGGAGUUCCUACUUUAUCUGUGAACAAUAUGUAGAAAAUUUUAAAAAAAAUGUUAUGUGUGUGGUUCUGACACAUGCAGUUGUCCACAACAAGUUUUAUUCAUGUCUAGUUAUCUUUAUUCAUUAGAGAUUAUGUUGGUUUGGUUAAUUUAGAUUCUUUUGUCUAUUUUAAUUGUUUCAUUACAGAGCUUAUUCCUUAAUUCUCAGGAUUAGUCAAUUCAUCCUUGUAAGAGACAUGGUAUUUGCUCCUUUUAAUUAACUAAAGACAUCACCCAAGAACUCAUGUGCUAACUUGGAUGUGCAUACCUGAUUGGCAUUUGGAAUGUUUCCACCUUACAUUGGAUACGUGAUAUUCAACAUUUAAAUUGAUAGUGUUACCUGUAUAGUUAAAAAGUUUAUACACUCCCUCUGUCUCAAAUACUUAACCUUAUAGCAUUCAAAUUUUGUCCCAAAAUAGUUGUCGUUCUCACUUCCCAAUGCACCCUUCUCUUCUCCCAAUACGCCUUUUUCCUUUCCCAAUACAUCUCUCUAUUUCUAGGGGUACUAAAGUUAUUUACCUUGAGCAUUUCUAGUAUUUGUGAUAGAUCCUAAAACGUCUACUAUUGUGGGACAGAGGGAGUAUUUCUGAUAAUUUUGUCUGGACAUGGAGAAAUGUCAUGUUAUCUUUUAGUAAAGACAGUUUUGUCCUGAAUUAAAGAAACAUUGUAAUCUUUUAGUAGAGUGUUCAGAGUGGUGACAAAAUCUCUGGUUUAGUACACAAAUAAAUGACAAAGUACAUAGUUUGUUAAUUCUGUUUCAUUAAUGAUCCUUUUGGGGAAGCUUUUUUGUACGCUCUUCAGUUUAGGCUCUUAAUAACAAAAUUUUGAGUGACACUGACACAGUAAUAUGUCAGCUGACAAUUUUAAGCUGUAAAAGAGGUUCUGAUUACUACUGAUGUUCUGAUGCAAUUUCUUUGGAUUUGCUAUGGCAGUGGUCAUAUUGAUAAAGUAAGCGACAAAUUUUGUUCAUUAUGAUUACAGGAUGUUCCUGACCUGGCCUUUGCCGGGUGAUUUUGCAGUGAACUAUGAUGUUUGCCUGAUGACAAGGAUACAGAAGAUGUCUCUGGACUAUCAUUUCAAAGUUGAGCAGGAAUCGGGAUCAUUUGUGUAUUCAUUUUUUGGCUUUAAUGGUAAGUGCCGGUUCGUAGCCAUACACUGAGGUUCUGAUUUUCCCUGAUAAGUUUCUUGUCAGUUGUCACAGGAUGGGGUGGGAUAAACUAUGUGAGAAGCAAUAACUAUAUUCUGUUUACAGGUACAGCUGGUGUGUGGCGUGUAUCUGCUAUUAAUCAGUCUGGAGGAUGGAAAGAUCGCACCACUGUAGAAGAUAUGGACCUGGCUGUACGGGCAGGCCUCAAGGGAUGGGAAUUCUUGUAUGUUGGUGAUAUUAGGGUAUUCCACUGAUUCUCUGUGAACUUCGAACAGUUGUUUUCUUAUGAAGCUAUAUAUAUUGUACCAUGUCAGCAUUACAAUUAUUGCAAAUCUUAUGCAGGUUAAGAGUGAACUACCAAGUACCUUCAAAGCCUACCGUCAUCAACAACAUAGGUGGACCUGUGGUGCCGCUAAUCUCUUCAGGAAAAUGGCUUGGGAAAUCAUUACAAACAAGGUUUGUCUUCUUGGUCCUCACCUCACAAGGAAUUAACAUGAGUUUGUUAUGUUAUAAUUGCCAUCUGCACAUGAUGCAGGAGGUGUCAAUAUGGAAGAAACACCAUCUGCUAUACAGCUUUUUCUUUGUCCGAAGGGUUAUUGCUCCCCUUGUGACAUUCUUGUUUUAUUGUGUUGUCAUCCCUUUGUCUGCCAUGGUUCCUGGUGUCAGCAUUCCUUUAUGGGGGCUGGUCUAUAUUCCCACUGCAAUUACAUGUAUGAACGCCAUAAGAAAUCCUGGGUAUGAAUAAUACAACAAUGCACAACCUUCCAUCUCCCGUCAAUGUGUCCAUCUUCAGAUUAUAUUGUGUGAUAUAUCAGGUCUCUCCAUCUGAUGCCCUUCUGGAUUCUGUUCGAGAAUGUUAUGUCCAUGCACCGCAUGCGUGCUGCUGUAACUGGUUUACUUGAGACUGCACGUGCAAAUGAUUGGGUAGUCACUGAGAAGGUAGGAGAUCUUGUGAAGGAUGACCUGGAUGUUCCACUCCUUGAACCAGUGAAGCCAACAGAAUGUGUCGAGAGGUAACAGAAGAGGCUUACAUAGUUCAAUUCACUUUUUCAGUGUUGAAGGAAUAAAGGAUGAAUACUGCUACUUGUUUAAUGUGCUUAUUUUUCAAUCAUUGCCUUUGCAGGAUUUAUUUUCCUGAGCUCUUGCUUGCACUACUCCUCCUAAUAUGUGCUUCAUAUGACUUCGUACUUGGAAGCCACAAAUACUAUCUUUACCUAUACCUCCAGGCCUUUGCAUAUGUUGUAAUGGGGUUUGGUUUCGUUGGAACAAAAACUCCAUGUUCAUAGCUGCUGACAUAAUGUUACUAUUUCCCAUUUGACAGUUAGUUCCUAUGAAUACUGCCACUAUGCGCAAAGGUGAAUUUUAUCUGAUGGUAGUGUUAUUCAGGUUGCAGGGCCAUGGUUAGUCUAGUGGGGUUGGGGUUGGGGGCUGGGUGGGGGUUGGGCCUUUGGUUCUUAGAUUCCUAACAAGUUCCUCAACUACCACCGGUAAACUCAGUUUUAUGAUUUGCCACUGGUAAACGCGUUUUCACUGACAUACAUGUGUUUUCUCAAUAAUCACCUUGUGCUAGAUGUAUUCAUCUGUAACAGGUCCCAUCUCAGAACUGAGAGUGUAUUAUUGGCAUGGAUUUCAGAUUAUGGAUUCAUGGUUGUAAUAGGGAGAGAGGCAAGGUUGUAUCCUAGCUGGAUUUGGAACUUAUUGUAGCAUAUUCUUAUGAUUGCCAUUUGUAGAUUGGCACUCAAAAGGAUGUAUGGGCAUAACGAGAAGAUGUUGAAAGAUGAAAUUAAUUCUUGUAUUGUGACAUAGCAACAGCCAUGUCCUGUUCGCUUGAGCUUAUCUGCCGGUGAAUAGUACUGUCCAUUAUGCAAAUCAGAGCAAUGUGUGUGUGUGUGGGGGGGGUCCUACAUUGGUAUCAAAGCAUAAAGGGGGUCCUACAUUGGUAUCAAAGCAUAAACCAUAUAUUUCGUUGCAUGACGAUACCUAUGCUACAUAGUUAUGUAGACCAGUAAUUUUCCUUUUAUACAUGCCAGGGGAGAUGAUCAUAAAUGAUUUGUAUAAAUGAAACAAAGAUGGAUAAUAGGCAGUGCUGAUGCAGCAUCAAUGUGAACGAUGCAACCAAAGGCUUUUCAUGGGGAUGUAACAAUAAUUUUCUACAGGAACCAUACUAGAUGUCAAGAGCGAAGUGCAGCAUAGCAGCUCCUAAUUUACAAUAGAUGCAGAGCUGCCAAAGAUCACAAAGGGCCGAGCUUAAUAUGCAGGUGCACAUGCAAGGGACCUUUUUUCGUUUUUCCAAAAAAGGAAAGCAAAAGAGUGAAAUAAAGGCAAAGUAUUUUUUAAUAUAAAAUAUAGCCUUCCUUUUUUUGCUUUUCUUUUUUUUACAUGUCUCAUGAGAUGAGAGUUUAUAUCAAUCAUGUACAAAUCGGAUUAGAACAUAAUCUAAUUUCCAUUAUGAGUAAAUUGCACUCACCAUACAACAACUAAUUAAGUGGGUGCAUAUUAGUCCAUUAUUUUCUAAUUUGUUUAAUAUAAUACGACAACUAUCUAGGUGGAUGUUUAUUGGUCCAACAUCUUCUAAUCCGUUUAAUUUGAAGUAAAAACUUAGUUCAUUGAUGCAUGUAUGUUCCAAACAGUGUUUUUGUACACUCUAAAUCCCUAUCAUCGGAAGUUACAUACCCUAGCACGCUCAUUUCGUCCAUCACUCAACUUCAAUUAUUUAUUAUAUUAUGAUAUCAUUUUUCUGACUCUGUCCAAAUAAAAGCUUACAUUCAACUUCUAUUUUAAACUUGAAUAUAGGAAAAGUCAUACCAUUAAGAGAGACAUAAAAUGGUAAGGUUAUGUGGAAUCAAAUGCUCACUACCUAUUCUUCUAAAACUUCCGCGAGAAUUCUGUAGAAGCUCCGCAUUAUGCUAAUCCGCUAAAUCGAGUUUUAAGUUUUUACAAGGCAAUUAACCUCCCCCUCUCUAGGCCUUUCCUAUCCUUUGGACGGUGCAACUGUUGCAUCGUCUUCUUUUUUAUGUCUACUACAUCAUCUUAUUUUUUUGUGUGUCUACUACAUCCUUUAAAAGGUGGAAACCACUUUUUAUUUUCUUUUUUCUUAGCUUGGUAAACCUAUACAAGAACUUGGUUAGUUUGGUUAUAGGUAGAACCAAACAAAAUUUUUGUUGAUUCUCGUUUUUGAAAAAAACCAUUCGGUCCCUGAUUCUUAUGAUAUGGACAACCCACAUAUCAGUUCAAGCCAGCCAUAAAUGACAAUAGGUUGAAAUUAAAAUAAUAUUAUGGUAUAGAAAGAAAAAUGAUCGGUUUGGAAUUUUUCAUAUUUAUGAAAUCAAUGACAACUUUUAUAUUUGGCCGGGUUCAUAAAUGAUAUCGUAUAGUAAACGAUUCAAGCUGAUUGAUGGAUGAGAUGAGCAUGCUAGGGUCUACAGCUUGCAAUGACAGUGAUUUGAAGUGUACAGAGAUGCGUUGCUACAAUACUUAGACUGUAUAUACACGAAUAAGUCUUGUAUCAAAUUAAACUUAUGAGAAGAUUGUGGAUCAAUAUGCACCCACCUAUAUUGUUGUUGUAUUAAAUUGGACAAAUUAUAAGAUGUUGGACUAACAUACACCCACUUAGAUACUUGUCGUAUGGUGAGUGUAAUUUACUCUUCCGUUAUUAUUAAUGAGAAUUUCUUAAGCCAACUGUCAUUACAAAUCAUGUAUUUAUACUUACGGUUCUCUUAAGCCUACUGCUAGUGUUAGCAGUACUCUUAAGAUAUCUCAAUAUAAAUAUAUGAUAUUUAAUGAUGGUAGGCUUAAGAUAUCUACCAAUAAAGAUGUUUACAACUUGACACUAGUCGAGAUAAUUGAAAUCAUUUUAAUAUUUUUUGAAAUGAUCUUGAAUGGAGGUAUGAUCUAAAAGAAAGUUGCAGUACUCGAAAAGAUCUGCAACUUUGUAGCUGAUUACUUUUUUUAUUUAAAAUCAUUUAGAGCACAUAAAUUAUGUUCAAAGAUUAAUAAUUUUUUAGUUCAUAUUUAUUGUAUUUUUCAAAUGACCUUGGAAGAGAAAUAAUCUAAACUGAAGUUAUUGAAGAGAUCUAAAACUUUCAUGAUUAAACUUUUUUAUUUGCAUUCGUUUAAGGUCUUAAAUAUGCAUUACAAUAUACAUUAAAACAAAUACAAAUGUAUUCAUAUUAGUGAAUACAAAAAGAAUGUAUCUAGUACUCAGUCUUAACUAACUUUAAGACGUAGUGAUUAAGGAGUGACUGAACGACAUCUGAGGUUGUGAGUUCAAUCACUAGCAACUGCAUGCACACAACAAAAAAUGUUGUCAACUGCUUUAAAACGCCAUUGAUUGUUUACCAAAUGUUUUCUCGAAAGAAAAUCAAUAUGACUUUGCAAUAUCCGAACUACUGGACCCAUAAUUUUCGGUUUACCGGAAUAUCCACCCACUGCCAACAAACAAGCCCUUAAUGCAAAUUUCACAGAGAUAAAGGUUAUCCUUGCUAAAGAAAAAGGACAAAUGUGAAUGGACGGUCUAUUUCAGCUAGUUAGCUUUAAAGUCAAGGAAAGAUGUCGUUUCCAUUUUCUUGCUAGUCCUCAUUGUGGAAAUUAAAGUGGAUCGACUAACUGGGAUGUUACCGAGGAUGGGGACUAAAGAAAAAAAAUAUUAUCUAUUAAUUAAAGGUGAAGAAGUUUCUGGAAGAGGAACGUGGAGUUCCAUUCCACGACGACGCGAGUUGGAUGUUUCAUUGCUCGUUUGACUUGGGCCUCAACAACAACUUCAGUUAUUUGAGCUUAUCUACCAAAUCUACCAAUCAUUUAAUAAUAUUUUUUUCUCACUAAUAAAAAUACUUUCAGCCAUAGCUUUUUGGAUAAGCGAACAAGUUCAUAAGUUAUUGCGUACUCCUAUUGUUUUUUUACGAAACACUCAUUUCUAAAUAACUUCAUGAGUCAAGCUGUUUGUUUGCUCCUCUCACAAAGACAUGCGGUGGGAUGAAGUUUAAAAAAUAGCUUAUUCCAACUCUCUCUCCCUCAUUUCUCUCUCUUAUCCAUACAUGAAGUUGUUGGUAAAGUUGUUUUGCCAAACAGAUUUUCCAAGACAUCUUAGCUUCACCUAGAAAGUUGCUUUGAAACUAAUUUUAAAAAACAAUUUUACUAAUGAAACCGAGCUAGGACAAACGUAGCCUUUGUUUUUUUUAAAAAAUAAAGAAGCCUGAGCUAUUUUAUAGCUCAUCUAAAAUGGCUCUAGCUCGCUUCUCAAGAGGAGUCCUAUGAAACACCCCCUAACCUCCUCUCUUUUCUUUCUAUGUUUCAACUUAGGAGACAUAGUUAUGAUAGAGUAUAUAUACAUGAUGAUAUGGCAUUUAACUAAGGCCUUGUUUAGUUUCUCAAAAAUCUUGCAAAAUUUUUCAGAUUCCCCGUCACAUCGAAUCUUUAGACGUAUGCAAGGAGUAUUAAAUAUAGAUAAAAAUAAAAACUAAUUGCACAGUUUGGUCGAAAUUGACGAGAUGGAUCUUUUGAGCCUAGUUAGUCCAUAAUUGGACAAUAUUUAUCAAAUACAAACGAAAAUGCUACUAUUCCUACUUUGCAAAAUUUUUUGGAAGUAAACAAGGCCUAACUCUUAUUUUUUAUACUAUUUGUGUGCAUGUUUGUAGUGUUGCAUGUAGUCCAAACGAGACAACAUAAUGGCAAAAGAAAAGAAUGUUAUAAAAUAAAUUAAAGCGAUAAGAGAAAUGCAAUACAUAUACUCACUAUUCACUUACAUAUCUUAAUAAACUUACAAAGCUAGCCCUUGCAGAGACCAAAAUAAACUCCCUUUUCUAAAAAAAAGAGGUUAAAUUUCUGGACAGCCUACAUUUCAGUGGGUCUUAUUAUUAUAAUUAAAGAGGUAGAAUUGGAGUGCAAAUACAGUAAUACAAGAGUAAUCUAUCUAUAUCUCUUAUAUAGAUAAACCCCACUAGCUAAUUCUCUUGAUGUGCAAAGCAUUCACAUCAUCAUCUACUAGAGCAUCCCACUAACUACUUCUCUUGCCAUACAAAGCGUCCACAUCAGCAUCCACUAAAUCAUCCCACUAAUACAUUACCCCGCUAUGCAAAGUGUUCACAUCAUUAUCUAUUAAUAAAUCGAACUAACACAUAUCAUUUUAUCCUGUAUCUAUGUUAUUCACAUUAGCAACCAUAUUAUUUUCUAACAUAUAUUUAGUUGUCCAUGCUAUAAUACUAAAAAUCAUCCACUAACAUAUAUUACGAUAGUAUAAUUUUACCGGUAAUUUCCGCAGCAACGCGCAGGACAUUCUCCUAGUAACUUUGAAGGAGAAGUUGAUGGUGUAGGCGUGGUAAGAAAUCAAAUUAAUAAUCUAGCUAGAAAAGGCAGUGAGAAAAUCCAACUUGGCAUAUCAUUAUCAUCAGCUUGUCAAUAUACCAGUGUGGGAUCGAGUGUGACACAUAACAGGUGUAAGUAUCAACCUGGUGGACCAGGCCCAUCUAGACACUUUAUAUAUGGACUUCAUUGGGUGGUGAGUAGGAAGGAAUUGAAGCAAAGCGAAAGACGAUAAACUCCUUUCUCCCUCCACCAUCUUUUUUCCACGCCAUUUGAACCUUUUUUUUUCAAAAGGGAAUCGAAACGCUUUAAUACAUAUAUGUACUCCUCUUUUAGAGAGAAAGACCCAAAAAACUCAAAACACAUACACUAUUUUUUUAUAACUGAGUUUUGAAACAUUUUCUUAAGAGCAUCUCCAAAAGUAUUCAAUUUUUCCUUAAAAACAUAUAUUUUUGCAACUCCUAAAAAGAUAUUGGGAGAAAAAAAUAAGACAUCUCCAAGACUUUUCAAUAAUCCACUCCUAAAAUAUAGAAAACAAUUUUACAUUAAGAAUCUUGUAAUAUUUCUAAAUUAUUGUAACCACUUUUAUAUAUUCUUUCUCUUUCGUAUAUUUGUAUCAAGAACCCUUUUCUCCUCUCUAUUCUUUCCCACACUCUGCCACCUUUAGAUUGACUGAGAAGACGGCGCGGGGAAGAGCGAUGCGCGCAAGAAAGGCCACAUGUAUUUUUACGCAUGAUGCCAGCCUUGUUGGGUACCAUAAUAAGGGAUACCCAAAUCAGAGUAACAAAAAACGCGAAGGAACAUACUAAUUACAAUCAUCAGGGCCUCGGACGCAAGUUCCGACUCGCCCGACCCCUCAGGGCCUCGGACGCAAGUUCCGACUCGCCCGACCCCUCAGGGCCUCGGACGCAAGUUCCGACUCGCCCGACCCCACAGGGCCUCGGACGCCAGUUCCGACUCGCCCGGUCCCGUCCAGGCUCGGGCACCGGGCCCCACUCCACCUGGUCAACAAGACUUCCCCCGACGUGACGGAUGUGACGGCCCCCAUGACGCGGCAGGGCAAGGAGACGACUGUUCCAACCGCCCCAGUCAAUGUGGCCUUACCUCUGUCACUAUACACCCUUACCCCUGUUCACUGUAGCACAUUAUCGCACAGUAGAAAGGGAAUGUGCGAGGUAAAGCCGCACCACUGUUUGUGGUCAUUUCCCACUGUUGACAGGAUAUGCAGCAGUGACCGGUGAUCCGGCCCCCGCGACCCCUACAGGACUCGGUAACCCUCUACAGGAGCAGCCAUGCCGUCGACCAUCCCCCAAGGACGAGAUGGACAGGCCUCAACAGGGUCGGGACUGUGUUUUCACCCCUCAAAUAAAAGAAAUCUACUCAUGUAAAUACCUGGCCUCCCCUUGAGACUAUAAAAGGGGAGCCAGGGUUCACAACUGGGAGACAGGUCCAGAACACGCACACAACACUCUUUCGCAGAGCAGCAGCCCGCACUCUGUCCACACCAAGCCGAGACCUGGGACUUAGCCCUCUCUCGCAACCAGCUUGUACCCCCUACUACAAGCACCUUUGGGUGCAAGGUUAUACAGAAUCCACCACUACACUGGACGUAGGGCAUCCUUAGCCCGAACCAGUAUAAACCCUCUGUGUCUCACUUGCAUCACCAUCCAAGCUUGGUCAGUCACGCAGAUUUAUACUUGUUAGUGCCUAGACCGCGAGUCUAGACGCCGACAGUUGGCGCGCCAGGUAGGGGCCUUCUGCGUGACGCUCUCCAGUCCCUACUGGGGAGGUUUGGAUGGCAGACGGAUUUCACCCGCUCCGUCGCGGCACCAUCAUGAUGUUUGGGAGUUUGGAGUUCAUGUCCCUCGGUUCCGGCUACGACAUGAUCCUCCUCCCGCCACGUGACAACGUCGAACCUAGCCCCGAGCCGAUCCCACCACACUCAGGGUGUGGGAGACGUUCGGGACACCAUGCGGGGGGCCCACGGAGGGGGCGUCAAAGAUUUAGGAUCUCCGACCCCACCACUGAGGCCAAGGUCCGUCCGGUCUUCCCCCCGCAUGUUCUCAUCAGGUCGCCCGCUCCUCCGGUCCAGCCGGCGCUAGAGGAAGGGCUCGCGGGGCAUCAAGCUCCGCUCCUAGGAUCAACAGAGGGUCAUCGCGGCCCCCCGUCCCACCCCGUUCAAAGGGGAAGGCACGGCCCGCGCCUGUUCCCCGCAAGGGGGACAAAGGGGCCUCGACGUCCCGUCCUCCUCCACCUGCGGAUGACGUAGCAGCGGCGGCACCUCCCGAGUUACCUUUCGGGCUCAGGAAUGCCGCCGCUACCUACGCCUCUUCCGUAAGCACUUCAUUAAGUGCGUACGCAGAACUUCCCGGGCACCACUUAAGGUCUACACUGGACCUCGUCUCCACACCGCCCGUCUCAUCCUACCCAGAGGACCUCACCUCGGGCAACGACGAGUGGGCCGGCGCUGAUUUCUCCGGGUAUGGCGACCCGGAGACUUUCAUGCGUUUCCUGGAGGCCAGCAACUAUUGUCUCGGCUACUCCGACUCCGACGACGAAAGCUACGACCCGUCACGAGAAUGCUUCAACAUAGAAGUCGGAGGUACGCCGCACGGCGCCCACACGGACGCAGGGCCCUCUAGGCAAGAGGACGCAACUCCACCUCCCAAUCCAACUCCCGGAACCAAUCUCGGAGCCCGUGGGGUGGCAUCUGCCCCCGCUGGGGGACACCAUCCUGACCUCGCACAGCUCGAUGAGCUGGAGGCCAGGCUCGAAGAAGAGCGCACACGCCUCCGCCAACUCCGCGAGGCCCUAGUCCGAGAGCCGUCCGCCCGCGGAGACGGGGGCGAAGCCAGACGUCGCGCCCGAGACGUCAACCGUCGCAUUGUUGCGGACGAAGGGGAAGACGCCCCAGUCUUCAGCAUGGCCAGCCAGAAUGUGAUGGCAGCCGCGCUCCUCCUCAGGGCGAUGCCCGAGCCUUCGACUCCUGAGGGAAAAAGAGUGCGCCAGGGGCUACGUGGCCUUCUGGAACAGGCUGUGGUGCAGAACGCGGAAAGUUCUGCUUCACAAUCCCACAGUACGAGACAUCGAGGGGAACGCCCCCCUCCUAACAAGGCACCAACAGUACAGGGUCCACCGCCCCCUGACCCACAAAGGGGCGACAAGGCCCCGUCGGUGCACGAGCGCGUCGGAGCAGGCGCGGACGUGCGGGCCACCCUCGAGGCCAGGCGACGUGACAGGGAUGAAGCCGAGUCCCGACGAUACCGACCCCGCCGAGGUGGGAGGUACGACCCCGAUCACGAUCGCAGCGCGUCACCAGAGCCUCCGGGUCCCCGCGUCUUCAGCGAGGCCAUUGUUGACGGUCCUUAAUGCUCAUAUUUAACCAUCAAUUAAUCAUAGAAAAGGAUCCAAAUGCAACCAACACCUAGACUUAGGGUUUUAUCUGACAGAAUUCCACAAGUUUUGGUGUUUGUCUAUUUCUGCAGGGGGUUAUCAUGAAAUAUGGAAGAAAGGCCCACACGUCGGGUUUACAUAGAGAUAUUAACGUGCCGCACAAUUUUCUAUCAUCUAGAAGACUCCAGAAGCCACGGGACCGAAGCGGAGGCCGAGAGGACACAGGGACAGGGCGCCCGCCCUCCUUUCCUGGGCGCCCGCCCUCAGCCAGAGUCCAAUCAGGACUCUCUUUCGGGAUAUUGCUCCACCGACCUAAAGGAUCAACAAUAACCGUUCAAUCAAUGUCGGUUUGAUCCAACGGCCCAGAUUCACUUGAAGGGACUAUAAAACCAGACCCCCCUGGCCCCUGGAGAUCAUACCUCUUCUACAGAAUCAAAGCUAGGGUUUCAAUUCUUCAUCCAAGUAGAGAGUAUCCCUCUAGUUCUUCUAGUUCUACCUCUAGUUCAUCUAGAUCUAGUUCUAGUUCAUCUAGUUCUAGUUCUAGUUCCUCUAGUUCUAGUUCUAGUUAGUUCUAGUUGUAAUCUAGAAAAUAGGGAGAGAGAAGAGGAGAGCGGAGGAGGAGCCGGAUCUGUCGGAUCUUCCUCAACAUUAUACUUUUGCAGCAUCUGGUUCGUUCUUCAUCGUUCUCCAGGUUCUUCAAUUCAUAAUUCCUGAGUUCUUUAAUUACUUUUAUUUACAUUCAAGUUAUUUAUUGGAUUCCCGCUUGCAUCAAGUGCUCUAGUCUUUAUAACGCUAGAGUAGUAAUUAAUAGAUUAGACGUGGUGUUUAGUCUUGCGAUUACAUGGAAUUGCACCCAAUCCCACGGAUUGUUGUGGUAGCCCUAGGGUAGUGACAGCCCUAACGGUCGACGUAUUCCACCACGUUCGGAUCGGUGUUUGUAGGACCAUAGUCAGACCUUCCUAGCCCCCUUCUCAUAUCUUUCUGUGGUUAGUGCUCUGAUGUCCCGAUAUAGAUAAUCUUGAAGUAAUUCUUGAUUCUUAGAUCAACUAGAGAACUCUCAGGAAACUUCCUCUCUUCCCACCAAAAACAAUUAUAUAGUUAUCCUUGGGCGACCUUGGAUCUUAAUUAGUACACUCACGUUCCCUGUGGAAAAUCGAUACUCUUGAAUACUCCCGGGUGAAGGCUACAUCGGUAUCCGUGCGCUUGCGGAUUUUUCUGUUUGCGUUUAAAAUACCCAACAAGCUUUCUGGCGCCGUUGCCGGGGAACGGUAGCUGUGCUAGUUUCGAACCAAGUCGUCCGUGUAUCCUUUUUCUUUUCUUUUUUUUACCACAGUCACCAUAUCAUUUUCACCACACCACAUGGAUUCCACUCUAAGCAUUAAUGAGCAUGGAAUUUAUUUCAUAGCCACUUCAUUUACUCCAUGCUCAUAUGCAAUAUCUUCACAAUCCAUUGGUUUUUCCAACAUCACCACAUUCGAGAUCUCCAACCCCCUCAUCCUUUCUAUUUAUAAAAACUUUAAAAGGGUGGUUGUCGAUGCAUAUGUCUAUAUUAAAUAUUGUAGAUCUCGUUGUGUUGAUCUUGAUAUAGGUCAGAGUUGGAGGGGAAACCACUUCGCUGACAUAAAUUGAUGGUUUCCCAAGGACAAGCUUAGUGUCCUAAAACAAGUAGUGAUCAGAUUGUAACAUGAGCUUUUAAUUAUUUACAACAUUACCUUGUGUAUUGAGCAUGUAAGGAUAAUUGUAAAAAAAUUCCUUCGGGUAUUCUUGUCACUAACCUUUUCAGGAUUGGAGCAAGAAGAUCGGAUGAAUGACAAGCACAAGGUAUGUCCAACCAACCAUCAUACAACAUUGAAUUAAAUUCAUCCAAACUUGAAUUUUGCAAAAUUCAAGCUUGGGGGAGUAAUUUACAUAAAAACAUCCUUUGCCAUGUUGCUAUGUUGGUUGUCCCUACCUUUGAGACAUGCUCAAUCUGUUAAAUACUAAUCACACUACUUCAUCUCCACUUGAGUAGAUCUCUAUAAAUGCUCUCAUGCUACCUUUAUUUGCUUUAGUAUAUUUCUAGGCUUGGAGUAGUUUCAUUUAUCUCUUAAUUAAGCAUGGUGCUUAGUUUAGGGCUGAUGAUCUUACUUCCAAGGGAGUUUAAAUUAAGCAUGAUGCUUAAGUUAAAAUGCCCUCCUAAAUCAAAUUAGACAUGGUGUCUAGGUUGAUCUUUGAGCCGAUAGUAUGCUAUAGUAGAUAUUGGAUAUUUUGUUGGACUAACCCCUGCAGGAAAACUUUCAAUAUCGACCUGGGAAGUCCUGAGACAAACUCACAUUGGAGACAAAGAGAGAGGCACAUAAAGUUUAACAAUUUACACAAGGAAGGCAUAGCUCACAAGAGAUGAUCCAUGGAGGGUGCCACAAACACGAUGCACAACCGCUGAGAAAGGAAAGCUUCCACAAGGAGAUAUCGUACCAUCAUUCUUCAAGUAAGGUAACAUCUUAAGGUACUUGACUAUCACUUUUAUAAGCUUCUCCUUGGUUCUGGCGUUCACAUGAAUAAAAGAGACAAACAUGUAUGAUCUACAACUCUAGAUUAACCAACCCAAUCGAUUCAACAUGUUUAGUCCUUCCACCUUUGUGAUUCCACACUCCUAAUCAUAUUAGCUAAAAUGUUGCACACUCAAUCUUUGGAAGAUAUAAACAAAACAUAUAUAUAGAUAGAUUAUCUUUCCAUUAGGUUGAGCGAUCUGAUCUGACAAAUGUUUUAAAUGCUACACUCAUGAUCUUAUUAUCCAUCAACUUUGUUUUGCUCACUAUGCUUAAGGAUAGAGAAGAAUAAAUACACUUUUGGUUCUGUUGGUGUUUUCCACCAACAGGGCCCAUGCACUUGAUCUCUGCCUUGUCUUUAUGAGCAGGUACACUUCGAGCAAAAUAUGAAUGACUUUUACAACUCCCAGACUCCACCAAGUGAAGAACCUAGAUCUACGAGCUCAAACACACUGGAGAUACUGGACACUCAGACAAUCACUGCCCUGAGAUGCUUGAGGAUGUAACUACUGGAGUAACCCCAUUGUGGAAGUAAUUACUGACCUUCUGCCAGUCAAGAGAGACAAUCCAGGACGCCCCAUCAUCCCGAUCUCCAUCGGCAUGCUUGCAGAUCGUACGCUAAGUUUCCCAAAGGGAAUAUUGAAGAACCUCUGCGUCCGAGUUGGUAGCUUGUACGCCCCAGCAGACUUCGUGGUGAUAGAGACUGCUACUGAUGAGAGGGCACCCAUCCUAGGGAGGCCAUUCCUAAACACCUCAGGAGCUGUCAUCUACGCUAGUGCUGCCAAGAUUAGUUUCUACAUCAAGGGGAGGAAGGAGACGUUUUCCUUCAAGAACAAGACUACACAAAUCUCAGAGCAUUCCCGACAUGAACCAAGGAAGAGGACCAACAGGAGAAACAGGAACAAGCAAGUGUGGACCGAGUUAGCUAAGAUGGUCACUGCAGUUCAAGGAGGUCAAGAUCAUCUAUUUAAGUCACCGUUCCUGACCAAAAAGGACGACCCAAGUAUGCCAAGCAUCCAGUGCGCCAUUAAUGGAUACAACUUCCAGAAGACGCUUUGCGACACCGGGUCAGGCGUCGACAUAAUGGCCGCCAGUCACCUAUCAGCUCCUAUUCGGAACCAUGCCCCUAAAACCGACAUACAUUCAGCUUCAGAUGGCAGAUCAGACAUUCUGAAAGAUUGAAGGUUAUUGACAUGGGAGAAGACGAGUACGAUCCACCCAUCAUCCUUGGAAGACCGUUCUUUAGCACCAUUAAAGCAAUCAUAUACAUUGGAACCAGAGAAGUCCACAUGCAUUUCCCCUCUGAGAAGGUACGCCGCUAUCUUACUGACCCUAACUAUAUAGUUGAAGACUCUAAGCAGGUCAGGACAAGAAGGAGACGACGCAACCGCAACCAGAGGAGGCAAAUCAUCAAGGAUGGAUGGGCAGACAACGAGGAGAAAUAGUGAGGUCUGAAGACAUACAGCUUGAACAGAACUGUUCUGAGGAGACCAUAGCACCGAGUCAGGUGUGUAGAGAGAAGAUAGUUAUACACGAAGAGCGGGCGCCGCCGGAACCACCGACUACGCUAUCUAGCGAAUCCCAGGACGAAUGAGAAAACGGAGAGUCCCGUUCGGAGGACGUAAAAACACCGAACGCCUUGCCAAAAGGUAAACUUGGUAGUUAUCUUUUUCCUUUCAAUUAUUUAAAAUAGUUUUGUUAGUUAAUCAGGUUCAUAUCAUCUUGAAAAGAAAAUAAAAAUGUUAAAAAUAGUAAGCCCCAUGUGAGAAUGCUCAUGGCAUAAAACCCAUAAGUACAUUCACUGUGGUGGCGUAAAAAUAAAAUAAAUAUAUUCCUGUCCUAUAAAAAUAAAAAUACAAAAAAAAAUUUAUGAUCCUACUAAAGAGAGUAACAUUUAUUGAGGAGGCUCAAUAUGAUAAAGGCUAAAUAUUUAUGCUAACACUUAACUAGUUCCACAAAGCUUUGUUGUCUAUUUGAGCUCCACAGAAUUCAAGGAUCAAAGAAGACUAGCAGACGGAGGACAUCCUAAUCGCUGUCAGAGUGCUGCCGACAUUCAAAUACACCUCCGCCACCUGCUAGCUACAUCAAAAGGAAUUAUGUCAAAAUCCAGCUUGGGGGAGAGCACCCCCAUUUAUCCAGCUAAGUAUUCUACUCACGUUUAUACUUUACUCUAAUAAUAAAAAGAUGCAUAAUCAUAUAAACCCAAAUAAAGAUUUUGUGCUUAUAUACAUAUAUCUUUGCUUAGUUUGCUAAAUAAAUAAAUAAAUAAAGUUUGCUAUGAACCCUCAUGAUAAGCUCUCACAUGGAUAUGAUGAAUAGUUGCUCUACCAUGACUAGUUCUCAAAAUUGAAAUCUCUCUCAAGUUUAGGCAUGACUGUUAUUAAUUAAGAUUUGCUCUAAACCUGAACUUGUGGGAACAGUACUUGAUCUAAAGUCUAAGUCGUUAACGGAUAUGAUAUGGGAAGGUUGAGCUGCUGUUUAUCUGUUCCUAGAGAUGCUAGAAUUCUGGAGAAUUUUAUCUUUGAAAAUCUUUAAAAUGUUGCAUGAUGAGUUCCUGUAUGAUGAGUGUUUAAAUUCCUACCACAGCCAUAUAUACAUGCUUGCUAGACUAUGAGCCACACAUUUACUUUUUACUACUUAUGAGCAUUGAGUGUGGUCAAGCUGUGUAGACCCUUAGGAGCUUGUCAUGUGGUUAAAUCAAGAUUCACUUGCACGUUCACUCAUACAUGCUACUUCUACUUCGGAAGUACGCAUCCACAUAUGUCCAUCCAUUUCCAUCUCCAGAACCACCCAAAAAUAUUCUACUCCUAAUCUGGGAGAGAAUAGCCAAAAACAUUCUCCUAUUUCUGUUUUUCCCUGUGAAAUAAAUGCUCAAGUUAUCUUGGUUACUACCACUUGCUAUAUUAUUUCAUGAGAUGAGUGCUCUAAAAAAAGAGAGAAAAAAAUACGAGGAAAUAAAAAGGGGCAAGUGCCCGGAACCUCGAAAGAAAAGAAAAAGUGAGACGAGAGGUAAAAAUGGACAAGUGUCCGACAGUAGAAUUAGGGGUACAAGAUACCCACCUGAGAGAAAAGAAAAAGAAAACAUAGAGCAUCUCAUUCUCCUCAGAAAGUUUUAAAAGUGCAAGAAAGGUAUGUAUUCCCUCAAAAGAGCAUAUGUAGAAUUAGACUUUCACCAUUGUUAUCACCAUCAUCACCAUAUACUAUUCAUUCGCCACACAUGCACAUCUUGAUUUGACUUAUUGACUUGUUCUUCUGGAUCCAUGGUUUGACUAUGCAAUAAAUGUCUUGUAAGUAUGUAUUAGCUGUCUCCCACCUAUGAGCUCCAGAUAUCAAAGCCUUAUUAGAGUAGGGUGAGAGAGAAGGCAAUGUCACUAUGCCUUAUACCACAAAUACCACAUACUUUGAGAGAAGGCAUAUACCAAUACUGCCUUGGUAAGGAUCCAGAAAUACCACAAAAGAGAGACUAGAGAGAGUCAUACAAGGAAUCUCUGAGUUUUAUUUGAAAAUCUGCAAAAACUCCAGAGCUAUAGUUAAUCGAAGAACAAGAGACAUGGUGCUUGACUAGACUGUUCUAUCUUUUAACUACUCAAGACAGAAGUGACGGUUACAAGUCCCAUGGUGAAAGGUAAAUGAGUAAGUUUUAAGUCUUAACAGUUUACUCUAACCAGAGAUGAGAUCUUGUUUAAACGCAUGUGUAUCUUUAAGUUAUGAAACCACUGCAGAAACUCUUGAGUUCAUCUUUGCUCAGGGACGAGCAAAGGUUAAGCUUGGGGGAGCUUGUUGACGGUCCUUAAUGCUCAUAUUUAACAAUCAAUUAAUCAUAG
rnacentral:lncRNA from 1 species